rnacentral:lncRNA from 1 species
UCCGAUCUCAGAGGUCACUUUGGGCUCAGUUUUUACUGGGCAAGUAUUGUAAGGGGACGCAUCCUUUACUUGCAACAGUUCCCAGUUUAGCUUCCCCUACCUCAAAGAGGCUGAAAUCAGUUGGGCCACGGACGGAUCCACACAUUGCUUGGCACCUUGGAACCGGUCAGAUUUUCUUCUGGCAUGAUUGUUGGAUGGGCGAGUCCACGUUGGCAUCCCUAUUCCCCCACAGACAGCACACAUCUGUGAGGGUACAGGAUUUUUUUGACGACACUGGGUGGGAUUUUGGACGAUUAUUACGGGCCCUUCCUUCUCACAUGGCGGAACAGGUAGGGGCGAUACCUUUAUGUGAAGAUGCCAGCCUCAGGACUCAUAUCGACUGCUGUGGAGCUCUAUCUUGCCUACCACUAUUUCAUUCUUCUGCUGGAGACUAUGGCAGGAUCUCAUUCCAGUAGAUGUUGUUAUUCAGAGGAGAAUUGGAUGUCAGUUGGCUUCUCGUUGUCAGUGUUGUUCCGAAAUUGAGACCAUCAAUCAUAUUUUCACGAGCAGCAGCAUCUCCGACCAGGUAUGGCAGCACUUUGGAGACAUCUUUCAGAUACCUAUGACUUCAGGGGAGGGGGUCAGACAGAGGUUCCAGAGAUGGCGGUAUUUUGGACAGCACGUUUACCGUGGACACAUUCGUAUUAUCAUUCCUCUACUGAUAUUUUGGUUUCUAUGGACUGAGAGGAAUGAUGCGAAGCAUAGAGGUAUUCGUAUGGUGGCCAGACGUAUUAUUUGGAGGGUCUACCGCAUGAUCUCCUUUCUUCAUAUGGGAGGACUAUUCCGAGUUGAGCAUUGGCGAGGAGAUGUGACACUUGCACCCUUUUUUGGCAUUUCUUUGACCCGUCCUCUCCCACCACCACCUAUUAUGGUUGUUUAGCGCACUCCACCAGUUGGAUCCUGCAAGAUCAACACUGAUGGAUGCAUCAAAGAUGGAUUUGCAAGUGGUGGAGGCAUCAUUAGGGACCACGCAGGAUACUAUAUCAGGGCAUUCUCAGCAUCGUAUGGCCCAUGUUUCAUUUUGGAGGCUGAACUCAGAGCCAUACUAGAUGGGCUUCUAUUGGCCAGAGGACUUAGGAUUUCAGCUAUCUGGCUCGAGGUAGAUUCAACAUUGGCUAUUCAUUGCAUUACCAAAGGUGGAGGACCAUGGUCGAUUCAGGGCAUUCUUAGACAGAUCAGAGACCUCAUCUACUUUGAUAGAGACACGGUUUCACACAUCUACAGAGAAGGCAACCAGGUUGCUGAUUCUCUUGCUACAGAAGGCUGGAAUCAUCGAUGCUAUCUAGAGUAUGGCCCACUAGAACUGCCUCGACAUAUUAGGGCGAUAGUGCGGAUCGACAGACAUGGAUUGCCCAGUUUUAGAGGUUCGUAAUUUAGGCUAUUCUUUAUUGUAUAGAGAAGUAGUACUUCCUCAUUUAUUGCUUUCAUUUAUUACAUUCAUUUGUUGCAUCACUGCUUUUUGGAGGUCAGGUUCAUGCCUCCCUCCUUCCGUGUAUUCUUGAUUUUUAUGAAAUAAAUAUGGUUGGGGAACCCUUAACCCCCAUCGACCUUCCUUGGUGGACCCUAAAAAGUCACUAAGGAUGUGUAGAUGUCUUUACCAAAAAAAAAAAAAAAAAAAAAAAAAAAAAAAAAAAAAAAAAAAAAUACCAAAAAAAAAAAAAAAAAAAAAAAAAAAAAAAAAAAAAAAAACCCGUCUUGAACGAAAGUAACUUAAACAAUAAUAAGCUGGCUCAUUGAAACCCGAGCAUAACUUCAGGGAUAACGAAGUAAUCCUUUUGUGCGGUGGAUGGCUCAUCCAUGCAAAGGCUUCUCACUUGGCAUUCAACUUUGUCAAGUAAGGCAUGUGAUAUAUGCCUCGAAGUUUAAAUAAGGUGACCAUCUUUUAAGGGCAGAUCUUCUCCUCCGAGAUGCCCACACUUCUUCACAUGGUGGAUAGCUCAUCUAUACAAUGGCUUUUCAUUUGGCAUUUAGCUUCGUUAAGUGAGGCAUGUGAUGUACACCUCGGAGUUCGAACGAAGUGACCCUCGUUUGAGGGUAGAUGCUCUCUUCCAAUGCUUCCAUGCUUCUUCACAUGGUAGAUGGUUCAUCCAUGCAAAUGCUUAUCACCUGACGAUUAGCUUCGUCAAGUGAGGCAUGUGAUGUACGCCUCGGAGUUCGAACGAGGAGACCCUCUUUUAAGAGCAGAUCCUCUCCUUUGAAGCACCCACGCUUCUUCGCAUGGUUAUUGGCUCAUCUACGUAAAGGCUUUUCACCUGGCAUUCAACUUUGUCAAGUGAGGCCUGAUGUACACCUCAGAGUUCGAACAAGGUGACCCAUUUUUAAGGGCAAAUCCUCUCCUCCAAGGCACACAUCCUUAUUCACAUGGUGGAUGGCUCAUCCACGCAAAGGCUUUCCACUUGGCGUUCAGCUUCGUCAAGUGAGCCAUGUGAUGUACGCUUCGGAGUUUGAAUGAAGUAACCCUUUUUUUAGGACAAAUCCUUUCCUUCAAGGUGCCCACACUUCUUCACAUUGUGGAUGGCUCAUCCACGUAAAGGCUUUUCACGUGGUGUUCAGCUUUGUCAAGUGAGGCAUGUGAUGUACUCCUCGGAAUACGAACAAAGUGACCCUCUUUUGAGGAUAGAUCCUCUUCUCCGAGGCAUCCUCUUCACAUGGUAGAUAAUUCAUCCAUGCAAAAGUUUCUCACUUAGCGUUUAGCUUCAUCAAGUGAGGCAUGUGAUAUACACCUCGGAGUUCGUAUGAGGUGACCCUCUUUUGAGGGCAAAUCCUCUCCUCCAAGGUACCUACACUUCUUCACAUGGUGGAUGACUCAUCCACGCAAAGGCUUUUCACUUGACGUUCAGUUUCGUCAAGUGAGGCAUGUGAUGUACACCUCAGAGUUCGAACAAAGUGACCCUCUUUUAAGGGCAGAUCCUCUCAUCUGAGGCGCCCACACUUCUUAACAUGAUAGACAGUUCAUGGGCAAAGGCUUCUCGGAUGACGUUUAGAUUCAUCAAGUGAGGCAUGUGAUGUACGCCUCGAAGUUCGAAUGAAGUGACCUUCUUUUAAGGGCAGAUUCUCUCCUCCGAAGUGUAAACGCUUCUUUACAUAGUGUAUGGUUCAUCCAUGUAAAGGCUUCUCAUUUGACAUUUAGCUUCAUCAAGUGAGGCAAGUGAUGUACGUCUUGGAGUUGGAACAAGGUGACCUUCUUUUGAGGGCAGAUCCUCUCCAUCGAGGUGCUCACGCUUCUUCAGAUGGUGUAUGGUUCAUCCAUGUAAAGACUUCUCACUUGACAUUUAGCUUCGUCAAGUGAGGCACAUGAUGUACGCCUCGGAGUUCGAACGAGGUAACCUUCUUUUGAGGGUAGGUCCUUUCCUUCAAGAUGCCCAGACUUCAUCACAUAGUGGAUGGCUCAUCCAUGAAAAGGCACAUCACUUGAUGUACAACUUCGUUAAGUGAGGCAUGUGAUGUACGCCUCGAAGUUUAAACGAGGUAACCUAUCUUUGAGAGCAGAUUCUCUCCUCGAAGGCGUCCACGCUUUGAGCAGAGUUUAUCCAUUCUUGUUUUAGAUGACUUUGUAGAAAACAUAAAGUUCUUAUUCACAUUUAAAAAAGUUUUACAAGGCCUGGGUAUGAUCUUCCAGCUACAAAGUACUUUCAUUGAUAGUACAUUCUUGAGUGCUCAUUAUUCCACGAAUAAGGCUAAACUUUGCCAUUCAAAUCUUCGAUCCUAUAAGUUCCAGAUCGGAUCUCUUCCUUUAUGCGAUAAGGGCCAUCCCAGUUUGGACCUAUAGUGCUCACACUUGGCUCUUUGGAGGAUGGGAACACUCUCCAAAGCACCAAUUCGUUAUUCCCGAAGGACCUCUUUUUAACUUUAACAUUUUAAUAAUGGGUCAUCUCCCUUUAAUAAACUGCUAAUUUCAACUGAGAGUCAUCUCUCUUUUAAUCAAGAAAAUUGAGUUCACACUUUCUAAGUUCAUCAUUUGAUAUUUCACCGAAGUGCAGUCGAUGCAGAAAAAGGCAAUCCGACAUUUACCCGACUCAUGACCUCGGCACCAUAAGUCAUCGAAAAUGGAGUCUCUUCUAUUGAAGUCCUACUGGUGGUUCGGAUUGCCCAUAACACUUGAGGCAAUUCAUCAACCCAUGCUCCUUUGGAUGGGUUGAGCUUUCAUUUUAGAGUGUGCAUAAUAGUUUUGUUCAUAGCCUCGACCUGCCCAUUGGCUUGGAGAUGAUGAGGUGUGGAAAAAUGUUUCCUCGUCCCCAGUUCCUCACAUAGGUCCCGAACCUUCUUGUUAUCAAACUGUCUCCCAUUAUUUGAUUCGAUUGAAUGAGAAAUUCCGAACUAACAUCAUCUUCUUCCAUAGGAACUUGAAAGUGUAUACCUUUGUGAUUUUUGCUAGAGUCUUGGCCUCAACAUAUUUCAUGAAAUAAUCUAUGACAACAAUAACAAAACUUGCACUUCCACGCCGCACUUAGCAAAGGACUAGGGGCUAGUCACUAUAGUCAAUUCCUAGGAAGUUUGCCUUUGAACGAGGGAGAAAUGUUGGCAUUUGUCAUUCAUACAAACUGAAUGGCAUCCUUUUUUAAUAUGGGCCAAUAAUACCCUUGCCUCAGUAAUUUCCUUACCAAUGCCAAACUUCCGAGUGGUUACCCUAAACACCUUCAUAGACUUCAUGAAGUAUGUAAGUGGUUUUUUCUCCUCCAACACAUUGUAUGAGGGAAGAAGAGAAGCCCCUCUUAUAAAGUAUGUCAUCUAGUAGUGCAAAAUGAGUUGACCUCCUCCUUACCAUCUAAGCUUCUGCUUUAUUGUCAGAAAGGACCUGGUCUUUUAGAUAGGCUAUGAUUGGUUGCAUCCAAGCCGGUGUUCUCUCUAUCGACAUUAGCUCCAGAGUGGAGAUGGAAGGCUUUAGGAGGUGUUCCACAGGAACCACCAUCAAUAGUUCUGAAUCUUUACUGCUGGCUAAAUUAGAUAAUGCAUCAGUAUGGGCGUUCUCAAAUCGUGGGAUUUAGGUUAGUUUGAAUUUUUCAAAGGAAAUGAGUAGGCCCCUCACCAAUUUGAGAUAUGCAACCAUGCUUUUUUUACCCGGGCUAUGAAGUUGCCGUUAACUCGACUAAAAAUUGUUUGAGUGUCACAGUUGAUAAGUGGCCUUUUCACUAGCAUUUUCCUUGCUAGAUGGAGGCCAGCAAAUAACAUAUCAUACUCAGCCACAUUGUUAGUGGCUUUGAAUUCGAAUCACAGUGCGAAAUUCAACUUGUAACCUUCGAGGCUCACCAAGCCACGUCUACACCCGAGCCCACUUCUCUAGCUGAGCCGUCCACAAAUAGGUUCCAUGUGGGAGGCUCGACGGGCUCCAUCGUCUCCUCUAUUGACAGGGCAUUGGCAAAUUCGACCACAAAAUUAGCUAAGACUUAGCCCUUGAUGGCAGCUCUUGUCUUAAAAGUGUAUAUCAAAUUCACUAAGGCACCAAUUUUCCAGGGAAAAUAGAAUUAGAAUGCCAAUUUCCAACUUUUGUGUGUUUGAUAGUGUUAUAUUUUCCAUGGAAAUUAAGUUCUUGGAUUUCUUAGGAGUUGUAGUUUUCUAGCUUUUGUCGGAUUUUCCAGGUAGUUGACAUUUUUUUUCUUUUUUUUGGUAAUGGAAACGAAUUCUAAGAAUUAUUAUAAAAAAAUAUUUCCGUUUAAUUGACAAUUUUCAUGUAAAACAAAGUCAAACGAACACCAAAAGAUAGAUGAUUUUUUUGAAUUUUUUUUUUAUUUUUUUUUUGGCAAUGGAAACAAAUUUUAUCCCCCGAUACUAGUAGAUUUUAUCUCUUUAAUUGAUAAUUUUCAUGUAAAACAAAGCCAAACGAACACAAAAUUACACUUAUAUUUCAACAUUUUUCACAUAAAAAAUUAUACCAAUCAAACACAAUAAUUUACAAUUCACAGGAAACAAUUCUAGGCAAUUCAAUCCCCUGAAAUUUAUUUUCUUUCCACUCAAAUUUCAUCUUUGCAAUAAAACGGACCCUAAGCCCUAUUGUCCAUUUCAACAACCUUCUCGAAGCAUCAAGUUUCUCAAGCACUUGCCUAAGAGGGAAGUUGAUCGGUACAUUUAUUGCUUGGGCUUAGAAUUAUGGCCCCAACUUUCAGUCUUUUGCCUUUAGUGAAAAAAGUAAAAACUAAUAAUUAGAUUGGAUGGUCUAAGGUCGACUAGACAGGAUCUAAUUAUUAGAGCUUGGAUAACAUAUCUCUGAUUAGAUCCCUAUGGCAGCUCUACAAAGUACUAAAACUUAAUUACGAUAAUUAUAAUAGUUUUUGGGCUUAGUUGUAAUUAGAAUGAAGUUUUGUACUUGAUUGUAAUUACUAUGAAAGUUAUAAACUUAAUUAUAAUUGAAAUUGAAAUUAUAGGACUACACGUGUAAUUAAAUAUAAAUUAAUUAGAUUUGGAUUUUAAUUAAAAUUCCUAUUUGAAUUUUAAUUUGAACUCUUAUUUGGAUGUAAAACUAUUAUUGUAAAUGGAUUGUAACUAUUUUAUCUCUAUUUAUAGAGAUUAGAUGGAAACUAGACAUUUUAUGAAAUUGUACGAUAAUCAUAAUACGUAAUUUCAUAGUGUUCAAAUUUGGAGAGAGAAAAAAUUAUUAUUUUUCUUGCUUUUAUCAAUUGUUCAGAUCGCGAAUUAGUCUCUUGAUUUAAUUAAAAGAAGGUGCACCUUCUUUAAACAGAGCUUUAGGCACGAUUUUUCUAUUCCCAAAGCCUCAAUAUCCAUUGUUAAUAAUCUUCACCAACGGAAAAUGAUCGACUGAAAACCUGUUGCUUUUAUGAGGGUCGCUGGAACUACCAAUGGAUUUUCGGUUGGAAAACUACAAAACUUUUACCAACAGAUGUUCCGUUGGUAAAACCUUACCUUUUUUCAACGAAAAUUGAGUUUGAAGAAAAAUUGUCAUUUCCAACCAAUUUGUCGUUGGUAAAAGUAUUACCAUUACCAUCGAAAAAUUCAGUUGGUAAAUAUUUAGCAUUACCAACUGAAUUGCCGUUGGGAAAACUCUAAAAAAAAUUCUAUUAUCACCAAUUGAAAAAUCGUUGGUAAAGUCUACCUUUACCAACCGAAUUUUCGUUGGUAAAAGUUUAAAAUAUCUAACAUUACCAACCGAAUUGCCGUUGGGAAAACUCUAAAAUAAUGUAUCAUUACCAACUGAAAAUCCGUUGGUACAAUCUGCCUUUACCAACCGAAUUUACAUUGGUAAAAGUCUAAAAACUUUAUCAUUACCAACCGAAUUUCCGUUGAUAACUUUAGCUUAAUUUAUUUAUAUAUUGAUAAAAAUUACUAUAAAUUUACAAAACUUGCUAAUUAAUAACCAAUUAAUAUCAAAGCACACUAAAUAAUCAAAAUGCAAAAUUUAUAAAACUGGUUAAUUAAUAAUCAAUUAACAUCAAAACAUACUAAAUAAUCAAAACUCAUCAAAAUGCACUAAAGCUUUAAUAGAUGAAGUUAUUACAUCAAGAUUUAAAAUUGUAUGAACAUCAUGUCUUACACAUCAUCAUUUCGUGAUCCUGAGCUAGAAGGAAAUUGAAAAUUCGAAAUAUUUGAUUCCCUAAGCAUACUUCGCACAGUUUCUUGCAUCUCAACCCUAUGAUUUCUUUCAACUCUUUCAAGACGCGGAGUGAGAUCAUCAAUUCUUUCGUUGUUUUCUUCUAUUUUAUUUCGUGCACUAGCCAACUCUAACUUCAAAUUAUUCACCUCUUCAUCACGUGCAAGUAUUGAAUGUCUAGGUAAAGUAGGCGUGCCAAGAAUAUGCGAAGCAGGUUCUCGAGGACCAAACCCAUAAAUACAACCCUUAGAUAGACCAUUGACAGCAUCAAUCCAUGAGUUGGGAUCAAACUCAGGCUGAUCAUCUCUAAUUGUACCAUACUUAGACUCGAUUGAAGCUUUAUAAGUAUCCUGUAAAAAAUAACGUUUAUCUUAUUCACUAUAUUGACAAACUAUGAAGUAUAUAAACUUUAAUUGUACUUACAUAAACUCACUUGGAUUUUUUAUCAACAAAAUCGCCAAGUCCAUGAUUCUUCUUGUGGACAUGACUGAAAAACUCUAAUUGAGACAUUGGAUGGCCUAUAUCCUUCUCCUAGAAAUAUGCAACUCAUUAAUCACAAUCAGUUAAAAAUAUAAAUGUAUGUUGUCUAUUAGAAUACUAGACCCAUAUAACUAUACAGAAAUUGAUUUAAAAAUGUACUUAAUAAGCUAAUUAUUCUACUAAUUCUAAGUUCAAAAGAUCUUCAACGUAAGUUCUUGUCACGGAUAGAUAGGUGUAAAACCGUAUUUUAGUUUUUUUUUCUUAUGUUAAAUUAGUUAAGCAAGAGAACUUAAAGUAUAACAUUUGCUUCAAAAAAAACUUAAUAGUGGUAUGAACAACUCAAAAUGAAUGUUAAACGUGACUUACUUUCGUUUUUAGAGGCGAAAUUCUCAACAAAAUGGAUGUCUUGCAAUUAGUAAACUACUUUGUCUACACAUUUUCGCAUGUGAUUAGAUUGACAUUUUUUUUUAAAUUUUUACCAUAGAAUUACUUCGCUAUAGAAAAUUUGAACGUUAAAUGAAUUACACUUAACUUACAGCCAAUCCUUGAAUGAUUAACCAUUACCGCUGAAUUUUUCAAAUCAUUUAUCGUUUUCAAAAUUGAUUUACCUUUGUUAACGAAUUUUUCAUAGGUUCAAGGUUGAAACUAUAUGAUUAUCAUUUCACUUAUGACUUUUCGAAAGGAAAAUGAUUAAGAUUUUUAUUAGUUUACAAAAUUAAUUAUAGUCAUUACCAACGGACAUUCCGUUGGUGAUUGCUUUUAUCGACUUUCUAAUUACCAACGGAUUUGGUAAUUAUCAGUAUGUCACCUACGGAAUAUCCGUUGAUAAAAAGAUAUCGUCGUUAUCAAUGGAAAUUUCGUUUUUGAUUAUCGUAGUUGAAGUGAAUUACUUUUACUAAUGGAUAAUCCGUUUCUAAUUACCAACAGAUGCAAAUCGUUGGUAAUAUUCGGCACAUCACCAAAUAUUAAACUGUUACAUGAGAAAAUCGUGUCUCAUGCAAAUCGUUGGUAAUAUCCGUAGGUGAAAAAUCCAAAUAUUAAACUGUUACAUGAGACAUGGAAUAUCCGUUGGUAAAAAGAUAUCAUCUUUACCAACGAAAAAUUCGUUGCUGAUUAUUGUAGCUGAAAGUAAAAUACUUUUACCAAUGGAUAAUCCAUUUUGAUUACCAACGAGUUGCAUCCGUUGGCAAUAUUAAGUGGUUACAUUAGGCACAAAAUAUCCGUUGGUAAAGAGAUAUCAUCUUUACCAAGGGAACAUCCGUUCUUAUUAUCGUAGUUGAAAAUGAAUUACUUUUACCUACGGAUAUUCCAUUCUAAUUACAAACAGAUUGCAUUCGUUGGUAAUACUCGAAACGUAGGUAGAAAAUUCAAAAUGUUAAACAGUUACAUUAGGCACGGAAAAUUCGUUAGUAAAGAGAUAUCAUCUUUACCAACGGAAAAUUCAUUGCUGAUUAUCGUAGUUGAAAGUGAAUUACUUUUACCAACAGAUAAACCGUUCUAAUUACCAACAGAUUGCAUGCAUUGGUAAUAUUAGGUACAUUACAUACGAAAUAUCCGUAAAUGAAAGAUCUAAAAUGUUAAACGAUUACAUUAGGAAUUGAAAAUCCGUUGGUAAAAAGAUAUUAUUUUUACCGACAGAAAAUUUGUUGCUAAUUAUCAAAGUUGAAAGUGAAUUAUUUUUACCAACCGAUAAUCCGUUCUAAUUACCAAUGGAUUGGAUCCUUUGGUAAUAUUAGGUACGUUACCAACGGAAUAUCCGUAGUGAAAGAUCAAAAAUGUUAAACGGUUACAUUAGAUACGAAAAAUCCGUAGAUAUAAUCUUUACCAGCGGAAAAUCUGUUGCUAAUGACCGUAGCUGAAAGUGAAUUACUUUUAGCAAUAAUCCGUUUCUAAUUACCAACGGAUGAUUUUUCGUACGUGAAAAGCUGUUUUUUAGUAAUGGUGCUCUCUCACUGAUGUAGUCUUAAUUUUGGAGAAUAUCAUUGAAAACUUAGAUGUUUGAAGCAUCAAGUUCUUAAAAUUAAAAAGCUGGAAGUUCGUGAUGUAGGAUUAAUUUAAGAAUUGAUCAUCGAAUUUAGGUAAAAAUGCGAAUCAUUUAUUCUUGAUAUAACAUACACAUGAACAUAUAAACGAUCUUAUUUAUUGGAUUAAAGAAAUUUUUUCAAAUUUCUAGAUAAUUUCGCUUCUGCAUUCCAACAAGGUUAGCUACCCGAACUUUCACUUUUAACAACCGAAACUUUUUUGUUGAAAAAUUUUUGAACCAUCAUUUUUCGAUGAAACAAGCUAACAAUGAUUUUCUAAAACAAUUUUUUUUUUCGUACAGGAAAAAUUUCUUGUAGUUUUAAACCUACGAAUUACUUCUCAAAGAACAAAAAAUAAAGAUGAAAAUCGGAAGCCCGUGAUAUUUCAAUUUCCAUACGUAAUACGUUAAUGCGAUCGUGAAAUAUUCAUACACGCAAUAACCUUCUUAUUUCAUCCUUUUCUACAGUCUGAAUACAUACAUAUAUAAAGAGAGAUCAUGUCUAUAGAUGCAGAGAUGUAUCGACAUCAGUUAUCUCAAAACUGCAAGGAACCCUGAAAUCUGCACCAGAAAGCUGCUGCGUAUCGAGGGAUUCAAAAUCUUCUGUAUUAUUGCCAUACAAGUUGAGUCCAAGUGCCAAUGGAUCUUGAAAAUCAUUCUUUGAUGACGAAAAACUCAUUUUGUUCUGAAUAGGGUCAACGAACAGCUUAAGAAGUUCUCUCUCUUCUCUCUUCUCCUUUAUUCUCUGCAACUGUCGAAAUCUUUCUUGUAGGAGUACGAUGGAAGAACCAACAACUUUCUGAUCAUUAUUUUGUCGUCCCAUGGUUCAAAUCAUAUAUGUUUCAUGUUCUCUGCGUACAUAUAUAAAGAAUGAAGGUACAGAAGAAUCUGCCACUGUGAGAAAAACCCAAGAAGAAAUAGUUAUAAGGGUAAUGGGGAGGGUGGCUGAUUUGAACCUGAGAAGGUGAAAGGACUUUUUGGGAGAGGAAAAUGUUGAACAAAAAAGGACAACUGAAAAUGGACAUAAUGAAUGGAAUGAUGUAUGUAAAGGAAUAUAAGGAGUAGCUGAUGUUGGCGUCGGCUGUCUUUAGCAGUCAUUUAGCUUCGUAGAUGGUUCCAUUUUUUGUUGGUUAAUGGAUUGUUUGAUUUUACACAUUUUGGAUCAAUCAUAAAUAGCGUUUUAGGUAUUUGAUAUAAACAAGAUUAGAUCGGAAGGGGAAAAAACUACGUUAAAAAUUCCGUACAUUGUAUUAUUCAUUCCUAGCAUUUUGCUAAGUAUACAUAGUAAAUGUAUAUAAAUGAUGACAUAAUGUGAUGUGAAGGGAAAAGAUUGAUUGAAAAAGUUGAUUGUAUUUUAAACAGGCAAAUGGUAGAGUAUCACGUGGCAUUAUAGACACCCCUAUGUAUAUUCUUAUGUACAUAUAGCACUACUCUCAUUCCUAUUAGAGCUGAUUUUGGUGUCAACCAUUUUGAGCCCCUAGUUUAGUGUAGAUUAAAAUUCGAUCUUGAUAGAAGUUUAUGAUAUAUGUGAUUGAAAAGUUGGAAUCCUCGUAUAAUUAAAAUUAAUUGCUCACUUUUAACGUAAACCAGAGCUUGAUUAGCAAUCAUUUUCGUUCAUAGAGAGCAAUGAAGGUUUUUUAUUGCUUUCAAUGACACGUCAUUUUCUUUAGCAAAGAGUAGGUAUUUUUUGUAUUUAUUUUAAGUAACAGAGGUAAAUGGAUGAGGAAGAAAAAAUAACAAUGUUGACAAAAUUAAACAAGAUUUGCUGGUUUAACUAGAAAAAUCGAAAAUCGAUUUUGAACUCACAAAAUAUAAAACCCAUUAAAAGAUGUUAAGAACAACUCAUCAGUUGAGCCUCCGAGCUCCAUCGCCUGGGUGACAUCCAAUUCAAGUCCUCCAUCAUCGGCGUCGUGUUUUAUUUAUUUAUUUAUUUAUUUUCUUUUUCAGUUUUUGGAUAACCCGUUAUUUGUAAGUUUAUGUUUAUUUAAUUUUUAAGGUAACCCAUUAUGCGUUUUUUAAUUUUAUAUAAGUUGUUUUAUGUUCAUCAAUUUAUAUGUAAUUUUAUUUUUUUUAAAAUAUUUUAGAACCAAUGAACUCCCGGAUAUAAGUUGGACAGUUUUAAUAAUCGUUUUAAAGCCACUCAAAAUUGGUAAUAUAAAAACGCUCAUAAUUAGUACGUCAAAACACCUAGAAAUGUCAACGAGUCAAGUUGAUUCGACUUGCAAACCGAAACAUGAAACUCAAGCUUGACUCGAAUAAAAAUGGUUCGAGCUUCUUUUGGCUUGAACCGAGCUGAGCUUUUGCUGGAUCAAAAAAUCUAGGCUCAACCCAUACUUUUAGCGAGCCGAGCCGGCUCUUUUUCUUUUCUUUUCUUUUCUUUUUUUUUUAUUUGUGACAGUUAUAACAUUUUUUUGCUGGUUUAACGACAAAAAUCGAAAAUAGAUUUUGAACCCCCAAAAUAUAAAACCCUUUAAAAGAUGUUAAGAACAACUCAUCAGUUAAGCCUCCGAGCUCCACCGCCAGGGUGACAUCCAAUUCAAGUCCUCCAUCAUCGGCGUCGUAGUUUUUAUUUAUUUUUAUUUUUUCAGUUUUUGGAUAACCCAUUAUUUGUACGUUAAUUACGUUUAUUUAAUUUUUAAGAUUACCCAUUAUGCGUUUUUAAUUAUAUAUAAGUUGUUUUAUGUUCAUCAAUUUAUAUGUAAUUUUAUUCUUUAAAAAAAAUAAAAAUUCAGAAACAAUGAACUCCCAAAUAUAAGUUGGAAAGUUUUAAUAAUCGCUUCUAAAAUCACGCAAAAUCGAUCAAUUCAUAAAUGCUCAAAAUCGAUAAUAUAAAAAUGAUCAUAACCGGUAUGCCAAAACACCUAGAGAUGUCAACGAGCAAAGCCUAUUCGCCUCGCAAGCCAAAACAUGAAGCUCGAGCUAGACUCUUGUAAAAAUGGCUCAAACUUCUUUUGGCCAGGGCCGAGCUGAUCUGCGCGUUUGCUUGGCUAAAAAAUCAAAGCUCAACUCGAGCUUUUCGCGAGCUGAGUGGGCUCUUUUUUUUUUUUUAAAUUCGUGACAAUUAUAACAUUUUUUUUUAAAGAGUUUAAAAUUUGUGCAAUUUAUAUGAAUUAUAAAUUAAAUAAAAGUUACAAUCUUAUUUCUUUUUUGGGCUUAAAACUAAAAUACCGCAAGUUAAAAUUGAUUGAAGUAAAUUCAUAUGAAAAUAAAAAAUUUAACUCAUAUUUAUAGCAAAAAAUAUAAUAGUUUCAUCUAAAUUUGAAAUUCAAAUUUAUUUCAAAAUUAGCAGCUCGUAGAAGGCAACAUUUUUUCAUUUGAAUUUUUUUAUUAAAGUUCUGUAGGUUGUUCUUUUUUCUUUUUUUUUUUUCUUUUUUUUCCCCCUAUGGCUCAACUCGUUAUGGGCCGAAAAUGGCCCUUGACACGGACUAGCCUUGGCUCAAGUCAACGUCCAAAAUUGGGGCUUGGCUUGACUCCUCAAAGCCACGAGUCUGGCCAACUCGAGCUUUUUUCAGACUGAGCCACAUACCACCUGAAUUGGUGAGGCAAAUUUACAUGCCUAGAAACAUCCAAGUAGGACCUUAGAGAUUGUUGCUUCUAGGCAGUACUAACAAUUUAUACAUGUAUGAUUUAUUUAUUAAUUCGUUCUUAAAAAUCAUUCCGAAUAUCAAAAUCUGAUGGUUUGUUUAAUUGGAAAAAAAAAUUCCAUGGAAAAUGACAUUUUCCAUCAAAAUUUCAACUCUGUGUUUGUUGGCAUGAAAAAUGUCUCCUAAAACAGAAAAUAUUUUCUUUGUUUUGAGAAAAGUAAAAACCUAAAAAUAGGGAAAAUUAAACAUAUUUUCUAUGAGAAAAAUAACAAUCAAAUACUCAAAAAAAGUUAUCUCAAUCUUACUCUCCUUGAUCGUUAAUUCCCACCCCAAAUUUUGAUAUUUGUAGAUUUUAAGCUAGAGUAGGAACCAUGAAUAUCAUAAUACUCCAAAUUCAUACAAUAUCCACACAAACAGUGCUUGACCAACGGUUUUGUGUCUGUGAAAUCCUUAUAAAAGAGAAUUUUGAAGAGUUUACUUCCAUAAUCCAUUUUUCAUAUUUCCAUAUAAGUCGAUUAUUCACUUCAAUUGGAGCUUUAAACAAUCUGUCACGGAAACCCCCAAAUCAUCACCAACAAAGAAGUUCGACCAAGAACCUACUGAAUCGUGAUGCUACAAAAGCGAUGGGGCCAUGCAUUGUGUAAUGUAUAGGAUGUUGGAAUGCAGAAGUGGAAUUAUCUAGAAAUUAAAAGAUUUCUUUAAUUCAAUAAACAAGAUCAUCUAAAUGUUCACGUGUAUGUUAUAUUAAAAAUAAAGAAUUCGAUUUUUUUACCUAAAUUCGAUAAUCAAUUAUUGAAUAAAUUCUGAAUCACGAACUUCCAGCCUUUUAAUUUUGAGAAUUUGAUGUUUCAAACCUUCAAGUCUUCUAUAGUAUUCUCCAAAAUCAAAACUAUACCGGUGUGUGGCACCUUCUUCUAAUUAAAUAAAAAAAAACUAAUUCUUGAACUUGAUAAUUGAAAAUUCAAGAAAAUUAAUUUUUUCUCUCUCCAAAAUUUGAACAUCAUGGAAUCAUGUAUUAUGAAUGUUGUACAAUACCAUACUAUAGAAUGUCUACGUUCAUCUAAUCUCUAUUUACAAAGAUAGAAAAAUUCCAAUCAUUAUAUAAUAAUAAUAAUAAUAAUAAUUCCACAUUCAAAUAGGAGUUCUAAUUAAAAGUCCAAAUCCAAUUAUUUUAUAUUUAAUUACAUGCGUAGUCCUAAAAUUUCAAUUACAAUUAUAAUUAAAACUUUAUUAUAAUUACAUUUAAACCCAAAACUAUUAGAAUUACUGUAAUUAAGUUCCAAUUUUUAUGGAGCUAUCAUAGGGACCUGAUCGGAUAUAUAUUAUCUAAGCUCCAAUAAUUAGAUCCUGUCUAGUCGACCAUAGACCACUCAAUCAAUUAUUAGUCUUUACUUUUUCUUUUUUCCAUUAAAGACAAAAGACUGAAUUCUCGAAAUAUAUAAGCAGAAGUCAAUAAAUCUGUAAUACUUUUCUCUGACCUGUUGUAUAUGUAUUUUAUCCUCGUCCGAGAUUCGAUAAUUAGGUACGAGCUAAAUGACCAUUUUACCCCUCUAAUUAUUCUCACUAACAAAAUUUUCAUUUUUUUCAACGGUCUUGUGAACUAAUCACAAAUGUCGAAAUUUAAUCAUCGCUAAACACUGGCUAAACACUGAACUCAGAUUUUAACCGUUCAACAGAAAAUAUUUAAAUAGUCACUCUUGCGAUUUUUCAGGGCGACGGUUCCCCGACACGAAUCCAUGUUCUCUACUACGCUCAUUUUCAAGUUCUCAACUCAUCGAGAUAUUUAACCAAUCAAAUUGAUCCCACCCAUUGAUGAAUCAAAGAACCAUUAAAAUUACGAAAAGAUAUAUAUAAUUCUGCCAAGUGAUUUAGAUGAAAUACACAAUGGUCUAAUGGGAUUUAAUUCUCCGCACGAUCAUAUUAUAAAAUUAAAUUCAACAUGGGGUCCGUUCAAUACACUCCAAGUGUACUAGUGUCAGAUUUAACUAUUUCUGUAACAAGGAUAAAUCACAAAUCUGAAUAGCGAAUCGGUCAAUACUACUACCUUCCAAUACAAGUUGCCAACCCUUAUACAUUGGUUGUGAACAAAUUAUUUAUUAUCAAAAUAUAAGUUGUGUCACAUAUUACAUCUUAACACAAGUACACAACUUAUAUUAUCUCAAGUGAUCAGAGACACUUUAAUUUGCAUGCUCAAUAAUAAAUAAUGCAAUAAAUAAAUAAAACCCCCUUUUUAUAUAUUAUAAAUGAUUAUUUUAUUAUAGCAAAAUAUACUAUAUGGACACACAACCCAAUAUUACAGUAUUUUAUCUUCAAACCCAGCUUUGUAUGUCUCGAUGAAUCACGUCGCAAUUUAAAAAGAUUUGUAAUUAAAUCAUCCGAUACCCUGUUGUCACUACAACUUGUCAUUUACAUGCCCAUUCAUUGUAUACCAUUCCUUGCGUUAUGCAUUGGCACGUGCAAAAUAACAUUAUAGAUUAAAGACAUUACAGUUGUGCACAUCAACGUAUAUUAUCAAGAAUUGUUUACUUUACAAAUUCACACCAUGUACCAUGUACCAUGUAUUGUAACAUCUCAAGCCAUUAUGUAUAUUCAUUUUGAGAAAAUAAUGUAAAUUGAGUCUUAACAUACUAUAUGUCAAUUAGUUGGGUUACAUUUCAUAGGCAAGGGUUAAGGUUUUACGUAGCUUUAUAACAUCAUAAAAAUUACUACAACCCUUAGGUACAUUAUACAUGGCAUGUCCCCACUUCAUGUAUAAAUUUUUCAUCAUAAAAGUAAUUCGAGAUAUCGAAAAAAUAUGUUCAGUGGAAUCACAAAAUGAGGAAUACGCAAUCAUGCAUAGUAUGAAUGUGUUUUUGUAUUAUUAUCCCACGCGCAAUAUACACAGAAUGCCAUUGUUGGAGGUUAGACAGACUAGAGGAAAUGUGGUUCAACAUUUUGGUUAGAUUUAUUAAGUUUUUGAUCGGGGAAUUUGCAUUGUUUUUUAUUUGAAAUGUGAUGAAGAUGACAACACAAACAAAUUUAAGAUGGGGAAAUGACAAUUAGAAGAAAAGAUUUUCAUUCAUUUGAAGAGUGUAUUCAGGAAGGAUGUUGAGCGAGUCUUCUUGAAGAUGUUGAAUGAGUGUUUUUAUGAUGUCAUGACUAUUUUUGAUAUAACGGUGGGUAAUCAUUGGGUUUAGUUUGGUAAUGUUGGAAAAUUUUGGGUGUAUUUAGUUUAGUUUAUUUGUGGUUAGCUUGUGUUCAAUAUCUGUGAUUUAUUUUGAAAUCGUAGUACUAUGAACAGAUGUCUUGAAAUGUUAAAUACCUUUCUCCUUAUCAUGUUCAUCUACUUCAUAUCAGUCACUACUUAGCAGAGCAAGCUCAUAAUUAUUCCAUUUUUUCUUCAUAUUUCUAGGUUUAUAGCCCUUGUUUUACACCCUGAAAAUUUUUAAUAAAUUUCUCUAUCUUCUUUUCAACUAUGGAUUCUUCAUUAAAAUAAUAUUACAUGUAAAUAUUAAAAAAAAAAAUCUUCUUUUUGAACCGCACAUUCUCCCAAAAAAUAUUAUUCCAUAACACAUUUUACCAAAAUUUCUCGUUAUAAUGUGUGUCAAACAAGGGCAUAAUUGCAAGGUUUCAUUUUUUAAAAGUUAAAUUAAAGCUGUAUGUUUAGUAACACAUCUACAUACAACACCUAGUUUACAUGAUCAUCCCAUGAUCACCAGAGGUAAAUCAGGUAUUGUCAAACCAAAUCCUAAAUAUGCAAAUCUACUUAAUGUUACCUACAUUCGUCAAGAACCCAAGACUAUUAAAUAUGCUUUGAAACAUGAGGGAUGGGUUAAUGCUAUGAAAGAUGAAUUGCAAGCCCUCAAAAAAAUGAGACUUGGAUCUUAGUUCCGAGAGAACAUAAUAUGUAUGUAAUUGGUAGCAAAUGGGUUUACAAAACCAAGCUCAAAUCUGAUGGCACUUUAAAAUGCCUAAAAGUUAGAUUAGUAGCUAAAGGAUAUAAUCAAGUAGAAGGGGUUGGUUACCAUGAGACAUUUUCUCCAAUAAUCAUACAAGGUACUAAAUGACUUGUGCUUUCAAUUGCUACUUCAAAAAAUUGGGACAUUUGCCAAUUAGAUGUUAAAAAUGCUUUUUUACGUGGUUCUAUAAAAGAAAAUGUUUUUAUGGACCAAAGCCUAGGUUUUUCGAGUUAAAUUCACCAAAUCAUGUUUGCAGGUUAUAGAAAGCCUUACAUGGUCUAAAACAAGCACUGAUAAGUGUGUUUUUGCACACUUAUUUAGGUCACAAACGUGACUUAAUUACGAGCAAAUUGAUUGAAUUGUGACUUAAUUUCAUUACAUUUGUGAAUUGUAGGGAACACUGAUGAACAUGGUGAAAUUCAUGAGAAAAGAAGUGAAAAAGCACUAAAAUGACAUAAAGUGAAAGUUCAAGGACCAAGGUGCAAUUACCAAAAAGUUGACCCGAUGAACAAUUCAAGGAAUUGAUUGAACCAAAUGCCAAUUGAUGAUGUCUUGGGAUGAUGGAAUGGAAAGAGUGAAGAAAAGAGGCCUAGAAGUGAAAGAUUCAAGUAAAGAGACUAUAUUGAAGAUAAUAGAAGUUGGAGUCUACCAUGCGGCCGCAUGGUAGAACUCCCGUGCGGCCGCACGAGUAAAUGUAGGGAAUUUUUAUCGAAACAUGUAAUAACCAUGCGGUCACAUGGUAGUAUAUCCGAUACGAAAUUUUUUUUCCUUAUACGAUUAAAACUCUUUUGGUAACAUAAUAUUCACGAGAUAUAAAUAUCAAAUAAGGUCCAGAAAAGACCAGAACACAUUGGGAGGCAGAAAAACACUUCUUAAAGAGGAUUUGGAGCGCAAGAACGAAGAUUGGCUAUUAGAAUUUCAAGAAUUCUUCAAGCUUUUAUAAUUCGGUGAUACUUAUUACUCAAAACCUGAUGUAUUUUGUUAUUUUAAUCAUGCUAGGCUAGAUUUUCAUGUGCUAGGAGAUCGACCAUGUAAGUUGAAUUUUAAUAUCCUAGUUUUGCAAUUUGAUAUUAAGACACAUUUUAUUGUUUUGAAUGAUUUAUAUGCAAUUAAUGUUUCCGCAAUUAAGGGCUCGUAAUUGUGUGAAUUUGGGUGAUUUAUUCUUGCAAUCGAGAGAAUUGGAAUAGAUUUGACAUAAUAUAAAUUAUCGUAGGAUCCGAUAGGAAAUAAAAAUAUACCGUUAUGCCAUACGUGAAUCUUUAAGUGUUCAUAAAAUCGCAUGCAUUUUUACAUAUGCUCUUAUCAUAGAAAUAUAGGUCGGUGGUAUGUAGAAAUAGGUUUGAUACAUCUCGAGAGAGAAUAUUGGAUAAACUUAGAAACAUUGAUUCGUCACAAUUGAAGUGUGUUGUCAUAUUGUGAAACUAGGGUUUAAAGUAAUAAUUGUAUGGGAAAUCGUGAUCCUAGUGUGUUUAAUUUCUAUUGAUUAUAACAACGUAUGUUCUCAACAUUUAGUUUUAUUCUAGAGUGUUAAAAUAUUGUUUUGAGUUUUAAUUUCAAUUUACUCAUUAAAUUUGCAUAAUUAGGAUUUCUUUUUGAAAUUAAGGUUUUACUUAGAUUUACAUCUACUUUGGCAAUCCAGUUUCGGUUAAGGCCACGUUAGAUAAAAUUUAAACCAAUCAAUCUCUGUGGGACGAUAUUCGGACUCAUUGAUUUCACUUUAUUACUUGUUAACGAACCGUACACUUGCGGUAGUUUAAAAUCGAAAGAAAAUAAUUUCGUGAACAAGCACCACGAGCAUGGUUUUCUCAUUUUCGUAGGUUUUUAUUCAAGCAUGGUUUUCUCAUUUUAGUAGGUUUUUAUUCAAGUAUGGUUUUUCUUGUAGUAUUGCUGACCCUUCUCUUUUUUACUAUAAAACCAAAUCUGUUAUUUUAGUUCUCCUUUUAUAUGUUGAUGACAUGCUUCUUACUGAGUCCAAUACCAUGCAUGUUCUUAAACUCUUUUGUUGUUGCACUUCACCAAGAGUUCUAUAUUAAGGAUUUGGAUUUUCUUCAUUACGUUCUUGGCGUUCAUAUUACACGCACUACUAAUGGCUUACUUUUGUCACAGUCUACAUAUGCCCUUGAUAUCAUCAAGUGAACCCAAAUGGAAGGAUGUAAGCCUAUGAAUACCCUAUUGUCCCCUAAAUACAAACAUUUAGGAUGAUUUUUUUUGAGUCUACAAACAACAAUUUUUUUAAAUUUUUUUAAUUUUUAAUUUUUUUUUUUAAUGCUGGAUCAUUGUAAAAGGUAGCAUAAUUAAUUUUUUUAUGAUCAGAAGCUAAGAUUUUCCGUGGUUUACCUACUGUACUUUGUUGGAAGACUUAAUCAAGAAUUUGGCUACAGAAGACAAGCAACGAUCCAUUAUUGUGCCCCGUUCGAUUUCCAUUCUUUGGUCACAAAAAUGAAAAAUAUGACUAUUGUUCAUCGUAUCAAGCCAUCAUAUUUGACUUUCUAUCUCUUGUGUGUGUCUUGUAACGAUUAUAUUUUUCAUUAUCAUUCUUAGAUUAAUGAAAAUCAAACGGACUCUGAAUAUUGAUAAAGCAUUCUAACGAAGUACAGUGGGUAGUCAAGGAAGUACAUAAUAUUUAAAUAGGCAAGUGGAAUUAGUCUUCUAAAGAAAAAAGGUUGAACCCCAACUUUGAGGCCUCUCAUCGCCCCGCCCGUAGAGAUUUGUGAAUGAAGUAAAUUGCGGAAUGUGCCCCAACAGGCCACGGGACAAGAGCUACCUGUACACUGCGCCUACAAGGAUUCCAAUUCCAUGUCUCAGGAAUCGAACCCUCAUAUUGCGACUGCCAACAAGGCGUGAGAUAACCUCACUCUUAUCAUUUGCACCACUGAGCUAUGCCUCGGGGAGCGGAAUUAGUCUUCUAGCUUUGCCUACAAGUAUCAAUCCAUCUUGAUACUUGAGUUGGUAUGUUGCAGAAAUAAAAUAAUUUAUGUAAGCAAAUGCGUCCAUUGAUAUCAGCUAAAGAAACUCUUGGUACCAAAAUAGCUUGAACACAAACUGCAAUUUUUCAUUUGUUUUUGAAAUAGUAUGAUUAAUAUAGUGUAAUCUAUGGUACUAUAUGAAUUCAUCGGUUACAAAUUAUGCAAUAUAUAAACAAUUGAAUAAAAAUAUAAUCAGGAAACAGCAUUUUAAUUUUCUUUUUAUAAUAAUAAAAAGUAUAACACAUAUUUAAAGCACUGUUUAGUAAUUUAGGAAUAAAAAAUUGUACAUAAUGGUGUCCCCUACUCACAUGGGUGGGGCCCACCUGAAUAUAAAUAUGCAAGUGGGGGCCACCCAUGUGAGUUGGGGGACACCAUUAUGUACAACAAGAAUUAUCCCUUUGACAGAGGCUUACCUAAUUCAAUAAUUCCAUUAUUCCUCGUCCACUUUGAUGUUAGGUAACUUAAUAGGUUUACGUACCUUGCCCCAAAACAAGAAGAAAAUGUCUUAAAUAUGAUGAAGCUAAGAUGAUUGAGGAGAUAAGACAAGGAUUUGAAUGAAUGAAAUUAGGUGAACUUCUUCGCCUGUUGUUUCUUAAACACAUCGCUGUCUCGACAGGGACAUGAAAAGGAUUCUCUAAUCUUUAUGAGAGAAGAAUGAAAGUACAUGCACCGGCCUCAAAUGUUUUUAAAAUGUCUUAAUAUAUAUUAUAUUUUAUAGUUAUAUAUUAUUAGAUGUCAAUAAAGAAUUAAUAAUUCAAAAUAGAAGGUUCACUAUCAAUAUAAGUGUUACUCUACCUCGUCUCCAUUUUCUCUCUACAAUAACACGUCGAAAGGAGACUCGUCUUAACACCUUUUAUAUAGGAUAAAUACAUUACAGUAACUUCAAUAAAGGUACGAGUUUCCAAAGUAUCUUUAUAAACUCCACACUCAAACCGAAUCAAGAAUCAACUUAGUCAUGUUACCCAAGGUAUUUAGCCGUAAUUUUAUAUUUGCAGAUUACUUUUUUCCUAUUUUGUUUAAAAUACGAGGGAUUCAGAGUUUUUUGGAUGGAAAAUGUCAUCAAGAACAAGAUUUGCUAAUUAAUGGAAUGUUAAUAAUAAAAAGACAAAUGUCAUGACAAAGUUACAGACAUAAUUGUUAAAAUGAAGAAAGGUUAUGGACAUUUCAUGCAAUUAAAAUUUUGUUGUAUAGUUUUCAAAAUCAAGUGGAAUGAAAAAGACCAUUUGAGGGCCAAAAGUCAGCCUAUGCAACCACAUAGGCCAAAACUGGCCAUGGUCGCAUAGGCCAUAGCAGUAAUUUCAACCCCCCUUUUUAUUUGAUUUAUGCGAUCGCAUAGAACAGGAUAAAAUGGUCGUUAAUUAUCAUUGUUAUUUGGAAUUUGGUGGCUUUUCGAGGGUCUUUCACACCAACUCGUAUAACAUAGUUUGAUGGCUAUAUAUAGUGAUGAAUGAUCAAUUGGAAAAUAUAUAGCAACAUAUUGCCACACUUGAGAUUAGUUCUUCAUUCCAAAAGCAUUGAAAAUCAGUUGCUAUUCAUAUUCAAACCCCAUUUUUACAUUCUCGAGUUUUGGAGGAUUACACGAGUUUUUAAAUGUUAAAUCAUUUAUAAGGUUUGAUAAAAUCUUGUAAAAUCAUUUGCCGAUAAUCCCUUUAAGCUCUAAAAUUCAACACGAAUGGUGACAAAUAUCGUUUGAGGACAACGAUAUCGUGUUCGAGCCUUUGAAACCCGUAUUCAUAUUUUUGGUUUCUGUCUUCUUGUUUCUUAUCCAUUUCUCUUUUGUGAAAGACAUAAUUUCCAACAAUCUCAAACUAUAUUUAUGCAAUGGAGUACGAAACCAUCACGGCAACAAUUAAAUUGAUGAAUCAACAUGUUGUCCAAUUGGAUUGCUUCGAUGACACCAACUUCACGAGUUUGCAAGAUAAAUCGAAGUUUCUUCUAACGGCAUUGAAGAUAUUCUACACUCUAGAUCAAGAAUUGGUACCACUGCCAGAACUAACAAAUGGAGAAAUUGAACCCACAAAAGCAGAAAUACAAAAGCGCUAAGAGGAUGAACUUAUAUGCCAUGGCCAUAUUUUCAGUGCAUUAUCUGAUAGAUUGUAUGAUCUCUACACCAAUACCUCUUCUGCAAAGGAGAUUUGAAAUGCAUUAGAAAGUAAGUACAAUGCCAAAGAGGAAUGUACUAAGAAAUUUUUGAUUUCAAAAUAUUUUGAUUUUAAAUUUCUUGAAAAUAUUCCCCUCCUCUCCCUAAUUCAUGAACUACAAGUGCUUGUUAAAAAAUUAAAGACUGUGAAAAUUGAGAUCCUGAAAACUUUACAAGUGGAAGCAAUUAUCACGAAACUCCCACAGACUUGGAAGGGAUAUCGAAAUAAGAUCAUCCAUUGUUUCGAAGAUUACUCUUUAGAACAAUUGCAGAAAUAUCUUUGCAUCGAGGAUGAGUCUAGGACAAGGGAUAAGAAUAACAAUUCUUAUGAAGGCACUUCUAAGGCCAGUGCCAUGGAAUAGAUUGAGCCGUCUAUAUCCAACAAGAGAAAGCCUUCAAGAAACUUUAACAAAUCCAAGAAGAAGAUCAAAUGUGGUUGUUUCGUGUGUGGAAAACCAAGACAUUAUGGGAAGGAAUGUUGACACCAGAAAAGAAACAAUUCUAAAUGAAAGGUGAACUCUAUCAAAGAAAACAAUAUUGUGGCCACCGUAAGCGAUCAACGCUAUCAAGGAAAAGGUUCUCGGUUGGUGGUAUGAUACAUGUGCAACUAUACAUGUGUCAUAUGGCAAAUCAUUACUUAAAACAUAUUAUUAACUUGAUGGAGAUCAAGAGAUUCAAAUGGGUUACAAAGUCUAGUCCAAGAUAGUUGGGAAAGAAAUGUAGAAAUUAUUUUCACUUCCGACAAGGUCAUUACUUUGGCAAAUGUGCUAUACGUUCUCGAAAUGAAUAGGAACUUAGUUAGCAGUAAUCUCUUAGGAAAACUAGGCAUCAAAUGUAUUUAUGAGUCUAGUAAACUUGUAUUAUCUCUAAAUGGGAAAUUUGUUGGGAAAGGCUAUGCAAGUGAUUGAUAAUAAAGUUGAUUCAGCGUAUAUUAUGAUUCAUUUUACUUUAUAGCAUGCUAGAUUAGGUCGCAUAGGUAAGAGUACCAUAAAGAGAAUGAUGAAAUGUGACUUCAUAUCAUAUAACAAAAAUGAUGCAUUUUAAAUGUAAAACUUUUGUAGAAUCUAAAAUGAUUAAGAAGCCUUAUCAAAGUGUAAAUAGGACUUCUAGUACUUUGGAGUUAAUUCAUAUAGAUGUAUGUGAAUUAAAUGGCAUGUUAACUAUAGGUGGAAAUAGGUAUUUCAUUGCCUUUAUAGAUGAUCACUCUAGAUAUACUUAUGUUAUUUAAUGAAGCAUAAACAUGAGCCCUUAAUGUGUUUAAAGCAUAUAAAAAUGAAGUAAGAAAAUAAAAACUCUAAAAAGUGAUAGAGUAGGUGAAUAUUUUUCUAGUGAUCUUAAUUCAUUUUGUAUACAACAAGACAUAGUACAUCAAUGUUCUGCACCUAGGAUACCCAAACAAAAUGGUUUGAUUGAAAGAAAAAAUAGAACACUUGUUGAAAUGAUUAAUGUUACGCCCCUAACCAAACCAUUUCGACACAUCGCGCCCACUCCUCAACGAGGUACCGUGUACCCCCUCCGAAGUGGUUUCGAAGUAAUAUGAACCUUGACCUAACUAUAAGACCACAUGCUGGUCGCCAAGUGAAUCUUCCAAGGCAUCCGAAGUGCCCCCCAUGCCGAAGCGUGGGGUACACCGAGGCGCUUCUUCAAACAGCUCUUCGCCGCUAGUUUCAAAGAGAGAUCUUUGUCAGGAGAUCUCCUUUAUCUCAAUGGAUUAAUUGACGUGACAUCUCCAUGAAUUGGUUGAUGUGACGUGUCAACUUUAUGUCAAUCUAACUCAAAAAAAUUAAUUACCCGCGCACUCUAGAUGUGGUUUAUUGAUGCCUACGAGCAGACACCUCAGACCGUCAGAUGCAUACACGUGUCUCACAUCCAACGAUACUUCUCGUCUAUAAAUAUCUAAGGUUUGGCAAGAGGCAAAGGUAAUGAAACUCACACUAAACUUAGCUACCCACACACAAGUAUAAUUUUUCUUCUCCCCACUCUUGCACAAUUCCGGCAUUGUUCCGAUCACCGCCCACUAACUUGAUCGUGGAAGUAUAUGUGGCCACCACCACUCUCACUGGUUCCGAUCGUGUGCUUCUGACCGUGUGUUAUUGUGCAUAGGGAGGGACACUUGGAGUGGCUCUCGAUUGGCCACGUGGAGAUCCAAUACACGAGGUCAAUAAUUAAUUCCAUGUUAAAUUGUGCUAAGUUACCACUCAAUUUGUGGGAUGAAGCAUUGUUGAGUGCAUGUAAUAUACUAAAUAGGGUUUUUUCAAAAUUUACAAAAGUUUCUCCUUACGAACUAUGGAAAUGAAGACAACCUAACAUUGGAUACUUCAAAGUGUGAGGGUGUCUUACUUAUUGUAAGAAUACAAACUUGAAUAGGACCAAGUUAGGUCCAAGAGGCAUUAAAUAUGCCUUUGUUUGAUAUGCUAGUAAUAGCAAAUCACAUAGAUUAUUAAAUUUGGAGACCAAUGUGAUAAUUGAAUCCAAUGGCGUAGAGUUCUUUCAGGAUUCACUAUCUUUGGAUAAUGAAUAAAGGAAAUUCCAAGCUCUAGUGGGACACAAGAUGAAACAUCUUCUAAAGAUGUUGAUGAAUCUAGUAAACCUUGAAGAAGCAAAAGAACUUGAAUUGAUAAAUCUUUAAGAUAGGAUGAAAUUGACUCCCAACUUAUUUCCUUUUACUUAGUAGAGGAAAAUGAGAAGAAUCUAGUAAGAACAAUUUCUUUUGUUUUACAAGUGAAAACCUAUCCCAAGACUUAUAGAGAGACUAUGGCUUCUCUUGAUAGUAUCUUUUGAAAAGAAGUAAUUAAGGAUGAAAUAGAUUCAAUAAUGUCAAAUAAUACAUGGGAACUUGUCGAUUUACCACCCGGAUCCAAAUUGAUCGGAUGUAAAUCGAUAUUGAAGAGAAAGUAUAACAUUGAUGAUUCUUUUAAUACCUUUAGGGCUAGAUUAGUAGCUAAAAUUAUCGACAAAAGGAAGAAAUUGACUAUUUUGACACUUAUGCAUCAGUAGCUAGAAUAACAUCAAUCAAGAUAUUAUUUGCAUUAGCUUCCAUACAUAACUUGUAUGUUUGUCAAAUGGCUAUCGAGACAGCAUUCUUGAAUGGAGAUCUCGAUGACGAGGUUUAUAUAGAACAACCUAAAGGUUUGUUCUACCUAGAAAUGAACACAAUAUGUUCAAUUUUGUAAAAUCACUGUAUGGUUUGUAGCAAUCACCUAAAAAUGGCAUGAGAAAUUUGACUUUGUUAUAAUAUCAUUUGGUUUUAAACACAAUAUUGGGUAUAAAUGCUUAUAUUCUAAAAUAUGUGAUAAUUAUGUGAUAUUUAUAUGCUUAUAUGUAGAUGACAUGUUGAUUAUGAGUAAUCACAUGGAUGGAAUAGAAGAAAUGAAGAGGUUUCUAUUUUUUACAUUCAAAAUGAAGAAUCUUGGACAGGUGGAUACCAUAUUGGGUAUCAAAGUCACUAAGACUAGUGGGGGUUGUUAUCUAAGUCAAGCACAUUAUAUUGAGAUGUGAUAAACAAGUUCAAACAUUUGAACAUAAAGGAAUAUAGUACCCCAAUUGAUCUAAGUUCAAAGCUUGAAAGAAUGAUGGAAGGGUAAUUGCCCAAUUGGAAUACGCAAGUGUUAUAGGGAGUCUAAUGUAUACAGUGCAAUGCAAUAAACCGGACUUAAUAUUUGUAAUUAAUAAACUUGGUAGGUUUACUAGUAAGCCGAGCAAUGAACAUUGGAAGGCCGUUGGAAAAGUUCUUGAAUACUUAAAAAAAACCAAGAACUUAGGUCUGCAAUAUACAAGAUUCCUAGCUAUAUUAGAAGGAUUUAUAGAUCCUAACUGGAAAUCUAGUACGGGAGAAAGUAAAUCUACUCCGGGUUGGGUGUUUACACUUGGAAGAGGAAUUGUGUCUUGGAAAUUAAAGAAAGGGACAUGUAUAAUACACUCGACUAUGGAAUAUGAAUUUGUAGCACUAUUGAAAAUCAGGAAAGAAGUUGAGGGGCUUAAGAAUGUCUUUUAUGAGAUACUUUGGGAUCGACGAAUACAUCUUCAAAAUCUAUCAUGUUUGAUAGUCAAGCCAUGUUAGCAAAAGUAUACAAUGAAGUAUACAACAAAAAGUCUAGACAUAUCAAUCUUAGACAUGACUACAUAAGGAAAUUAAUCAAAACUAGAAUAAUUUCCCUAAAUUAUGUUAAGUCAAUUGAGAAUUCAGUGGAUCCUUUACUAAACCUCUAAAUAGAGAUUUAGUAGCAUCUACUUCGAGUAUGAUGGGGUUGGAACUCUUAAACUAAAAAUUCCGUCAAUGACGGCAACCAUACAUGUCAUUACUCAAAAGAUAAUCCAUGGGUUCAAAGGAUAACAAUAAGUCAUUUGAUAUGUGAAUAGUUUCAGCAUUAUUAAAAUCUGUGAUGACCCUAUCCUAAUAAGUAAUGUUAAUUGUUAUUGAAGUGAAGGUUGAGCUUUAAGCUCUUAAUGAAGUUCAGUACUAAAUACACUUACCUCUAAAAGUAAAAAAGAUACUGGAAGAACUUUACCUUGAUAAACUUCGAGAUGGUGCAACCUCAAUAGAGAAUUAGAGUUUCGCUCUUAAAAGUUUGUCAAAAAGGAUAAGCGCAAAGUGAGUUUGACGAAUUUGAGAACACGUGAUACUUAUGUGUGUAUUCUUACUGGUAUUAUCACAAGGAAUAAUUGGCUCAAAGCUCCAACGCUACAUUUAAUUUUGACUUUACUUUGUUUGAAUUACACUAUAGUUAGAUUCAAAUAGAAAGAUAUCUAAUCCAUAUGUAUGAGUAUUGUAAUUUUGGAUAUUUUGAAUAGGAGGUUCAUUGAACUUUGAGCAAGUGGGGGAUUGUUUUAUAGUAUAUCAAAAUCAAUAUGAAAUUAACUGAAAUGAAAGAAUAAAAAUCAUUUGAGGGCCAAAAGUUGCGCAUAGGCCAAAAUUGGCCACAGUCGCAUAGGCCAUUGCAGUAAUUUCAGCGCCUUUUUAUUUGAUCUAUGCGACCACAUAAAAUUGUUCUAUGCAGUUGCAUAGAAGGAUGAAAUAGCCAUUAAUGCCUGUUGUUAUUUUGAAUUUGGUGGUUUUUUGAAGGUCUUUCACACCAUUGUAGCAUAGUUUGAUGGCAAUAUAUAGGUGAUGAAUGAUCAAUUGGAAAAUAUAUAGAAACAUAUUGCCGCACUUAAGAUUAAUUCUUUAUUCCAAAAGCAUUGAAAAUCAGUUUCUAUUCAUAUUCAAACCCCAUUUUCGUAUUCUCAAGUUUUGGAGGAUUACACAAGUGCUUAACUAUUUAAUCAUUUUACAAGGCUUGAUAAAAAUCCCACAAACCAUUUGCCGAUAAUCCUUUUAAGUACUAAAAUUCAAUAUGAGAGGGGGUAAAUAUUGUUUGAUAACAACGAUGUCGUAUUCGAGACUUCGAAUACCGUAUUCAUAUUUUUGGCUUUUGUCUUCUUGUUUCUUUUCAAGUUCUCUUUUGCGAAAGACAUAAUUUCCAACAAAUUUUUCAUUAGUAAAAAAAAUUGUGAUAUUAAUGUAUUUAGAAUAAUGUUAUGGUACAGAGUGGGGAUCAUCCUCAUGUGAUAUGGUAAAUGAUGCAAGUUGAAAUGAUAAUGCCAAAUAAAUGUGUAGACGUAAAAUGCUGCAUUGACCUUAUCAUUUAAGAAUAAUUCACACUAAGAUCAUCCCAAAUUUGUGCAUAAAACUAACUCAUAUAUUUAACCUUUACACUUUCGAGUGUCCUUCCAUUCGUAGGAAAUUUUGCAAACAUUAAGGCUGUAAAUAGACUGAAUACGUAUUGGAUCUGUCAAAAUUCAAUCCAUUAAGAAUAAUUAUCUGAUUCGAUAAUCCAAUGGAUAUUUGACUGUUAAAUCCAUUUCGAUUUGCUAUAUUAUCAUAUAUCGGAUCCGAUAACGGGACCCAAAAUUGGAAAAAUAUAAAAGAUAAAAAAUUUAUAUUAAUCAACUUCCAAACCCUAUAAUUAGAAGGCUUGCAUAGUUUUUUGCCAAAAUCUUGGUCCACCCAUUUAUUGUAAAUUUUAUGAUAUUCUAGUGGGUAUUCGAUAUGGGAAGUGAGGAAUUGGAAACUAUUGGCUCCUUUGGUUGUUUAACUUAUAAGAUAAAUUAAUUACUAUUUUUAUCUUGUUUUAAUUAAUAAAAUAAUUAUAUCUCUUCAAAUAUUUCAAUUAAUACUAUUAUCUAAUAUUAUUUAUUAUUCGAAAAUUAUGUGUAAAGUAUAAUACAAGUUUCAAAGUGGCAAAAAAUUAUGUGUAAUAAAUUAUGCGAUAAUAAAUAAAAUAUAUUAUAUUAUUAUAAUAAAUCAGAUUGGUUUGUUAUCAGAUCAGAUUGACCUAUAUCCUUCUUUUCUUCAUUUAGUUAAUGGAUUAUCGAAUUCAGAUUUUGAUCGAGUUAUCGAAGUGAGACUCUAAAUCCAUUUUCCAUUAAUUUCAUCAGAUACGGAUCAAAUCAGAUCAAAACACUAUCUAUUAACAACCAUAUACUGUAUGUACAAUGUGUAUAUAUACUUACAUACAGUGUUUUUUAAAUUUACAUUUUAAACACUAUUAUUUUAGUGUUAACAAAAAACAUUUUUCCCUUAAAAAUUGAAAAAAUUUAUGAGUAGUUUAAAUAAACAUACAAAAAUACCUAAGAUUGAUAAUAAUUAAUCACAUUCUUUAUAUUAUAUUAUGCGAUACUUACUAAAUAGGACUGAAAAUUUGGAGCAUAACUUUUCCGUCUAAAAGUUGAUAUCUAUAUUUCAUCCAUUUGACUUCUUUCCAUAUCUGAUUGACUCCUAGCACUCUCAAAUCUUUAUUUUGAGGUUCAACAGAACUUUUUAGUAUUUGAACUUUAGUCCUCAAACUUUAAUUUUGCUUUAUUUCAACCAUUUUCUCUUAUAAUCUUGUUCAUUUAUCAUCCAAUUAUAUCCAAUUAAAGCCUUAGCAUCUUCAAUUUUCAUUUCAUCGCCCAUCUCAUCGAUAAAUUAUUUACAACUUAGUCCUCGUCUUUUGGAUUUCACUCAUUUUAAUAGGUUUUCCUUUUGUUUCUUCUAGUUCUUUGUUCAACCGUUGAACUUUAUAUGUUUAACAUAAAAUACAACAAUUUAGGAUAUAUUUCGUCAAAAUAACUAGCAAAUAUCGCUAUUUUAAGCUCAGAAUAAGUGUAUAAAAUACACUUAUCACUUACCAUUUCUAUACUAGGAAUUUUUUAUUUUCUAAAAGUUUAAUUAUUAUUUCAUUUUUGUAGUUAAUUUAUCUCUCUUUUAUCUAUUCUCACUGAAUAAACAUUUGGUUUAGUAAUUUCAUUACAUUUGCACAAGUUUUGUUUUCGUUUUCAUUGCACUAAAAAAUAUUCAUAUAUGUUUUCUAGUUCAUGAAGUUUUCUCACAAAAUAGAGAAAAUUUAUCCACAAUAGGAACCAAGGAAAUGAAACCUCCAUUCUUGUUAAUUUUUUAAGUUUGAAGAUGACCCCAAAGAAAUUAUUAUUUUAGCUACAAAGUUAUAAAAAGUAUAAAUUUCCUGAUAUUUUAUAUUUUUUAUUCAUUAAAAAAAUUAUUAAAUACAGUAUAGAAGUUAGGCAAAUAUAGCAUCAAAACUAUGACUUUUAAUAUAAAUUUCAGGCACUUUUCCUUUACCAUAAUUUAUCACAAAAGGCAUCACAGUGAUCAGAUCCAUGUGUCAUUUAAUUCAAGUCUGCACAAUGUUGUAAGAUUAUGUUGACAUUGCUUUCCAUACGAAUGACAUAACAACUAGAUCUCGAUUCCAUUCGCGUCCACGGAAGCUAGGAGACUACAAUUGAGUAUGCCUAAUUCCCUAAUCUAUAAGUGCUAGCCUUGCUUUUGUAAUUUUUGAUUUCUAAACUUAAUCAAUACAAAAAGGCUUUUGCUUGGAAGAAUGCAUUCAUUUAUUGCUUCAUCUAAAUGAUUUCCACAAGAAUUGAUUGAAACUUUAGAUGGGCUCUUAAACACACACCUUUAGCCAAAAAAUAUAAUUGUAACUGAUACUGAUGUUCAAAAAAAGAAUGAAAGAACUAUCUCAGAGCCAAAGUUGACCUGAUCUCUCGAAAGAAUUCUAUCUCUGCACACUUGGACAAGUCAUUAGGAGCACAUGGUCUUCUCUGAUGGUGGAAAAAGCAAUCACGAGCAUUUCGACAAUCAAGUCAGUCAACUUAUAUAGCUCAUAUUUGGUGGAGAUUAAAAUUAAUUUUUAGUAGAUUUUCAUAAAAAAAAAUUGUUGAAAUGUGUGGUUCAAAGUUGUAGAUCCCAUAAAAUGUGUGGUUAAAAUUGAUUGUUGACCACUUAGAUUAAAAUCUGGAUUUUAAUUUGCAUCAAACAAGGGCAUAAUAUAUUGGGCGUGAGAAGUACAAGACAUAAGCCACAAAGGUGUUGUAGACCCGAAGGUUAAUAAUAGAAUCAAUAUAAGAGAAAUAGCAACAUUACUUGACAUGACACAAAGCAUGUGAGCCUUUAUAGUCAAAGAUGUGAAAAUGGUUACUGUUGGACGAAAAGAUACAUGGCCUGAUAAGAGUGUAAAAUAUAAUAUUUCUCCCUCUUAAUUAUAGAAUUCAUGUGAUUAUUUGAUACCAAAAUGUACUUAUUAUACUUAUAUUUUGAUUCUGGUUGCAUUUUGGUAGAAGAUGUGGAAGUUAGAAGAAAAGAGCGAAAAAGGACCAAAAUGGAAGAAAAUGAAAGUUCAGGGACUAAAGUGAAAAUAUUCCAAACUUGUGUCUAAUCUUAUGAUGAAGAUUCGAGAGUGUUAGAGGUUGAGCAGUGAGGAAAGAAGUCAAAUGGAUGAAAUAUCAUCAAAGUAUGAUCAUACAUCAAUUCCUAAUAAAAAAGUUAUGCACUAAUUCUCAGUCUCAUAUUGGGACCUCUUUUUGACAUUUCAAAUGAUCGAAUUGGAAGAUGAUAUCUGAAGAAAAGUUGUAGCCCUUUGAGUUAGAUUUCAGACUUUCCAUUUAUUCAUCAAAAGAGGCGUCCCUUUUGAAGCCAGAAUGGAUUUUCCUUGAUACCUAACAUAAUGCAUGAAAGGAUCCUUGAACAAGCAUAGAUUGGUCUGAAAAUGUAAUUUGAAUUACCUUAAUCAAACAUUGGAAGGGAAAGUUAUGGCCAAAGUAUUAAAAGCUGUCUAGUGGGAAAAAUGUUUGAACCAUGCGAUUAGUUCAAAAAUCAUGCGGUCGCAUAGAAGGUUCUAGGGAACGUCAGGGCUAAAAAUAUUUUUUCUAUCCAACUGCAAUACUUAAUACUAGGUAGUAGCAUGGUUCACUUCCGAAGCAAAAAUUCUAGUUUCCUAAUUUGAGUCCAAAACUUAUGGAAACACGUCUCCUACACGAUUUUAUGACCCUAGGUCAUCGCAGAACGCCAUUAUUCAUCUCCACACCACUUUUCUUUGAUUUUUGGUUCAAGAAUUCCAUGGAGAACUAAAAUAUUUUGUGAAGCCACGAAAGGUCUCGAUAAGAUUUGGUGAUUUUUAUGUCUUUUCAUUCAUGUAACAUGCUUCUUCAGUGACGAAUGAUUCUAGGAUUUAGAUUUCUUCUUUAUAUUUAUACUUUUGAAGUUUGUUUAACUUUUAUUAAAUUGUUCAUGGAUUCAAUCAUGUUUUUAUUCAUUGAAUGAUUAAAAUAUUGGUUGAGAUUAAAUUUCAAUUGAUUUAUUGACGUGAUUUGAUUACUACUCUAUGCUUAAGGUAUAUUGUCGUUUCUUGAAUAUUGUUUCAGUAAAUAAACACGAAAUAUUUUGUAGUAAAUCUAAAUUCCAAGAUUACAAGUGAGAUUAAAUUGAUCUAGAUUUCUUGCUUUUAUAAAGUUGUUUGAGAUUGAUUUAACUUUUACUAGAUUAGUUAUAAAUCCAGUCAUACUUUUCUAUCGAUUGAUUGAAAUAAUUGUUGAGUUUCAAUUUCAUUUAUGUCAUUGGUGGACUAUUUACUUCCUUAUGCUUGAUGUAUAUGGACGAUUCUUAAUCUCAUUUCAAUGAGCAAAUGAGGGAAUGUGUUAUAGAAAGCCUAGAUUUUUGAGUAAAUGCAUGAAUAAUUGAUGUUGAUCGAUUCAAUCCGAAAUACUGAAUUCGGUGCUUUACUAAUUGCAUACAUUGAUAUAUAAUUCUCAUUUCAAAUUGAUAAACUAUUUUCACAGAAUCCACGAAAACUCUAGUUUGUUAAAUCAUUUACACAAUUUUACAUCUCUCUGUGGAAUCGACAUCCCAAAGCUGUGCUACAACUAUUGCGUCGUGUUUUGGGUAUAACCAAAUUUUGGUACCAUUGUUGAGAAGACGAUACAAAUAAUCGAAGGAUUUUCGAGCAAAAAGGUGACUUCUUUCCUCUUUUACUUUUUUUAGUUAGUUUAAUUUUAUUGGUUUUUAUUCUGUUAUUUCUCACAAAAUUUCAUAUUUUUUUAGUACUUUAUGAACAUAGAUCGGGACGAGCAGGGACAAUUCAUUACAAGGCUGCAAUCAAUGUUUGAAUCUCUUCCUAACUUUCUCUUUGAUACUGAAUCUAUUGGCACACACAUCACACUGCAUAAUGCAAUGACUGAUAGUGAACACGAAGAGGCACCAACUAGGACUUUGCAUGAUUAUCUUCACCCCACACACUCAUCUAUACCGUCAUGCAUUAUAUUUCUACCUAAUAUGCCACGUAUGGACCUUAAACUAGGAAUGAUUCAACUUCUUCCCACAUUUCACGAUCUUGAAAAUAAAAACCCAUAUGUGCAUAUUAGAAAAUUUGAAGAGGUGUUUGCAACUUUCCACAAUCAAUGUGGUACAAUGGAUGUAGUCAGGGUUAAAUUUUUUUUGUUUUCUCUUAAAGAAAGAGCAAAGAGCUGGCUAUCUUCAUUGUUACCAAGUUCGAUUAGGACUUGGGCUUAAAUGACCCAAGCUUUCUUUGGCAAAUACUAUCCCCAUCAUAAAACCAUUGCCCUUAAGAAGUAAAUCUCUUCAUCUGUCCAAAAUGAUAGUGAAACCUUAUACCAAGCCUGGAAAAGAUAUAAAGCAUUGCAAGCCCUUUGUCCCCACCAUGGUUAUGAGAGUUAGCGUGUGGUGAGUUAUUUAUACUAGGGAUUAACACCUAGAGAACACCAGUUGUUGAAAUGAUGUGUAAUGGGAAAUUUUUGUAAAAAGAUCCAAAUGAGGCUAUAGAGUACUUAGAUGACUUAGCUAAAAAAACCCAUACCUGGACCAGACCUAGUGCCACUAACAGUACCAAUACGUCACAACCUCAGGGAAAUUCCACUAGCACAAGCAUUUACCACCUUAGAAAGGAAGACAACCUUAGAGCUAAGGUAGAAUCACUCGCUAGAGAACUUGAAGCCCUACGUGCUAAGGAUUCAAAAUCCAUGCAAUUUGUUUCCCAUGUUGAGCCUUUAAGGGUUUGUUUUGUGUAUGGCAGCAUUGAUCAUCCAAAGCAAGAGUGUGCUACUUACGCUGAGAUGAGGGGAGUCUAUGAGGAGCACUGUAAUGCUUUAGGUACAUAUCAAAAGCCCUUUACUCCCUACUCUGAAACCUAUAAUCCGGGGUGACGGAAUCACCCCAAUUUUAGCUGAAAGUUUGAGAACCAACAACCUGCCCAACAAAAUCGAGCCUACACUACACCUCCACAUCAACCCACAUCCUUUAGGAAUUCUUUAGAAGACACCUUACAUGCAUCCAUAGAAGCACAAAGUAAGACUAAUCUGAAGUUUGAGACUAUGAUUACCCAAAUUAUUGAGGAAAACAAAGAAAUAAAAACUCAUAUGUCCAAGCUCACUAACUUUUUAGCUAUAGGGGAACAUGGAAAUUUUCCAACACAGGCUCAAUCAAACCCUAAAGGACAACAUAUAGCACAAACCUCAGGCUCAGGAGAAAACUACCUUAGGAAAGUUAAUGCCAUAACUACUCGAUCUGAAAAUGUUAUAGAACCAAUCCCCAAACCUAGAGAAAAUGAAAAGGACCCCAAUAGCUCAAAAGAGAGUAUCCCUAGUGAGGAGGUAGUGAAGAAUCCAUCCAGAGUGCAAUUCUCUCAAGCUCUCAAGUCUACCUUAAAACCCACCGGAUAGCAUAGUGAAAUCUUAGAACACCUCAAACAGGUAAAAAUCAAUCUACCUCUCCUGUACGUGAUUUCACAGUUUCCUACAUAGGCUAAAGCACUGUAAAAAGAAAACACCACGUCAAGAAAACUAUUUUCUUGACUGAACAAGUGAGUGCGUUAAUCGAGCAAAGGAUUCCAUCUAAAUAUAAGGACCUUGGUUGCCCCACUAUGUCUUGUACCAUUGGGAACCAUGAAUUUGCACAAGUUCUUCUCGAUUUAGGGGCUAAUGUCAAUAUCAUGCCUUAUGCUAUAUACACAGCGUUAGGUCUAGGUGAGAUCAAACCUACUUUUGUGGUCCUACAAUUAGCUGAUCGGUCCACUAUUAGACCUAGGGAAGUAGUUGAGGAUGUGUUGGUACAAAUUGACAAAUUUUGCUACCUCGUGGAUUUCUUGGUAUUGGACUUGAAAGUUGAUGUGAAUGUUAACUCCAAGAUUCUCAUUAUUCUUAGUAGACCUUGUCUUGCCAUAACUAAUGCUCUUAUUAAUUGCAGGAAUGGUCUAAUGAAACUAUCAUUUGGGAACAUAAUCUUAGAAGUCAACAUAUUUCACAUCAUGAAGCAACCUGAGGAGGAUGAUGAGUAUCAUCAAACAUUCAUGAUUGAUGCACUUAUUCAGGAGAAAACACCAGUAACUAUAGACCCCAACCCUUUGAGCUGUUUCCUUUUAAAUUCUGAAAUUCCAACAGGAUAUGAUGACAGAGAGUAUGCUUAUAUCUGUGCUACUUUUGAUGAUUUGCAAGACUAUAGAACAUCACUAGUGCUUAUCUCCAAUGAGUUUGGUGCAAUACAAAGAAGAUUGCAAAUACCCUGGUUGCAUACGGGCUAAAGAAAACAAUACUGGGUAGAGCCAACGAUAAUAAACAAAGGCGCUGCUUGGGAGGCAACUUAAAGGGAGUUCUUUUCCCUUCUUUUAUCUUAUUUUUUCAUUUGUUAGGUUUAUUUGCAUCACAUGCAUUAUUCACUGCAUUCUAGUUUAUUUUCAUUUUCCGUAUCACCUUUUCCGUUAGAACUUUCAGGCUUCUCUUACUUCAGCUUAUGUUGAUUCACUUCGGUAUUCAGGUGAUAUCUUUCCCUACCUUGAUUUAGCAUACAUGUUUUUACGUUGAGGACAGUGCAAUAUUUAGUUGGUGGCAUAGUUAACUUGAAUUUUGUCGUGAAUUGCAUACUUUCAUGGAAUUUCGUCUAAAUUUUUUAAGUCCCUAAUUUGCUACAUGUUUAUGUUCUUGAAUGACAAAAUAUGCCACUAGGAAUUAAUGUUGUUUAUGAAAGUUUAGACGUUGGGACACUUGUUCAAUCAUUUUUGUGCAGUCAAGCCUUGUGGUAAGAUAGUAAUUUAACACAUGUAGCUAGAUGAGUAUUUUGCAAAAGUUUUCAUGUGAGAGUUGGUGAGGAUUGAGAGCUACAAUACACUAAAAGGAAAAUAGGCGUUCAUUGGAUUUGUGAGUUGGAAACUCUUUUGAGAAUAACGUUACAUAAUUUGUGGUAUGAUGGUUGAUUACUUGAGAAAUUAUGACAGUCAAUUUAGGAUUGAAUUUUAACCUUUCAAACCAAUUUUCUUUCAUGAUUAUAACCCUCAGUAGCCACUAUAAGCCAAUGCACACACAUGUUUAACAUUUUUCUUCAUGCACCUGUGCUAUCUCUACCCCUCCGCAUUGAAGUGAGACAUAUACAUGUAUUUGCCCACCUUUUAACUUCCAAGUAUGUAGUAAGUAUUAGACAUUUAAUUGUGGAGAAAAGAAGCAAGAAGAUGACAAGAGUUGAUAAAUGCUCAAGUGAAGUGAUAAAAUUUAAAAGAAGAAGAAGAAGAAUGGAAGGUUAUUUAAAAAAAAAAAACAAGAAAAAAUUUUUGAUUGAUUUUGGGGAUUGAAAAUAAUGAAGAAUGUGUUGAUGUGAUCUAUUGAAAGGCUUGCUGUGAUAUUUGGCUAUGUGCUUGGAAGUUUUUUUGAAUCAUUAUAUCUCUCCUUUCAUAUAGCUUUACUCAAACUGCAUUACAACCUUUUACAUUGACUGCUUUGAUCCCUAGUAUGGUUGCGGUAAGAAGUAGAUGAAUUCUCAUUUAGAAGUAUGCCUAUCAUAGUAUCAAUGUUUCUUUGUUGCUUAUUCAUAAAUAUAUAAGCAUCCAAGUUAUGAGUGUAUACAUUUUCUCAGCUCCUUAGAGAGAAAACCGCACUAAACACUUUGAUACCCAUGAGUUAUGGGGAUGAACCUUUAGCUUAAGACAUACUUGACGGUAAGAUGACUAUGGAUUGACACACUGUCAUACGUUUGGCAAGUGUUUUUGAUAUCUUGAUGAUCAUGGCAUUGUUAAGUUCUUGUGGUGUUAAGUUUGAAAAGAACAUGAAUUUCGGUUAAGUUAGAACUUAAUAAUUUCACUUGUAUCACAGUCUAAUCAUUCGUUUGCUUGUUCUGCAUUUAAUUGCUAGGGGCUAGCAAUAAGCAAGUUGGGGAUAUGAUAAGAGUGUAAAAUAUAAUAUUUCUCCCUCUUAAUUAUCGCAUUCAUGUGAUUAUUUGAUACUGAAAUGUCCUCAUUAUACUUAAGUUUUGAUUCAGGUUGCAUUUUGGUAGAAAAUGUGAAAGUUAGAAGAAACGAGCGAAAAAUGACCAAAGUGGAAGAAAAUGAAAGUUCGAGGACUUAAGUGCAAAUACUCCAAACUUAUGUCUAAACUUAUGAUGACGAUUUGAGAGUGUUAGAGGUUGAGUGGAUGAGAAAAAAAGUCAAAGGGAUGAAAUAUCAUCAAAGUAUGAUCAUACAUCAGUUCCCAAUCAAAAAAGUUAUGCACCGAUUUUCAACCUCAUAUUGGAACCAGUUUUGACAUGACAAAUGAUCAAAUUGGAAGAUGAUAUCUGAAAAAAAGUUGUAGUAGGUCUUUGAGUUAUCUUUCCAAUGCAAUUUGAAUCACCUCAAUUAGAUAUUGGAAGAGAAAGUUAUGGCCAAAUUACUAAAAGCUGUCUGGCAGUGAAAAUGGUUGAACUAUGCGGUCAUAUAGUUCAAAAAUCCUGCAGUCACAUAGAAGGCUCCAGGGAACUUCAGGGCUGAAAAUAUUUUUUCUAUGGAACCACAACACUUAAUACAAUGCAGUAGCAUGGUUCACUUCCGAAGCGAAAAUUCAUGUUUCCUAAUUUGAGUCUAAAACUUAUGGAAACAUGUCUCAUACGCGAUUUUAUGACCCUAGGGCAUCCCAGAACGCCAUUAUUCAUCUCCACACCACUUUCUUUGAUUUUUGGCUCAAGAAUUCCAUGUAGAACUAAAAUCUUUGGUAAAGCCCCGAAGGAUCUCAGUCAGAUUCGGUGAUUUUUAUAUCUUUUCAUUCAUGUAACAUUCUUCUUUAUUGACAAACGAUUCUAGGAUUUCGAUUUUUUCUUUAUAUUUAUACUUUUGAAGUUUGUUUAACUUUUAUUAAAUUGUUCAUGGAUUCAAUCAUGUUUUAUUCAUUGAAUGACUAAAAUAUUGGUUGAGAUUAAAUUUCAAUUGAUUUAUUGACUUGAUUUGAUUACUGCUCUAUGCUUAAGGUAUAUUGUCGUUUCUUGAAUUUUGUUUCAGUAAAUUAACGCAAAAUAUUUCGUAGAAAAUUUGAAUUCCAGGAUUACAAGUGAGAUUAAAUUGAUCUAGUUUUCUUGCUUAUAUAAAGUUGUUUGAGAUUGAUUUAACUUUUUACUAGAUCAGUUAUAGAUCCAGUCAGGCUUUUUCUAUCGAUUGAUCGAAAUAAUUGUUGAGUUUCGAUUUCAUUUAUGUCAUUGGUAGACUAUUUACUUCCUUAUGCUUGAUGUAUAUGGAUUAUUCUUAAUCUCAUUUCAAUGAGCAAAUGUGGGAAUGUGUUAUAGAAUACUUAGAUAUUUGAGUAAAAUGCAUGAAUAAUUGAUGUUGAUUGAUCCAAUUCGAAAUAUUGAAUUUACAUGCUUCAAUAAUCGCAUACAUUGAUAUUUAAAUCUCAUUUCAAUUUGAUAAACUAUUUUUACACAAUCCACGAAAACUCUUGUUUGUUAAAUCCUUUAAACAAUUCGUCCAUCUCCUUAUGGAAUCGAUAUUCCAAAGCUGUGCUACAACUACCGUGUUAUACUUUGGACGUAAUCAUGGCCUCAUCUUAAUGACCGAAGCGUAUCAUCAUAGACAUCACAUCAUCAAUCUAGGUUUAGGAGCAUUCAAUAUUUCUAAAAAGUAUCUACCCUACCAUCUGGACUUGUCAUGUAAGGGAUAGACUAACAAGUAGACUCGAUAGAGUGGCUACUGCAGAGAGAUCACAUCAAUCAAUCAUAGAAGAUUUUGUACGAAGUGUCUUCUAGAAAAGGUUCCUAUAUGCCUAAAGGAUAUCCCCUUCAAAUUUGUACUGCAAUACAUCGCUUCGCCUUACUUCACCCAUAGUGAGUAUGUAAUGUGAUCCAAGGAACACAACAAACUUACAGAGAUCUAGCUUAACCCGAAAAAGAACCAAAGAUAGGAUCAAAAGUUACGGAGGAUCAAGGUAGCCAAAGAAUAAGUUGUUCGAGAUGUGGAGGCUAAGAGCUCGUGUGCAACAAGCAAAAUAACAAAUUACAUGUUAGACAUGAAUGUGUGAUCAAGUUUGGUUCGUUGGAUUCAAGAUUUGAAAAAUAGAUGAAAAAAUGAGUAGUGUGGAUGAAAACGUGCAAAACUUUUAGCUCGGGUGUCAAAUUUUCUCCCAAGAGCACAAUCUGGAAACGUGCACAUGAAAAAAGAUGAGUCAACAUUAAAGAUAUGCAACCACAUAGCUUAAAAAGGGAUGCGGUCGCAUACCCUAGUACCGAACCAAAAUGGAGGCUAAAUGUUUGUUCUAUACGACCACAAGUCUAAAUUCGGGUUCGCGUAAUCUCCUAAAUAUGUUAAAACUCUAUUUUUGGUAAAUUUUAUAAAUUUUAGAGUUUAAUUCCGUGUAAACUAGAGUUUUAUGAGUUCUUUACAAAUAGGAUUCAUUAUUUUCAUUCAUACAUCAAAUUGAGAGAUUAUUUUAUGAGCAAAUUUACUUUCGAUUCCUUGUUCUUCAUUGAACUAAUUUACGAACUUAUCAAGAAUUACUUCUUGUGGUGUUCAAACAAUUCGAGUGAGCUUCUUGGAUCUUGUGAUUACGUGGUCAACAUAUUGUCGGCGAUUAUGUUGGUUCUUUGGUUCAUUAUUUUUGGAUCGAACUCUAAACUUUGAUUUCUUGGCUUUCAUGGGUUGAAUCGGUAUUUUGUGGGUUUCUAGCUUCUAUUACUAUGUGGGUUUACAUCAAUUCGGCAGAAGGCAUCACUUCGAUUACCAAGGGCCUCAAAUACGCUAUAUAUGAGACUAAUGUGGAGUGCGAGGUACAAAUUUUAUAGUGACAUUUUCGGUCUAUGCGGAUCAGAGCGCUACAGAAAUCAUUCUUGAGGUAAAAAAUGAUAGUAUCAUUCUAAUACAAAAAUUACACUGAUUUACAUAACGACAUUGAAAUCAUUACAAAGACACAAAACAAUAUUGAUGUUAUUCCAACACAAAAAAAGAAACACCACUUGCUAAUUUUCGUAAUGCCAAUGAAUUCAUUAUAUACCACCAAUAAAAUGACAUGGAAAUCAUUAUGCCAAAAAACUUGCAUAGAUUACGAGUGUCUAAUCCAUGAUGUUUAUUUCAUUUCAAUAUCAAACGCACACAGCAUCCACUGAUUUUUCAUAACGACAUUGAAGUCGUUUGUCUCAAUACAUAACAAAAUUUUAGUCGUUUUUUCAACAAGGUUCACACCCAACUUGACCUAAGGCAUGCACUAGCUCAAAUUGGUUACUCUUGGUACCUCUUAGUAAAUUCCUAGGCACAUAUCAGCUCUACAGGCUUAGGCACGCACCUAGCUGAUUUUCUCUUUCGCUUCAAUUAAUCUUCCAAGUAAUGUAGCUCAAGUCAUAUCACUUUGAUCUUGCACAAUUUAAUCUUUGAAUUUUAACUUUUCUUUCAAUCAGGACCUCUAUAAAUUGCACAUCAAGUCCUUUCACUUUCUAACUUGUGCAUUUUAGUCCCCAAAGCCGCGAAAUAACAUAAUGACAUUGAUGUCGUUCUAAUAAACUUUUGAUGACAUUGAAAUCGUUAUAAUUUAAUUCAUGACUACAACAAUAUAGAUAUCGUUUCCUUUCACACAUAACGACAACGAUAUGAUUAUGAGUGAAACCCACGAAAUAACAUAACGACAGCAAUGUCGUUCCAAUACAACUUUGAUGACAUUUAAAUCACUACAGUUCAACUCAUAACUACAGUAACAUAGAUAUCAUUUCCUUUCAUGUGUAAGACAAUCAUAUCGUUAUGUAUGAUAAGAAAAUCAUAUCGUUGUGUAUGAAACCCACAAAAUAGCAUAAAAAAUCAACAUAAUUUUUUUAUAAUUUUAAUGAGUUUAAAAUCGUUUAAGUUAAAACCAUAACUACAACGACAUCCAUGCCAUUUCUUUCUGCUACUCACAAUCAUUUGACAUGCCCUCCAUCAAAUGUAUUACGAUCGAAAGAGGUCAUUAAAUGGGUUGAUACUACUCGAAUGGCUUAGAAAAAAUGAACGAAGGUAUUUUGUUUCUAUCAAAAUAGUCUGAAGGUAGUGAACAACUAUAGAAAUAAUAGUUUCUGUUGAGUAAGAUUGAACCAAUUUGAUAACCUAUUUUGCUUGUCCUACAUAAGUCAAAUGUAUAUCGGGUGGCCAUGAACUAUCGAAUCAUUGCUUUUAGCUUAAACGAUAUAAUUAUCAUUUUAUAUAAAAAGAAAUGAUAUCUAUGUCGCUGUCGUUUUAAUUUUCACUGAAACUAUUUCAAACUCGUCAAAAUUAUAUAAAAAUGAUAUGGACGUCAUUACGCUAUUUCGUGGGUUCACAUAUAAUGAUAUCAUUGUCAUUACAUAUGAAAGAAAAUGAUAUUUAUGUCGUAAUUGUGGUUUGAAUUGUAACAAUUUAAAUGUAGUUAAAAUUAUAUUGGAAUGACAUCUAUGUCGUUAUGUUAUUUCGUGGCUUUGGGGACUAACAAGUUAGAAAGUAUAAGGACCUAAGGUGCAAUUUAUGGAAGGGGCCUAACUGAAAGGAAAGUUAAAAUUCAAGGACUACACAGUGCAAGAUCAAAGUGAAAUGACCUGGGCUGCAAUUACUUGGAAAAUUAAAUUAAGAUAAAGUAAAAGUCAGUCAAAUGCGUGCCUAAGCCUGUAGAGCUAACAUGUGCUAGCUAGCUACUGAGAGGUACUAAGAAUAACCAAUUUGAGCUGGCGCAAACCUUAUCUCAAGCUGAGCACUCACUUUGUUGAAAAAAUGACUUUAAUGUCGUUAUGUAUUGAAAUAAACGACUUUAAUGUCGUUAUGAAAAUUAGUGAAUUAAUGUGUAUUUGAUACUGAAAUGACAUCAACAUCGUUCUGUACCUCGGGCAUGAUUUCAGUAUCAUUAUGUUAAUUAGUACAAUUUUUGUACUAGAAUAACAUUAAUAUUGUUUUAUAUCUUAGAAAUGAUUUCAUUGUUGUUAUUUGAAUGAGUACAUUUUUUGUACUAGAAUACAUCAAUAUCAUUCUGAGUCCAAGAUUCGAACCCGACGAAGACGAUCCCAUGAAGAGACCCGUUGAUUAUCGAAAGAGGAUCGAUGACGCAUUCGAGGUCAAAAUGGGUAAAUCAAGUGAUAGAGCUAUUAUUUCAAUCAACAAUUGAUGAGACAUUAAUCGUGGUAAGAAAUGAGGCAAGUUCCAUGUUGGGGUCAAUGGCUGGAAACAAUUGGAUCAAUUCAAUACUCGUGGACGAAGUUGGAGCUAAAGGAACUGUGCAACCACACAGUGUAAUUCACCAUGCGAUCGCAUGGUGGCCAAUAGAAAUUGAAGGAAGCCAAUUUUUUUAGCUUGUGCGAUCGCACAGACUUGUACCAUGUGGUCGUAUGGUACAAAAUCAAGACGAAAUUUUCCUAUUUUCGCGAAUUUCUUUAUUUUGUUAAAAUCCUAUUUUAGGUAAAACUCUUGUAGUCUUUAAUUAAUAUUUUUCGUUUUUACUAAAUUUCUAGGGUUAAUAUAAAUACAAUUAUCUUCUUCCAUUGUAAAGGACUUAGACAUUUUUUUUUUAGAGAAAUUAAAGAGAGGCAAAAUUCUUGCUUUCCAAUCCUUGUUCUUCUCGGAAUAAGCUUUGAACUUAUCAAGGUGAAAAUAUGUGGCAUUCAACACGAGGUGUGAAUUAUAAAAUGUGUAAUCAAGAGGUCCACACAUCGUUGUCUUGUUUGGGUUACUUGGUUCAUUAUUCUUGAUUCAAAUCCACAAACGGGGCUCUUUUGACUUUUCUAGGCUUUUAGCAAUCAAGUGUGGGUUUCGUAGUCACCGUUGCUAUGCGGGUUCAUAUCAGUUGGUAUCAGAGUCUAGGCUCCAAAUUAAUCAAGGUUAUAUCUUUUAGUUUUCGUUGACAAGCCUUUACUUUGUUUGUCUAAUAAUUCCACGUUCUUGAGUUUUUCAUUAUUUAGAGUCUUUGAUCCGUAAUAUGGUCGUCAAUUUUUCAAAAGUUGUUUUUUGGCUAAUCUAGCGUCCAAAAAACAACUUUAGUUUGAUUUGUUGGUAUUGUAAUCACUCUUUUUCUUCAAAAAAAAAGUCAAAAAAAGGAGGAGUCGAAAAAUCAAAAAAUUUGUUAUUAUUAUCUUACUACCAACAAAUUUUCUUCUUUUUUUCAAUUUUCGGAGUCAAAUAUUUAUUUUUGUCUGGUCAAUUCAAAGUUCAUUUCAAUCAACUCUAAAAUUUCAUUAGUUUCCAAUUUAAAAUUUCAUUCCAAUUGUUCGAAGUCCUCUUAAAGUCACUUUUCUUGAUUACAUAUGGUUUACAGUCCACAAGACUAAUUUCUGUUGAGUUUAAUUUGUUCUUUGAAGCACUUGAAUGAAAGCACUGAGUGGAAAAAGGUAGAGUGAUGAGAUCAAUAGAGGGUAAAAGGCAUAUUGAGUGAUACAUGAUUGAAAUACAGGUGAGGCGGAAGAAAAUUGUAGAACUAGGAUGUCUGACAAGAAGGAUUCCAAUUCAAGCAGAAACGUCACUUACAUCAACACGUCUGACGAUAUGAUGUGGCGGUUUAAAAGAUUGUUAGCGGAUAUGGGUGAUAGGUUGGAUAGACUUGAUAAAUCGGUUACCAAUCUUAGCAAAGGCAACGAGCUGAGGUACCCAGUGUAAGGAGACCGAGUAGACAGGAGUCUACGAUGGAAAGGAGUAAGGUGAAUGAGUAUUAUAGUGAUUUGAAUGAGGAUGUGUUAACGAUGGUUGAAAUGAGACGAAUGAGAAAUAGAAGAGCUAGGCUUGAAAGCAAAGGCAAGAUAACAUUGGCGACAAAAUAGAUGGGAACAUGGGUAACACUAAGAUGUCAAUUCCACCGUUUAAGGGAAGAAAUGAUUCAGAAGCUUAUUUUGAGUGGUAGAAAAAUGUGGAGCUAAUCUUUGAAUGCUAUAAUUAUUCGAAGGUAAAGAAGGUGAAGAUAGUUGUUCUUGAAUUCCCUGAUUAUGCCAUAACUUUGUGGGAUCAAAUGGUUACAUCACAGCGUAGGAAUCGAGAAUGACCUAUCAAUACUUGGGAGGAGUUGAAAGCUAUUAUGAGAAAGCGAUUAUGGAGGAGGAUCGAAAAGCCAGUGUGACUCGUUUCUAAAUGGAUUGAAUAGGGAUAUAGCCAAUAUAGUGGAGUUGUAGCACUAUGUGGAGUUAGAGGAUAUGCUACACGUGACGAUAAAGGUAGAAAGGCAGUUGAUGAGGAAAGGGACAGCUAGGCAACCAUUGGGGCCUUCGGCAUCUGAUUCAUCUUGGAAACCGAAAUGGGAUAACAACAAAGGAGACAGGGUUGUUUCUAGAUGAAGGACUGAAUUGCUGAGGGGAAAAGAAGAAAGUGCUAGCAAAAGCAUGCCCAAGGUUGAGUCACAACCAUCAAGGAGUCGUGAUAUUAAGUGCUUGGGGUCAGGACACAUCGCUUAUCAGUGGGUAAAUAAAAAAUGAUGGUGUUGCAAGACAAUGGAGACAUGGAGAGUGAGAGUGGAGGCGAUUAUGACGAUAUGUCAAAGUUGGAGGAGAUUAGUGAUGGGGAGAAAGUAUAGUUUGCCUUUGGUCUUGAGGCGAGCUCUUAACGCUCAAAUCAAGGCGAAUGACUUAAAGCAACAGCAAGAGAACAUAUUCUACACUCGAUGCAACAUUGACAAUAAGGUAUGUACUAUGUAGCAUGAUUAUUGAUGGUAAAAGUUGCACGAAUGUAGCUCGCACAACUCUUGUAAAGAAAUUGGGGUUAACUUUAUUAAAAUAACCUAGACCUUAUAGUUGUAAUGGUUAAAUGAAUGUGGAAAAAUGAAGCUAAAUAGAAGGGUACUAAUAAAUUUCUCAAUCGGUAGUUAUCGUGAUAAAGUAGUAUGUGGUGUAGUACCUAUGCAUGCAAGACAUCUUUUACUGGGAAAACAAUGGCAAUACAAAAAGAAGGUCAUUCAUGAUGGGUACAAUAAUCGAUGUAGCUUUGUUAAGGAUAUGAGGUUUAUCACCCUUGUGCCAUUAACACUAGCACAAGUGUUUGAGAACCAAAUCAAACUGAAAAAUGAAGGAGAUGAGAAUGGGAGAGAGUUAGAGAGAAAGAAAGAAAAUAGUGAGACUGUAACAAAGAGAGAAAAUAGUGAGGUGGCUAGUAGAGAGAAAAAGAGAGUGGAGUCACAAGAGCGAAAAGAAAAAGAGUCAUUCGAGAGGAGAGAAAAGUCUAGACGGAAUUUCUUUGCAAAAGAGAGUAAGCUGAGGAGAGCAGUAGUCGAGAGAAAAGAGAUGAUUUUGUUGAUCUAUGAAGAAUCACUCCCCAAUCUUGAGAAAUCUAAUUCAUCCCUCCCUAGUUUGGCUAAAUUUUUGUAGCAGGAAUUUGAAGAUGUAUUUUCGGAGGACGUGCCUAGUGGAUUGCCACCCAUUUGAGAUAUUGUGCAAAAACUAACUUUAUACAUGGAGUUGUCGUUCUAAACCGACCAGCUUAUAGAAGUAAUCCCGAGAAGACAAAGGAGCUUCAGAGGCAAGUAGAGAAACUAAUGAGCAAGGGCUAUGUGAGGGAGAGCAUGAAUCCAUGUGUCGUUCCCGUGCUACUUGUGCCAAAGAAAGAUGGAACUUGGAGAAUAUGCAUGGAUUGCAGAGCCAUCAACAACAUAAUGGUAAAGAAUCAUCAUUCUAUCCCUAGGUUAGAAGAUAUGUUAGAUGAGUUACAUGGUACAUGCAUAUUUAGCGAGAUUGAUCUAAAGAGUGGUUACCAUCAAAUUCGAAUAAAAGAAGGUGAUGAGUGGAAAACUGUAUUUAAAACUAAAUAUGGAUUGUAUGAAUUGUUGGUCAUGCCCUUUGGACUCAUUAAUACACUGAGCACUUUCAUGUGUUUAGUGAAUCAUGCUUUAUGUGCCUUUAUAAGAAAAUUUGUUGUGAUUUACUUUGAUGACAUAUUAGUCUAUAGCAUGGACCUUGUUAAGCAUGUAGAACAUUUAAGAUGUGUGUUUGUAGUUUAAAGGAAAGAACAACUUUAUGCUAACUUUAAGAAAUGUACAUUUUGCGUGGAAAAAUUUUGUCUUUCUAGGAUUUACGAUUAGUCUUAAUGGAGUAGAAGUAGAAGUAGAUGAAGAUAAGAUAAAAUCUAUUAAAGAUUGGCCAAUACUUGAAAGCAUAACUGAAGUAAGGAGUUUUCAUUGCUUGGCUAGUUUUUAUAGGUGAUUUGUGAAGGACUUUAGCACAAUCACUACACUACUCACUGAGGCAGUUAAGAAAAGUGUAGGAUUUCAUUGGGGAGAAGAAAGAAGCAUACAUUUAAUACCAUUAAGGAAAGAUUGUGUAAAGCAUCUGUUUUAGCACUUCCUAACUUUGAUAAAACGUUCGAGAUUGAGUGUGAUGCAUCAGGAAUAAGGAUCGGAGCAAUUUUGAUGCUGAAUAGGAAGCCUAUUGCCUACUUCAAUGAAAAGUUGAGUGGAGCUACUCUCAACUACCCUACAUAUGAUAAGGAAUUGUACUCACUUGUUCAAUUCUUGGAGACAUGGCAACAUUAUCUUUGGCCUAAGGAAUCCGUGAUACACAUUGACCAUAAGUUACUAAAGCACUUGCGAGGUCAAGGAAAACUGGAAAAAAUGCAUGCAAGGUAGAUGGAGUUAUAUAGACAUUUUCCUACGUCAUCUGGUACAAGCAAUGUAAAGAAAAUGUAGUGGCAAAUGCAUUAUAUCGGAGGUAUGUGCUACUAACUUCGCUAAGUUCUAAAUUGCUUGGUUUUGAACACAUUAAGGACAUGUAUGAGGAUGAUUUAGAUUUUUUCGAUGUUUACAAAUCAUGUAGUAAAGGGGUCAUCUAUAAGUUCUUUAAGCAUUCUUGUUUGGGAAAAAUAAAUUAUAUGUUCCAAAUUGUUCAAUGCGGGAGUUGUUAGUGAGAGAAGCACACGAUGGAGGUUUAAUAGAACACUUUGGGGUUAAGAAAACUUUUGAAGUGUUAGGGAAAAUUUUUUUGCCUAAGAUAAAAAGUAAUGUUGAACGAAUGUGUAGUCAGUGCAUAAACUGUAAAUGGGCUUAGUCAAGGAUUUAACCCCCAAAGGCUGUAUACACCUUUACAUACUUCAAGUGAAUCGUGGAUCGAUAUUUCAAUGGAUUUUGUUUUGGGUUUACCUAGGACUAAGAAGGGACGACAUUCAAUCUUUGUGGCAGUAGAUAGAUUUAGCAAGAUGGCACAUUUCAUAUCAUGUCAUAAAAUGGAUGACGCCACUCGCAUUGAUAAUUUAUUCUUUAAGGAGAUAAUGCGUUUACAUGGAGGCCUUAAGAGUAUCGUGUCAAAUGGGGAUGUCAAAUUUCUGAGUCAUUUUUGACGGGUUUUGUGGGGUAAGUUAGGCACAAAAUUGCUAUUUUCUACAACUUAUCAUCCACAAACUAAGGUAGUAAAUAGGACAAUGACUCAAUUGUUGUGAACUGUGAUCAAUAAGAACUUGAAAAGUUGGAAUGAGUGCUUACUUUUCAUAGAGUUUGAAUAUAAUAGGGUCAUUCACUCUACUACUUCAUUUUCACUAUUUGAAAUUGUUUAUGAUUUUAAUCUACUAACCCCUAUGAAUUUAACACAUUUACCUGUAAAUGGACGUGGUAGCUUAGAUGGUAAAAUAAAGGCUGAACUAGUAAAGUCACUCCGUGAAAAGGUCAGGUUGCAGUUCGAGAACAAGAGCAAACUCAUUGCAUCAAAAGCAAACAAGGGCAGAAAAAGUAUGACAUUUGAGUCAGGUGAUUGGAUUUGGGUAUAUUUCAAAAAGGAGCACUUUCCAGAGUAAAGGAAGUUAAAGUUGCAACCACGGGGAGAUGGAUUGUUUCAAGUCAUUGAGAAGAUCAAUGACAAUGCCUACAAAUUGGAUCUCCCAGGUAAGUAUAAUGUUUCAACAACUUUUAAUGUAUCUAAUCUCUCUCUUUUUGAUGUAGGUUCAAAUUCAAAGAUGAAUCCUUUAAAAAAAAUGAGUGGAUGAUAUGAUCCAAGAUUCAAGCCUGACGAAGACUAGCCCGGAAGAGACACGUUGAUUAUCGAAGGAGGAUCGGUGACGCGAUCGAGGGCAAAAUAGGUAAAUCAAAUGAUGGGGCUAUUAGUUCAAUCAACAAUUGAUGAGAUGUUGAUCGUGGUGAAAAAUGAGGCCGUUUCCAUGUUGGGGUUAAAGGUCGGGAACAAUUGGAUCAACUCAAUACAUAUGGAUAAAGUUGGAGCAAAAGGGAUAAACUGUGCGACCGCACAAUGUAAUUUACCAUACGAUUGCAUAGUGGUGACAGAAAUUGAAGGAAGCCAAUUUCCUUGGCUUGUGCGACCCCACAGAAUUGUACCAUGCAGUCGCAUGGUACAAAAUAAAGACGAAAUUUUCAUUUUCCGCGAAUUUCCUUCUUUUGUUAGAAUCUUAUUUUAGGUAAAAUUCCUGUAAACUUUAAUUAAUAUUUUUCAUUUUUACUAAUUUUCUAGUGUUACUAUAAAUGCAAUUAUCUUCUUCCAUUAUAAAGGACUUAUACAUUUUUUCUAGAGAAAUUAAAGAGAGGCCAAAUUCUUGCAUUCCAAUCCUUGUUCUUCUUGGAACAAAUUUUGAACUUAUCAAAGUGAAAAUCUUGUGGCGUUCCAUACAGAGUGUGAAUUACGAAACAUGUAAUCAAGAGGUCCACACAUCGUUGUCUUGUUUAGGUUGCUUGGUUCAUUAUUCUUAAUUCAAAUCCACAAAUUGGAGUUCUUUUGGCUUUCCUGGGGUACCAACAAUCUCGUGUGGGUUCCGUAGUCACUGUUGCUAUGCAGGUUCACAUUACACUAGUUAGUAGCUAUGUACAACAUCUUCAAAAUAUCAAAGUAAUAUACAGUUAUGCUAAAACAUCAAUAAAAAAUUGCAAAAAAUAAUUUACAGCUCAAAGUUCCAUGCCAACAGCUCUACAAUCAAUUUCUUUUGCCAUAUUGGUAUAUAAUCCAAGCGAGUUGCAUUUACAUCCAUAUUCGUUUGUCGAAAUUUUACGUAUUUCAAAUUCAAUAUCCUGCAGCCAUAUCUACAAAAUAGUUGCCCAGUUAUAUUAAUUCUCAACACUAAAAUAAUAUAGUACUACCAAAUAAAAGAUUAGUCAACCGUACCCAUUCAUUUGUUGAGGAACAUUUUUUAUCGUUACAAAUGUGAACUUCUCCAUGAUAUAUUUGUUCUCACAUGUGACAUAAAAUUUUAUCAUCAACGAAAUAGCCUUUUGCAGAGGCAAAAUGAAAGCUUUUAAAGCUAUGCUAACAAUGUGACCCUUUAGAAUAUUGAACAAAAAAAUUAUUAGCUCCUCCAAAUCGAUUUUUAGUGAGAACCAAUGGAUGGCGUAUAGCAAGGAAGAACAAAUAUCUAUAGUCCUUCCAAAGUUGACUGAGCUUCGGAGUAGUCCCUUUAACAUAAUUGAGCUCUUCCUUCUGUUGCAACUCAGAAUGUGCAUUAAAAAAUAAAUUAAUAGAAGUAUAUAUGAUGCAACAAUGUUCCUGGAAUAAAUUUGGAAAUUUUAAAACCAUUUCUUGUAUUUGGUAUAGGGCUGUAAGUGUUAUGCCCUAGGUCCAAUCAACAUUGGACAUAAAUACUUUUAAUAAAUAAUUAAUACAAUUUAAUGAUAGAUGUAUUAUUUAAUUAAUAGACAAUUAAAUUAAAUAAUGGAGUCCAUAGAUUCAAAUCUUCAUAAUUUGUUAAUUACAAGGAGUUGUGAUUGUAAGAUACAAAUUACAUAUGAUUGAAACUUAAAUCGUUCAUUGGUUAUAAGUAAUAAUGAGAUAUGGAUAUCGUUAUUACGGAUAGACCAUCACGUGUGGCAUUUCUUACUUGUAAAAUAAGUAGCUGAUCUCACAAGCUUAAGUGUCGUGACACUUAAAUGAACACGUGGAUCAUUUGUUAUAGAACAAAAUAUUGGAGACCCGCCUAAAGAUUCUACAUGGAUAACUAUCUGAGUGUCAGUGGUUAAUCUCUAACGUUCAGUAGUGGGAUUGGUCCUUUGACUUGAGGUCGUCAUAGUACCUUAUAUGAGAGCAGUCAUGUUUUGACGGUAUUGGAAGUUGCUCUGCCAAAGGUCGCUAAUACGCCAUUGGUCGAGUAUGUCAAAAAUCGUAUGAAGGUUGUGAAUGACCAAUAAAUGAUUCGUCAUUCUUAGAUAGUAAGAGAUUAUUAUUUGCAUUUCAUUCAAUUAAGUCGAUAACAAAAUUUUUGGCCAAGGUGUACUCAUAAGUCGAAAAUGAGUUUUCGACUUAUAUUGACUUAAUAGUGGAGUGAAAGAUAUAAUCGAUAAUCGAAAUUGACACACUUUCAUAUCUCGUAAUUGAUCGGAUCAUAUCGAUGAAGGGAUUAUAGUUUCACAGAAAAUGAAUGAGUUUGGUUUUGUCAUACCACGCGACAUUUUUCGUCACAUGGAUUGCUCUUACAUAUUACUAGAUGUCAAUCUAGGACGACGAGUGUGAAAACUUAAAAGGGUGUUUUAAUUUAUCAAUUUUGAUUAGAUCAAAAUAAUAUUUCACGUCGUUAGGUAACGUGAUUAGGAACCUGAUGGGUCGCACACAAAAGGAGAGCUGGAAGAUUGUGAUUUAUCAAUUAAUUUAUUCAACGCUUAAUUAAUUUAACAAGCGUUGACUAAAUUAAUUAAUUAGGUUGCUUAUUUAUAGGUUCGAAUUAAUUGAUUGGAUUAAUUAAUUCACGAACCAGAUUUAAUUAAAUGGAUUAAUUAAAUAUUGGACCGAGUCAGACAAGCCCAUUUGGGUAUAUAUAAAUAAGUUAUUAGGGUUUGCAAUUUUAGAGAAAUUAUUAUUCUUGAUAGCACAAUAAGAAAAUCAUAAUCCUACAAUCUUGUUCUCUCUGUGAAUCAACGUUGGAGGCUGGACAAUUAGACAGCUGUGGGUGGCGAAUCAAGCUCAUUGGAACGAAAGAAUAGCAAAGGAGUUUACAAAUUUGGAAAAAUGUACAAUCUCUAUUACAGUUUCUAUCUAAACACAAAGAUGAAUCUUGGUAGGAAUUGAAAAUUGUUUUAUUUUUCGCUGCGCAUGAUAAAUAGAUUUCCAAUAUCAGAGCCAGGUUGUAUUUGUUAGAAAUUGUUUUAAAUUUUUAGUAACAAUCAAAAGUUGAUUGUUCUUUUCUCGUUUCUAGCAAUUAGAAAAUUUUGAUUUUAAUAUUUCUCAAAUCUGAUUGUGAAAAACCAAAAAAAGAAAAAAAAAGUUGGAUCGGACAGGCGGUUGAUUGCGACUUAAGCGGCGUCUGCCGCACUGCUGCAACAGCAUGCGAUGCCACCGUAGUAGCAGCAGCGUCAAAGCCACUCUACAGCAGUGUCUUCACGCUGCUGCAAGCGACAGCUCCCUGCUGUUAAUUUCAAAAUGAUUUUGAAUUUGAAUUUUAUAAUGGUUUUAAAUUUGAUUUUCAAAUGAGUUUGAUCCAAAAUUUCAAUUUUGACUCGUUUAAAAUUUUAUUUAAAAUUGACGACUUUUUAUAUUUUCGUUAAAAUAUGAUUUUAACUUAAAUAUUAAAUUUGAUCCUAAAUUGAUUUUAUUUUAUUUAGGAGUGCUAUUCUAGAUUAAAAUAUUAAUUCAAUUUAAAUUAGAGUUUGACUCUAAUUUAAUACUUAAUUAAAAAUUGAUUUUACUUAAUUUUUCACCCGAAUACAUUUUUGAAAUUAGAAUUCGAUUCUAGUUUGGUAUUUAAUUAAAAUUUGAUUUUAAUUAAAUUGUCUCGCCCUAAAUUUCUUCUUGAAAUUAGAGUUGGACUCUAAUUUGAUAUUUAAUUAAAAUAUAAUUUUGAUUAAAUAAAUUUGCCCUGAAAUCUUGGAAUUAGAGUUAGACUUUAAUUUUGUAUUUAAUUAAAUUUGAUUUUGAUUAAAUUCAACCGUCUUGAAUUUUAAAAUUAGAGUUUGACUCUAAUUUAAUAUUUAAUUAAAUUUUGAUUUAAUUAGAUAGUCUCACCCUAUAAUUGUGGAAUUAGGGUGGACUCUAAUUUGGUAUAUAAUUAAAUUUUCAUUUUAAUUAAAUAUGACCGCUAAUUAAAUUAAUUGAUUAAUAUGAUUAAUUAAUUAUUUAAUUGUGUCGAUCAAUUUGUCCAAAAGAGUUUAGACAAUCUUAAUUGCUAGAAGCUUGAAACGUGUUUGCAUAUAAUAUUAGAUAUUAUGGGCAUACAUUUAUGUGAUGAAUAUAUUAUUAAUCGAUGAUUAUGGAUUCGAUCAUGUGAAUGUGUUGAAUGGUUAACUUUACUCUUGUCGUUUUAUGAGCUUGUGAGCUCUCAAUUAUUUUGGGUCUGUGAACCCGUUAUUGUUGUUAUUAUUAUAGGCCUACGAGCUCUUAAUCAUUUUGGACCUACGAGUCCAUUAUUGUUAUUGUUACUUUGGGCCUGUGGGUCCAUUUUCAUCUAAACCCGUGCCAACUAGUAUAGGAUACAUGUUGCAAUUGGACUAAUUGAAGACACAGGACGAGAAGGAAAUCACGGAGAUGGUACAUUGAUAUUAAUCAAUGCGAUACUCCCUAGGAAUUGACCAACUAGUCUUCCUUAUGACUCGGGAAGACUAGAUAGUAAAAUCCAUAAUCAUCCACACUAUUACAUUAUAUUAUAUAUAUAUAUAUAUAUAUAUAUAUAUAUAUAUAUAUAUAUAUAUUUAUUUGCAUGGUAGAUAUAUAAUUUACAUUAUAUUAUAUAUAUAUAUAUAUAUAUAUAUAUAUAUAUAUAUAUAUAUAUGCUUAUUUGCAUGGUAGAUAUGUAAUACAACAUAUAUGAUUGUUACGAUGAAACUUUUGAAUGCAAAACCCCUCAAUAAAAUAUUAAGUCACAUUUAUAAUCGCCUUCCAUCCUUAUAAUGAAAAAUCUGAGUCCCAAAUUGUCUCAACUUGUUGAGUACACUCAAGGCUAAUCUAUUAGGGAUAUGUUUGAUACUAUGAAAUAUUUGAUAUUUCUAAAUAACAGGUUUGACUUAACUAAAAUUUAUCUUUUGUUAAGUACACUUAAUGUGAUAAAUUUUAGAGGCAUAUUAAAUUAACUCAUAAGAUGUGUAAAGACAAAGAAUUGUCGGCUUAAUGAUCUGUAAAUUGUAUGGAGAUACAAUAGUAUCUACCCAAAUAUUUUAUUAAAGUUUGUUGAGUACACUCAAAGUCUUAAUAUAACAGAUGAGAUCCCAGCCCACUAGAAGUCAAAUAUGGAUUCCAUAAAUUUAUGUAAGAGAGUCAUAAAUUUCAGUUAAACAGUGAGAGCAUAAUUAAUUUAAUAAAAGUUCAUGCUAAAUUAAUUGAUGCAUUUUAUAUAUUAUUAUUUUUUGGUCAUUUACAUUUAUAUUAAAUCUUGAGUAACCAUAUAUUUUGAAUGGCAUACUGGAUGCCCACAAUCGAAUUAAAUUUUCUUGAUUAGCACCGCAACUUGAGAAUUGUUCUCAGGUUCAGAAAAUUGGUUACGUCCUUAAAUAGCUCUUUCCAGAGACACCUGCUGAUGACUCGAUUAAGGAAGAGGUGGCUACUAUAAUAAACACAAUGAUGGUGAUAGUACUACACAUAUGUGAUGCUUGCAACUAUGUCACCUGAGUUACAAAAGCAACUUGAGAGUAUAGAUGCUAAAAGCAUGAUUUUUUUUUUAUUUCAGAGAGUUGUAUGAUAAUAAUCAUGUGUGGGAGGAUAUGAGACUUCCAAGCAACUAUACAGAUGCAAAAUGACAGAGUAUCUUCAGUCGAUGCUUAGACACUGAAGAUGAUUGACGUUGAGAAUUGUCUCAAUGAGGUUCAGUCAUGAACUUCAAACUAAGUAUUGACUUAGUUCAACAAUCUUUGUCAUAGAGUUAUUCAUACUAAUUAUGAAUUAUGAUAUGAAUAAGUUUGAAUACAUACCCAUUGAGUUGCUUAACAUGCUUAGAACUGUUAUGCCCAUUAACAAAGUUAGAAGUGGGCAAGCAAUUGAUUCCUUUAAGGGUAUUAAGAGAAAGUCUAAAGGGACUUUAGGGAAAGCAUCCAAUAUGCCUGAGAUGGUCAAAGCGAAGGACAAAUACCAAGUCUAAUGACCAUUGUUUUUAUUAUAGAAUGAAAAGAUCAUUGUAAGAAAUGUUGCAAGGCUUACGUCUACUUCAUAAGCUUCUUAGGUACUUGAUACUAGAUGUGGAUCUCAUAUUUAUAUAAAUAUGGAGAAACUAAAUAAAAAUAUACCACUGCAAAAGGGAGAAGUUGACCUACACGUUGAAAAUGAGCAAAGGUUGCUGCAUUGGCUGUAAGAGCAUACUUCUUGCUAUUGCCUUUAGGCUUAGUAUUAGAAUUAGAGAAAUGUUAUUUUGCACCCACCAUAACUGGAACAUUAAAUAAAUUUCAUGUUUGGACAUGAAUUGUUUUAAUGUUGAGAACAAUCGUUGUUCAUGCUUAUCUUAAUUAAGAUCUUUAUGGUAUGGUAACCUAUAAAUAACAUUUAUAUUCUAAAUACCGAGCAUUCUAUAAUGAGUAUAGAAGUUAAAAUGCAUAAAAGUGAUAAUCGAAAUAAUGCCUAGAUCUGGCAUUGCAGAAUUGGUCAUAUAGAUGAAAUGCAAUUUCAAUAUUACAUAGAUUUUAUAUGUGGAAUCAAUUGAUUUUGAAUCAUUUGACAAGUGCAUAUCAUGCCUAUUAGACAUAAUGAGCAAAUCUCCUUUUAUUUGAAAGGGAGAAAUAUCUGCAUGAUUACUGGUUUAAUACAUAGUGAUAUGUCGGUUAAUGCUGGAUAAGGUUUCUCUUAUUUCAUCACAUUUACUAAUAACUAUUUCGAAAAUGCUAUGUAUAUUUGAUGAGAUUCGAGCAUGAGCUCCUGAAAAGGUUCGAGGGAUUCAAGCUAGAAGUAGAUAAACAAAUAGGAAAAUAUACUCUUAGACUAACAUCUGAUCGAAGUAAAGAAUAUCUUAAAGAUGAGAUUUUCGAUUAUCUAAGAGAGAAUGAGAUUCUCUUGCAGUAGACUCCUCCAUAUACGCUACAACAAAGUGGUUAUUUGAAAAAGAGAAAUCAUAAACUAUUAGAUAUAGAGCGAUUAAUAACAAAUCAUGCAAAUCUCCCAAAGCCGUUUUGGGGUCAUGCACUGAUUGCAUUGUGCAGCACACUAAAUCAUGUUACAUCUAAGUUGGUUAAUAGAACUCCAUAAGAGUUAUGGAAAGGCAAUAGUCCCAAUUUAUCUCAUAUGAAAGUUUAGGACUGUGACGCUUAUUUGAAGCGCAUUGAAUUGGAUAAGUUUGAGACUAAAUCCGAUAAAUACAUAUUUGUGGAAUAUUCAAAACAGAUAUUUAGAUAUCAAUUCUAUUAACCCAUUGUGAAGAAAGUCUUCAUCCCACGACAUAUCGUCCUCUUAGAGAAAAUGUUUACUCUAGAAAAGGACAGUGGGAGUAUAAUAGGACUUGAAAGAGUUCAAGAGUCCACAGAUAUAGUUAACCAAGCAAAUAAAUUCGAGUUUGAUCCCAUAUCUGAUGUGGGCAUACUCUUGAUCAGAAAGUAAAGACUCCUGAAGAUAUGUCAGCUCUGUGUGAAUCUAGUAGGAUUAUUCAACUUUCAAGGAGGUGCGCUAAUCAGGGAUUGCUAAUCAAGGAUGAUGAACCUACUAAUUGCACAAAAACAAAGUCAAAUGUUGACUUAAAAGAGAUAGCAAGAGGCCAUGAAGCCCGAGAUGAACUCGACGUAUGUAAACAAACUUUGGACCUUGGUCGACCCUCCCCAUGGGAUAAAACCCAUAGGUUUGUAAAUAGUUUCCAAUAAAAUGUUGACAUGGAUAGAAAUAUACAUAGAUACAAAGCAAGGCUAGUGGCAAAAAGUAACAAACAAAGACAAUGUGUUGACUUUGAUGAAACAUUUCGCCUGUAGCCAUGCUGAGGUCCAUUCGGAUUUUAGUUACAAUAGUUACUUAUCGUGACUAUGGGUUAAAACAAGCCUCUUGUAACUGAAAUCUUCGAUUUGAUAGAAAAAUCAAAAUGUUUGGUCUUAUCAAAUAUGAAGGCAAAUUGUGUGUUUACAAGAAGAUAGUGGGAGCAUUGUUGCAUUCUUAAUAUUAUAGAAAACCACAUCCCUAUGCUUCAAUCGUUGAAAUAAUGAUUGUUAAAGGAUUUAUUCAUGAAUGGGAGAAGCAACUUGAUCUGUAAAGAUAGAUCUAGAAGAUUACUUAACUUAUCCCAAUCUACAUAGAUAAAAUCUUGGUUUACUCUUAAGCCGUAUGUUGGAAAGGUUCCAAAUGUGAGACAAUCGUUGGUUCAUUGGCAAAAACAUAAUACAUGAUUGCUUCGGAAGCAGCAAGAAGUUGCAAUAUGGAUCAAGAUGUUCAUUAAUAAACUUGGGAUAGUUCCUAAUAUUGUUGAUCAUAUACUAUUGUAUUGUGAUAACAAUAGAACCAUCGUUAAAGCAAAGGAACUAAAGUCUCAUCAAUGAUCCAAACAUGUAUUAAGGCGAUAUAAUCUCAUUAGAGAGACAAUACAUAUAAAUAACGUAAAGAGAAGAAUGAAUUUUCACAUUUGACAAUAUCGAAGAUCCACUCACAAAGAGUUAUCGUAGCAUAAACAUGAUCAUCAUGUAGAAUCUUAUGAUAUUUGAUACAUAAGUGAUUGGAUUUAGUGUAAGUGAGAGUUUGUAAGUGUUAUGCCCUAGGUUCAAUCAACCUUGGACAUAAAUACUUUUAAUAUAUAAUUAAUACAAUUUAGUGGUAGAUCUAUUAUUUAGUUAAUAGAUAAUUAAAUUAAAUAAUAAAGUCCGUAAAUUCAAAUCUUCGUAAUUUGUUAAUUACAAGGAGUUGGUGAUUGUGAGAUACAAAUUACAUAUGAUUGAAGCUUAAAUCAUCCUUGGUUGUAAGUAAUAACGUGAUAGGAUAUCGUUAUUCUGGAUAGAUCAUCAUGUGUGUCAUUUUUUACUUUUGAAGUAAGUAACUGAUCUCACAAGUUAAAGUGUGGUGACAUUUGAAUGAGCACGUGGAUCUUUUGUUCUAGAGCAAAACAUUGGACACCCCCUAGAGAUUAGACAUAGAUAACUAUUUGAGUGUCAAUGGUUAAUCUCUAACGUUCGGUAAUGCGACCGGUCUUUUGACUUGAGAUCAUCAUAGUAUCUUAUAUGAGGACAGUCAUGCUUUGAUGGUGUUGUAUGUUUCUGUGCCAAGGGCCGCUAAUACGGCAUCAUUCGGGUAUAUCAAGAAUCGUAUGAAGGUUAUGAAUGACCAAUGAAGGAUUUGUUAUCUUAGAUAGUAAGAUAUUAUGAUCUGCAUUUCAUUCAAUUAAGUCGGUAACGAAAUCCUUGGCCAAGGUGUAUUCAUAAGUCGAAAAUGAGUUUUCGACUUAUAUUGACUUAAUAGUGGAGUGAAAGAUAUGAUCGAUAAUUGAGAUUGACACACUUCUAUAUCUCGUAAUUGAUCGAAUCAUAUCGAAGAAGGGAUUAUAGUUUCAUGGUAAACGAACGAGUUUCAUUUUGUCAUACCAUGUGACAUUUUCGGUUACAUGUAUUGCCUUGACACAUUGCUAGAUAUCAAUCUGGGACGGCGAGUGUGAAUUGGUGAUAAAUUAAAAUGGUAUUUUAAUUUAUCAAUUGUAAUUAGAUCAAAAUAAUAUUUUACGUCGUUAGCCAUCGUGAUCGAAAACGUGAUGAGUCGCAUACAAAAGGAGGACUGAAAAUUUGUGAUUUAUCAAUUAAUUAAUUUAACGAGAUUGGAUAAAUUAAUUAAAUUGGUUGCUUAUUUAUAGGCUCGAAUUAAUUAAUUGGAUUAAUUAAUUCAUGGACCAUAUUUAAUUGAAUGGGUUAAUUAAAUAUUAGACCGAGUCAGGCCAAACCCGUUUGGGCUUAUAUAAAUAAGUGAUUAUGGUUUAAAAUUUUAGAGAGAUGAUUAUUCUUGCUAGCACAAGAAGAAAACCCUAAUCCUACAAUCUUGUUCUCUCUGUGGAUCACCGUUAGAGGCUGGACAAUUGGAUAGCUCUGUGUGGCGAAUCAAGAUCAUUGGAACGAAGGAAAAGCAAAGAAGUUUGCAAAUUUGGAAAAAUGUACAAUCUCUAUCACUAUUUCUAUUUAAACAUAAAGAUGAAUCAUGGUAGGAAUUAAAAAUUAUUUUAUUUUCCGCUACGCAUGAUAAGUAGAUUCCCAACAAGGGCUUCAUUCACAAUCUAUACCAAGACACCAUUUGUAAAAUUAUUGUAAAAUCAUUAAAGCUUGUGAACAUACAUUGCCAGCAAGCCAACCAUCUUUAUUCAAAAGGUAUAUCAAAUUUUUUGAUUGAAUAUCAUAAGAAUGCAAAGUUAUAACUUGACUGUGCAUACAACACAUGCAAUACAAUGUUAUAAUUAUGUAAUAAUAUCAUUCCUUGUAACUAUAUGUAGUAAUUUACUCGUAAGAUGCAAUUUUCAUCCAUUUAUCAAGAGCUUAAACCUUCACGAGAGCCACUUCUCGAUAAGGAUCGCAUGUGUUGAUGUCCGAUAACUUUCUCAUCUUUGUCGGGUCCGUGAAGGGAGAAUACAAUAAGCGUGUUUUUCUCUUUGGACGAUAACCCCGUCCUUUCAGUAAAUCACAUCCUACCUCCUCGAUUUGUACACUAUCACCUACUUAUUACAAGUGCUAACAAUUAGAAAUCUAAAAUUAGUAUAAUUUGGAGGUAAUAACAUGAAGCUAAAAAUCAAAUUGUUUUUUACAUAUUGAGACUGGAUUCAUUCGUGUCCACCUCAGGUUUCUCUGACUCUACAAAAUAACUGAGUGUUUCCUUUUCCACAUUUUAUGCUUAUCCUCUACAAUUGUUUCUUUUCUAGUCCCCUCUUCUACUGUUCUUUCCUUUUCAUGCUUCUCCAUCUCAUCCCCAUAUCCAAACUCAGUUCCCUCCCUCGUAUAUUCUCUUCUCCCACCUCUUCUUCUAGCUUUGGGUCUUUUUCAGGCUCUUCCACAUUCGGUCCAUUUACAGACACAUCUGUCACAUCAUCAAAUUUAGCCUUGUUUUCCAACCAGUCCUUUGGUUCAACUUCCUGUACAUUAGUUGUGCUACUAGUGGCACCAUCAAAUACUAUAGUCACCGAAUGAAAUCGACUUGUCACAUCCAAAUCAACCAAUAUAUCAACCUUUUUUUCCACCCAACAAGAGGAAUUGAUAUGAUUCCUUAUAGCCUUCCCUCGAGUUUUUUCCAUUUUUGUUCUCACUAACUCUGCUAUGUUCAACUCAUGAGAUACCGGUGGUGGUUGAGAUAUACUGGAAGAGUGUUGGUGGAAUGCAUGAUGUGAUUCGGCAUCAUUCACAACCUCGUCUCCUUCUUAUUGGUUUGAAGCAUUUUCAUUUUCUUCCAUGAUCGAGAUCCACUCUUUUUAAUAAAUCUCCUCCAAUUCAGAUUUGUACGAAUCAACGUAGAAUUAACCUCCAAUUACAAAUAGUAAAUUGAGCAAAUAAUUAGUCAUCCACUAAGCAAAUUCCACAAUUUAUCCCUAUUAAACUUAAAUAAAAAGGCAAUUUGUCUCUUUCAAUUCUAAUACAUUAUUAAUUGCGGCAAAUGCUAACCUCUUCAACAUUCUUCAAGUGACCAUUCUGGAAUUGCAUCCGAAUAUUUUGUAGCAAACUUCAUUCCUGAAAUUAGAAUGGCUUUGAAUGCCCAAAUCUAUUGUAAAACAAAUAUUAUUAUCUCACAAAAAAAAUUUAUAUAUAAAUAAUAACUAUAAAUCAAAUGUAUUAUUUGUUUAUAUCAUUAUAGCGAGUGGAGAGCUAUGCAACGAAUUCCAAUAACGUGAAUCUCCUCCGACAUCGAAAUUGUUUGAUUUGCCUCCCAUUUCACGUUUGCAUACGUUCAUUGUGUAUUUAAAUGAAUUUUUCCACUAUGGAGAUCAUCCAUCAAAUCCAACCAUCAUAGAUGGAUUGUAGAUGUUUUCCUUUGUGGCCCAUAGGAUGUAUGCCAAGAUGACGAUCAAUCCUAACUUAUACUUGUCGCUUUCUUUUCUUGCAACUUAAAAAUGCAUUGUAAGCAUCUCUCCUCGUAAUCUUUCCUUCACUUUUCUUAAAAUAAUCUUUCAUGAUUUGACACUUUGUCCCCAAUGUUUUAUGCGUGUUGUUACAAUCACCCGCAUUUAAGCCUAUUACUAAAACAAAUUCUUUCAAUCCUAAUCUUGCUCGUUCAUCUCCGUUCUUAAACCAUAUUUCUUCUUGUUUGGUGGUCUUCAUUUUUUGCAAUAGUAAUUGAUGUACAACUUGUAAAGCUAGCCUAAUAUCUCUCAAUCUAAGAAGUGAUCUAAAGCAGCACUUGCGGAGCUUGUUCUUAUAAUUUGUAUCCAGCACUCCAUAAACAUCUUGUACUACUUUUAGUUUACAUCUAGUCGUAAUUAUAAUAUCAAUUUGAAUAUUCUCAACAUCAUCGCAAAUUACAAAAUAAUUACAAAUAUUAGAAUAAGUCAUGGCAGUAAAGCACAUAAUAACAUGAUGCAUAAGCUAUAUAAACCAAGUUAAGUAUAUAAAUUUUUUAUAAGAUAAAAGAAAUUAUGUACCACUUACAAACACUGUAGUACUUCACAACAAAAAUGUCCUACUAAUAGUAUCGUAAUACAAUUGCCAGCUUUAUAAUCAAAUGUAAAAUCAUCAUUAAAAAUUAUGCUUCAUUUCACGCAUUACUUGAUAGUUUAAUGAGAAGAAUUAAGUCAAAUUCCAAGCACAAACUCCUAAUUUCAAUUCUUAAAACUUAGAAGACAAAAAAAUAUCAAAUAUGAAAAGAGUUAAACACAAUGAGCCUUGAGUCACUCUUGAUCAAAUAUAUAUUUGAAAAGGAGUUAAAAAAUAAUGAGCUUUAAGUCACUCUCAACUCACAAUCAUAUUUGGGUACUAUGCUAUUAUCUCAUCUUCAACAACUUUUACUUCCCAUGCAGGGCCGGCCAUGAGAAUUUAGAGGCCCUAGGCGUGUAGUUAUUAUGAGGCCCUUCAACAUAAUAUUUAUUUUACAAGUAUAAUAAUAUGUAAAUAUUAAAUAAUUAAUAAUUUUAUAUUAAAAAGAAAACUUUAUACAAUUUAAAAGAUAGAAUAGCAAAAUAAAACUUCUCUCACAACCCGAGAGAUUAGGUUAGCAUAAGAUUUAACCUUAUCAUAUUUUGAGAUGUAAAAUUAGUAAUCAAACUACUGAAAUCAAGUUUUUUCAAUAGAAAUCAUAGCUAAUCCAUUCAAUCGCUCUUAUGACAUGGUUGAUUGAAGAAAAGAUUGAAUCAACCUCUACCUAUCUUGGCCAUGAGUACUAAUCAAAAUCAGUUUUGCUAAUCUAGUUCUAUCCCCUUAUAGAUUAUGACAUCUUAUGUUUAAACUUAACAAAUAUUUCUCCACAAAUCAUGAAUUUAGGUGUAAAUUGGGCGGCUUGGAUUGAGUUUCUAGUUACUAAAUCGAACAAUUAAAUUUUGAUUGAAAAUUAUAAAACUGAAAAUAUUUUAUUUGAGAGAGAGAACUGAACUGGUUGGGUUCUUUCAUAAUUCAUACAUUAAAUAUUGAUUCUUUUAAAUAGAUACAUAUAAAUUAUUGGCUAAGUUUAUUAAAAAUAAUUGUAGAACUAAAUUAAAAUUCAAUUCUAUAACUACAACCAAGAAUAAGAAUUAAAAAUAAUACGGACACAAAAAGUAUAUACAUACAAAUGAAAAAUAAAUAAAAUAAUCUUAUUAGUCCUCUAUGUUACCUAAACACAACUAAUAUCCUGUAUAAUGAAUAUAAAUUAUACAAAUAACAAAUACUCUCAUAGCCCAAACAGUAAAACUGUAAAAGAAAAGCCAAAUAACCAAUCCUCGGUAAGAAUGGAUCAGAACAUCAGCACAUGACUAAUAGUAAUAAAUAAUCUAGUUCUUGAUAAAGGCCAUAAAAGACAAAACCAAUGAAGAACACACAAUCGCGCCCCCUGAAAAGUAAAACCCGAAACCACAGGUCCACCAUCCACAAGCAAGUGCAAGUGUGUUGUGUGCAACGACGAAGAACAUGAAAAGACAGGCCGAACCUUUAGUCGGGUAAUAGCCAAUCGGAUGAUUUCUAGCCGGAAGUUUUGCUAGUAGCUAGGUUUUACUUUUCAAGAUUGGUACCAUAUUUUUCUCUGAAUUUCUCCAAGUUUAUUACGAUUCUUGUGGUGUCAUAUUGGAAUUGGAGAAAUGGAUGGUUUGUUCUCCAUUUAUCUGCCCAAUUUUGUGUUUUUUUUCAAGGGAUUUGAGUGGCUUUGGGCCCUUUUUUUUUUUGGGAGGCCCCUUCAGAUUCUGAGGCCCAAGGCGGUGGCCUUGUUUGCCUUGGGCCAGGGCCGGCUAUGUNNNNNNNNNNNNNNNNNNNNNNNNNNNNNNNNNNNNNNNNNNNNNNNNNNNNNNNNNNNNNNNNNNNNNNNNNNNNNNNNNNNNNNNNNNNNNNNNNNNNNNNNNNNNNNNNNNNNNNNNNNNNNNNNNNNNNNNNNNNNNNNNNNNNNNNNNNNNNNNNNNNNNNNNNNNNNNNNNNNNNNNNNNNNNNNNNNNNNNNNNNNNNNNNNNNNNNNNNNNNNNNNNNNNNNNNNNNNNNNNNNNNNNNNNNNNNNNNNNNNNNNNNNNNNNNNNNNNNNNNNNNNNNNNNNNNNNNNNNNNNNNNNNNNNNNNNNNNNNAAUUUAGGCUCGAUUCAAGCUUUCGACUUUGACCUUAUUGAACCAAGUUUAGGAGGCUCGAUUUUUUUAUAAUUAUAUUUUGCUACAAUUGUUGCCUUUUACAUGCAGCUUGUUGUAGCCUUAAAAUGUAGCUAUUUACUGCUGCAUUUAAAAUGUAACCUGCGGGUGCUUUUUAAUUUUUUUUUUAUUAUUUUUUUUUUGAGAAUUCAAGGGUCGGCUCGUGGCUUGCGACACAAGCUAGCCUCUGGCUCGGGUCGACCUUUUCCCACCCCCAACCCAAUGGGUAAUUCCCCACCCCAUACCCGUUUAGGGCGGGGCAAGUCGAGGAGGGAAGGAAUCCGUGCCCUGUUUAUUACACGCACACCAUUGCAAAAGCACUUUAUGGAUUGCUCAUAUGUAAAUUAAUCCCCAAAGAACACACCAUUGCAAAAGCUACUAGCCUUUUAGGUAAUAAAUGAAUCGCCAAAACACUUUGAUGGCAAGAGUCUGUUGAACAGCGAGUCGACGACAGCUUUUUGUGGAAGAAAAAAUCUCUCAAACUUAAAUGCUUAAUUUUGUUUGGUAAAUGGUGGUGAUUGGUAUUUGGUUUUUGGGCUUGGGCUUGGGCUUGGGCCCAGGCUUGGGCUGAUUAAAAAUAUUUUGGUUCGAGAGAUAUUUGUCAAUUUGUAAAUUGUAAUAUUUUAAAAAUUAUAUUGAGCAAAUUAGGCCCAGUACGACCUGGAUGUUUUAAAAUUGAUUAAUGCACCUAACAUUUUUAACCUUUUCUUUUUACAUAUUAAAUACGGUGUAAUAAAGGGAGAUAUUCAAAACCCUCCUCUCUCAAUCUCUCCUCUCACUGUCCCAAUUCAUCAUCUCUCAUUGCCUUCCUCAAACUUCCCUCCGCAGCCCACUCGCCAAUCUUGUUACCAUAUUACCACCCCAUCUCUAUUCUCUCUUACUUGGACCCAUCGGAGAUUGCCAAGCUAGGAUCGACCGGGCUAUUCAAAUUUCAUUUGUGUCCACAAAUUGCCCUCCAACUACCCCUUUAUUUUAAGCAAAAUGUCUGAACAAGGCUUGUUUAGCAUGGGUUAGAAAGAUAUAUACGUGAGGCUCUGCAAACCCAAUCCUUCUGACUGUAGCACAAAGGUUUGCCUGUGUCAAACUCUUAAUUUUUUCUGGUUCUGAAUUGCGAAAUUUGAUUGGGAUCUUGAGUUGGCCCUCAUGGUAGGGCUUUGUGAAGCUUAUUACUGGAGUUUUGUGAGUGUUCGGUAUGAAAAGUUCUGUCCAUGUACAUUAGUAUGUUCCUAAUCAUUUGUAGUGCCUUGUUAUGCUCUAUCCAUUUACAGUUAAGCUCUUCCAGUAAUAAGCACCCAUGAGAUAAUUUUAUAAUAAGAUUGUGUUGCAUAUCUUUUUUAUUUGAAUUUUCAAAUACACACGCUUAUAUAACUUGUUAAUUGUCACCUUUCUGAAUUUUCGUCACUUUUUAAUGGUAUGUGUCACUUUUUUUUUCAAUCAUAUUUUUUUUGAAAUUUCUCGCAUUUUGGUGGCGGUGAAGGAGUGGUUGAAUCUGGUGUAGGCGAUGGCCUCUUCUAGCAACGGAGAUGGGAAAAAAAAAAAAACUCAGCUUAUUCUCAUGUUGGGAUCUUCAUCAAGUGGAAGUCAAUGGAUUAGUUGAGUAGUUGAGUUGUAAGAUAACGAUGGCUGUGAAUUAAUUUAAAGAUACUUGAUAUUUUAAUUGGUAUUUUGUUAGUAAACUAAUUUAAAAAUGCUUGACGAUGAACGGAGAAAGAGAAGAAAGGAGGUUGUGUCACUUUUUUGAAUUUUUAUCACUUUUUGAGUGCUUGUCACUUUUUUGAAUUUCUGUUACUUUUUUUAGUGACAAACAUCACUUUUAAUAAAAAUGACAUUGUAUAUCAUACAUAACUUUAAAAAGUGAUAUUGUGUGACUUAAAAAAAGUGAUAGUGUUUGUCAUUAUUUUGAACUUUAGUGACAUUUCUAUAGUUAUUCGAUUUUUUGUUACUGUGUCUAUUUUUGUCACUUUAUUUUUUUUUUUUUAUUUCUGUCACUUUUUGAGUGUUCGUCAUUUUUAUUUUUUUUUUAAAAUUUGUGCCAAUUUUUUUGUUUACGGUACUUUCUUUGAACUUUGUCACUUUUUCGAGUUUUUGUCACUAUCUUUGAAUUUUUAUCACUUUUCGAAUGCUUGUCACUUUUUUUUUUUUUGAAUUUUUGUUACAUUUCUAAUUUUUCGACACCUUUUUUUCCCGAAUUUGUACACUUUUUUAUUGUAUGUCAAUUUAUUUGAUUUUUUUGUCACUUUUUCAAAUGUGUUCUGUCACUUUUUUCGGAACUUUUUUUUAAAAAAAAAAUUUGUGUUACUUUUGUGAGAGAAUGUCGCUUUCUUUGAAUUUUUCAUUACUUUUUCGAAUGUUUGUCACUUUUUUCAAUGUGUCACUUUUUUCAAUUUGUAUCACUUUUUAAGUAGACGUCACUUUUUUAGUGUUUGUCAUUUUUUCUUAUCAUUUGUCAUAUGAAUUGUCCUGGACAUUAUGGAUAUAUUAAGAACAUGAUUAUUGGUGCUACACAAAUGAUUGGUGCUAUUUUGGUGUUUGUCACUUUUUUUUUUAGUUUUUGUCAUUUUUUUGAGUGUUUGUGUCACUUAUUUUGAAUUGUGAAAAAAGUGAUAAUUUUUUUAUAAAAAAAGUGACAUUAUGUCACUUUUUAAUUUUACACAUUAUACUUUUUAUAUGAUUUUUCAAAACACCUAUAAUUUUAAGGGUAUUUUUGUAAAUUGCCCAAUUAUAUAUCAAAUGGAAUGGGGCGAUUGAUACUGUACCCGUCCCAGGUCGAGACGGGUCGAAGUCCGCGGGUACUGGGUUUAAUGGGUUUAACUCAUCCCCUUUCUUAAACGUCAAGUCGGCAUCGCCGAUGUAACGCGGGCACAGAAAUGCUGCAACUGGCCGCAUCAUUCCAUCCCAGCCUUAUUCAACCUCGCCUCUCACCGGAAUUCCAUCGCCGACACUCUCUCCAGCAAACUUCAAACGCAAAAGAAUUAACCCUACUCCACGCUCAACCCAUUUUCACUUCAACAACCCUUUCCAACAACAAUCAGAGCAGUAUCUAUAACAAUGAAAAACUCGUUAAGAAGGCUCUCUUUUCUUACAAUACCAUUAUCAAAUGCUUCCUUCAAAACCGUCGCUCUCAGGAUGCUCUUGUGGUUUUUGUGGAUUUGCUUUGUUGUCCGGGGAUGUUGCCAGACGAGUUCACGUUACCGUGUGUGAUCAAGGCGUGUGCGAAUCUAAGGACUAUUAAGGAAGGGAAAAUGAUUCAUGGGUUGGCGUUGAAACUCGGUUUUGGGUCUGGUUCGGGUGUUCAUGUGGAGAGUAGUUUGGUGAGUUUGUAUUCAAAAUGUGGUGAUAUUGAUUCUGCACGGAAAGUUUUUGAUAAAAUGCUUGUGAAGGAUUUGGUUUCAUGGAAUGUGUUGUUGGAUGGUUACGUAAAGUGUGGUGGGGAGAAUAUUGAGGUUAUUCUGAGACUGUUUGAUGAGAUGCCCGAAAAGGAUGCCUUCUCAUGUACUGUGUUGAUUGAUGGGUUGGCCAAGAGUGGAAGAGUUGACGAAGCAAGAGAGGUGUUUGAUAGUAUGUUGGAUAAGAAUGUGGCUUCAUGGAAUGCAAUGAUUUAUGGGUAUAUGAAGUAUGGAAACUAUAAACUCGCAGGUGAUUUGUUUGAUAGAAUGGACGAGAGAAAUAUAAUCACUUGGAAUUCGAUAAUUUCUGGGUAUGAAUUAAAUGGUAAGUUUCUGGAAGCUCUGCGAAUGUUUCAGGUGAUGUUGGAUAAGGGCCUCAAGGCUAAUGAUGUGACGAUAGUUAGUGUACUUUCUGCAAUUUCGAAGUUGGCUUCGCUUAGUAAAGGUAGGUGGGUGCAUUCGUAUAUGUCAAAAGCUGGGUAUAGAUUAGAUGGUGUACUUGGUAUAUCUUUGAUAGAAAUGUACUCCAAGUGUGGGAGCAUUGAGAGUGCUUUGAUGGUUUUUCGAGGAAUAUCCAAGAAGAAGCUGGGGCAUUGGACAGCCAUUAUUGUAGGAUUGGGGAUGCAUGGUAUGGCUCCUGAUGCAACUGACUUGUUUCUUGAAAUGCAAAGGAAUGGAAUUAAGCCUAAUGCCAUUACAUUUGUUGGAGUCUUGAAUGCUUGUAGUCAUGUGGGAAUGGUGGAUGAUGGUCGGCGUUAUUUUUCUAUGAUGAAAAAUGAGUAUGGAAUAGAACAAACUGUUGAGCACUAUGGUUGCUUGGUGGACAUUCUUUGUCGAGCUGGUCAUCUUGAUGAGGCAAAGAGUACCAUUGAAAAGAUGCCUAUGAAGCCAAGCAAGAUAAUAUGGAUGACUUUACUUAGCAGUGCAAGAAAUUAUAGAAACAUUGAUAUUGGUGAAUAUGCAGCAAAGAACUUGAUCGAGUUAGCUCCUGAAACUGUUCAGUGCUAUGUACUCCUUUCUAAUAUGUAUGCUGUUGCAGGACAGUGGGAAAAAGUUUCGCUGGUUAGAGAAAUGAUGAAGAGGAGAGGGUUUAAGAAAGAACCAGGGUGUAGUUCAAUUGAACACAAGGGUGUGCUUCAUGAAUUCAUGGUAGGAGACAAAUCCCAUCCUCAAUCUGAAUUGAUAUAUUCGAAAUUGAGUGAGAUGAAGAAUAAGUUGAGACUAGCGGGACAUGUUCCUGAUACGACUCAAGUAUUAUUAUUUGUUGAAGGGGAGAAAGAGAAACAAGCUGAACUGGAAAACCAUAGUGAGAGGUUGGCUAUCGCAUUCGGCCUUAUAAACGUUGACCGAAAAAAUCACAUUCGUGUGGUGAAGAACCUUAGAGUUUGUAACGACUGCCAUUCUGUGAUGAAGUUUCUGUCCAAGAUCUAUGAACGUGUAAUUAUUGUGAGAGAUAAUAGCAGGUUCCAUCAUUUCAAAAAUGGGUCAUGUUCAUGCAACGACUAUUGGUGAUUGAGAAUUAUGCUGUCUCACAUUAAGGUCUUGUUUCAGUUUGUUCAACUAAUAACAUGAUGGAGACCCAACCAUCACUCCCAAAAGCACAGGUUUGAGGGUGAUUGAAUCUCACAACUAUUAGGCCCUAACAAUACCCAAUGGCCCCAAAUCUGACGGCCACAGCGGCCCAAUCCAUGACCUUUGCUUUACGUGGCCGGCCAUUAUUUGACUGCCGGUAUUUGGCACUUAGUUUUGGUCGCCCCUUCCGGAAUUCGAACUUGUGGCUUGGGUCUACUCUGAUACCAAUUGAUGGAGACCCAACCAUCUCUCCCAAAAGCCCAGGCUUGAGGGUGAUUGAAUUCCACAACUAUUAGAUCCUAACAUGACAUUAGGAUUGUGUUUUAGCUAUACCCCCAAUUAGGAGAGCUAGUCUUUUGGCUGUACGCAAAAUCUUCACAUGGUGGAUGUAUGUCCUGAGAUACGGUCCAGUACAUUAUGCAAUUUCUCAGACCUUGGAGGAUUCAUGCUUGCGCCUUUUUCGUCCUUACAGCAUAACCAGUGUAAUUUUCUUUUUGUUGCCAUAUGCUUUUUAUUUUUAUAUGUCACCUACACUACAAUUCCUUGUGCUGUCUGCUAGUCAUUUAUUUACUUCACUUUUUCUUUUCUGUGGAUGCAUGCCCUCAUUACUAGAAAUGCGAGGUCUUUUAUUCUGUUUUCAAACAUUAAGAGUCAUAAUCAAUCCUAUUUCAGGCCUCAAUUUUUAUUUGAUAGAAUUAUUAAUCUUAAUGUCAUGGUAAUUGCUUUGUCAAUUAGCAUCUAUAUCUCAUGUGCUUCCUGUACAUGGCAGGCACAUGGUUUCAUGUACUGAUUAUCAUAUAUGGAGAUUGCUUACAGAACUAUAAAUUUGUGUUCCAUACAGUGAAGUUCACUGAAACAUGAUCUUGGAGUGCACAAUCGGUGUCAUUAUUGGAAACCUUGACUGAAAAAUCUUGUCAUCUUAUUAAUAUGGUUAAAACUUAAAUACUUCAUCAAUUGUCAAUUAGUGAAAAUGAACAGUUCAAAAUUUAAAAUAUGAGCUGGUGCAUGGGAAUUAUAGCUUACUAUCAAAGACUUCCACUCCAUUAGACCCAGGAUAUUGAGCCCUGUUUGGGCCCCGUUUUUGGAGAAUGGAUUUUGUAAAAAGUGUUUUUUUUUUUUUUUAAAAUGAGUUUGGGUAAAAAUGAGUUUUAAAGAAUGGGGCUCAAAUGGGUGCUGAUAAUUUUUAAUUAAUCAAUUUGCUUUCUUGCCAUCAGAUUGCGCAAGAGAGGCAAAUAUUUCCAAAAAGGGAAAGGACACAUCUAAUUCGUACAUUAGAAGUACUAGACAUGGAUGAUAUACAAUCAUAUUAUAAUGAAACAUAAAGUUUCCGAGCAAUUGCUUCGAAAUAUAAUGAGUUUUAAUGCACAUUGAUGUUUAUUGAACUUGUUAAAUUCAUUCCUUUUGCCAUAUUAUGUCUUGGAAUGAUUGUUAUUUGCUUAUAUUCAUAUUAUUAGGUGAUGAAUUUGGUCAGUAAUUCUCUCUAUUGUGUGCCUUGGCAGUUUUGAAUUCAAUUAUUUCAAGAACUUCCAUGUCAUGUCGCCUGCACCUUUUCCAUUGUAGCAUGUAUUGUUGGAGUGAUUAUCGUUCUUUUUCUUGUUCUGACACUGACCAAGCAGCCUCUAACUUUGUCUCACUUUCACAUGACAAUCUUCUAUGAAAUAAAUGAAUGCAUUUUAUGGAGUCCGUUACUGUUUGCAUGCUGGGGAAAAAAGAAGAUGCAUCCUUAUGGUUAUAGUGCUAUGUUAUCACAUAAUCCAAAAAUGUUGUCAAUCUUCCUUACUGCAAAUUUCACUAAUUGUGAACAAAAAUGCAUGAGUCCAUUGGUCUUCAUUGCAGGUGUCAUUUUACUGAUUUCAGUUGAGACCCAUAUAUUUAAAAUGAGUUUGGGUAAAAAUGAGUUUUAAAGAAUGGGGCUCAAAUGGGUGCUGAUAAUUUUUAAUUAAUCAAUUUGCUUUCUUGCCAUCAGAUUGCGCAAGAGAGGCAAAUAUUUCCAAAAAGGGAAAGGACACAUCUAAUUCGUACAUUAGAAGUACUAGACAUGGAUGAUAUACAAUCAUAUUAUAAUGAAACAUAAAGUUUCCGAGCAAUUGCUUCGAAAUAUAAUGAGUUUUAAUGCACAUUGAUGUUUAUUGAACUUGUUAAAUUCAUUCCUUUUGCCAUAUUAUGUCUUGGAAUGAUUGUUAUUUGCUUAUAUUCAUAUUAUUAGGUGAUGAAUUUGGUCAGUAAUUCUCUCUAUUGUGUGCCUUGGCAGUUUUGAAUUCAAUUAUUUCAAGAACUUCCAUGUCAUGUCGCCUGCACCUUUUCCAUUGUAGCAUGUAUUGUUGGAGUGAUUAUCGUUCUUUUUCUUGUUCUGACACUGACCAAGCAGCCUCUAACUUUGUCUCACUUUCACAUGACAAUCUUCUAUGAAAUAAAUGAAUGCAUUUUAUGGAGUCCGUUACUGUUUGCAUGCUGGGGAAAAAAGAAGAUGCAUCCUUAUGGUUAUAGUGCUAUGUUAUCACAUAAUCCAAAAAUGUUGUCAAUCUUCCUUACUGCAAAUUUCACUAAUUGUGAACAAAAAUGCAUGAGUCCAUUGGUCUUCAUUGCAGGUGUCAUUUUACUGAUUUCAGUUGAGACCCAUAUAUUAGGGAGGAUGAGCUUUUUUAGAAUGAGGGAAGGAAAGAUAGAAGCCUAUUAAUACUCCUGAUAAUGACGUUAUUCAAGAUGACUCCUAUGAGGUAAGUGACUUUGUUAACCCCAAUUGUUCCAUAUUUACAUUUAUUGCACUUUGCAAGAGCUAAGUGUUUGGGAAGAUUGCCCAUGAUAAUAAAAAUAUUAAAACUUGGACAAAGUAUUCACUUAAGAAAUAAUGUGGCUCUACUAUAAAAUAACAACAAUGGAUUACAAGAUAAGUUUCAAAUAUGAGUUACAAAGUAUCUCAAACUUUCUAUUUCUCUCAAAAACAAACUUUUAUCUUUCUCAAAUCCUCACUUAGUGCUCAAUUGUUUUUGGCACUCACUUAUUAAACACAUAUAUAGUAUGAACACAUCCUGAGGCCUAUUUAUAGAUUUUUUAAGUUAGUUUGCCACUUGACAAUACAACUUGCAUUUCUCAUUUAGAAGAUUAAAAAUCAAACAUGAAUUUGACCAAUCAAUAAGCAUUUUUCCAUAAACAUCUGCCUAUCAUGUAUAAAAACAUUGUAACACUCUUCAUAGAACUCUGCCUAUCAUAUCCAUCUGCAAUGAGUGCAUAUUUUUCAUUAUUUUACAGCAUUCGUUAUUUAAUCUCUGCAAGAAAACUAAAAAUAGGGUCAACAAAGUUUUGGUCUGAAGCAACACGACACUAAAGAAUUGUCCAGGUUCUUCAAAAAAUUGGAUGACCUGUCUCAAUUAAAGCUCUGUUGGUUCUUUAUUAAAUUUUUUUCCUUAAUGAAUGAUUAUGAUUAACUUGAUAUACAUAUCAUAAAUUUAUCUAUAUAAAUCAAAUUUGAGUUUUUGAAUGAUUAUGACUUAGUUUUUCGCUGUAUUAUACUAAAAAGUGUUCACUUAAUAGUUUUUCUGAGCUUCUCUAGUCUUUUUCGCCUUUCUUAAUGAAACUGAUUCAAGCAUUCGUUCAGAGUUGACAACAACGGAUAAGCAUUUUCCCUAUGCCUAAAGCACCAAGACUGUAACAAUGAAAAUGGCUCCCUUUUUAGUGAGAUUAUAUGAGCAAAUGCCCGAACCUGCUCUUUUGACUUGUUCGUCUCGUCUUCCAGCUCAAACUAGCCAGGACUCCUAUUCCGGGUAGUGUUUUUUGAAGUCUUUUGAUCAUUUUUAUAAAAUGUUAGUAUUUUGUAACUGACGAGUCGAAAAAUUUGAACCGCCAGUUGAAUUAGUGACUCAUGUUCUUGGUUUAACGACUGUUUAAACAAGUAAUUAUCUUAAAUGGCUGCAGUUUAUUGACCAUUGCUGUCCCUUUUAACUUUGUUAUCUUCUACUAAGACUAUCCACCACCCUUUCUCACGUAAAAAGUUGUAGUGUUGAAGACUUUAAAUAAGUCAGUAGUAAAAUAUGUACGCCUGGAGGAAGGUGAAGGAAAUAAUGAUGAUAAAGAAGAAAAAAUUAUAGAGCUGUCAUCCAGAUCUUGAACAUUUUUCACGCCAAUACCCAGUCUGACAGCUUGACCCUAUUCUGACUUAUUCUUGAAGGGUCUAACAAAAGAACUUCUUAUGUUUGCCUAGUAAACAUGGAUUGAAAAUAGAUUAAAUCAAAUUUAACUAUUUAUUUUUUUCUCCCAAAAUAAGUUUUCAAUUUUUGAAUGUUAUCCGAUUUGCCAUAAAUUGGUUUCUAUAAGGUUUUUAUUCAUGUUUUGUAGAUUGAUAGGUCCCAGUUAGAAGCUGAUAUUCACACUGAAUUUAGAAUUCUCUUAGGGUGAGAACAGGGCCACAAUUUGCUGAAUUGAAUGCUUGAUUCUUUAUUGCAACUGAAAAUGUGGUUUAUAUAAGCAAAGCCUAACAAGCAUGUUCAACUUACGUGUAGAAAUAAAUGGCCUGGUACUUCCUAAGAAAUAGGUAACAGAGCAGUAAUGCAAAACAGAAUAAACGUGCAAACGGAAAUGUAAGACUGAAUGCUAAACAUAAUGCAAAUAAAUCUCUAGCGUUCUAGGCUUCAACAGGUCGUGGACUUGGCAUUCUUCUGUAGUCCUCUGCUUGACCUUCGUGAUUUAUCAUAGAUGCGUAGUGCAUUGAAAAUAAUGGAACUGGGAAACUCGUUGCAAGAAAUAAAACAUUACCUUGUGCUAGUGCAAUUUGGAAAGGCAUCCGAUUGGGGCUUUAUCCAAUUCACAUCCUGCAGUAUAGGUCAAUGGGGGAACUGAACUUUGUUACUUGAAAAAACUACGAACCCAAGAGUUAGCUUCCAUAGAUUUGUUUAUUUAGUUCAAUUUCUGCUAGUAAAGUUCAUUUUUUUCAUAUAAUGCAGUGUUUAGGUUCUGAAAGAAUAUUGUAGGUUACAUAGCGCAUUCCAAUUAAUUGGGGCCUUCUUAUUUAAAUCACAUAUGAAAAUUUUGAAGGUUGUAUCUUGUAUAAUUGAAGAUGAUGCUUUACAAUUAUAUGCUAACAAUUGUCUGUGUUAUUUAUAGGAUUCUGAACAUGCUAUCUUGUGAUUGGCUUGUUACUCUGUGAUUAUUGGUUCUUGGUUCAUAGUGUACUGUAAAUGGCAUUAUCAGUGUCUAUGAUGGGGAAAUAGCUUAUUCUUUUGUUUUUGUGUUUGUCGAAACUUACUUCAUUGCUGAAAUGCUUAUUUGAGCAAUGAUACAACUUUUACCUGACAAUUAAAGAAGAUUUAUAUUGUCCUAACAAUUUGGGGUGUGAUUCUUAAAAUAUGCUAUCAUUCUGUUUCUCAACUUCUGAAGGUAGUUCAGAUACACAAUAUAUGGUGUAGUGGUGAGUGUGGGUAUGUUAAAAAAGCGCUGCAACCAUGGUAGUUAAGAGAUAAAUUCGUGUCUGCAUGAAACAUUACAUCAAUUCUGCUCAAUGCCAGACGAGCCACAGAACUUCAUCGAGAUAGACAAAACAUUUUGGUAUUGUUAUGCAUGAGAUGUAUACACUAAUGUAAUUCAUUUCCCAGGUACAAAGUUUGUGGCAUAUGCCCAUGCAUUGUUGGCAACUGGAUCUGCGAUGUGGUCAAAGAGGUUCUCUAUUGGGCCCUUUCCAGUAACAAUGGCCUGGACGAAGAAUCCAAACAUUGAGAACAUAGCCAGUCGUCCAUUCUUGAUUUCUUUUACCUUCAAUUCGGCAAAUGCUUCAGGAUCAUCUGCCAACCCAAGUGGGUCGAAGGCUCCUCCAGGGUAGAUUUUGUCGAGCCCCUCACCAAGUGGGCCCCCACCAACUCUGUAUCCUUCAACAAAUCCCAUGAGCACAACUUGACAAGCCCAGAUAGCAAGGAUGCUUUGGGCAUGGAUGAGAUUUGGGUUGCCAAGGUAGUCAAGGCCACCUUCUGAGAAGAUCUGAGCUCCAGCCUUGAACCAAACAGCCUCACCAAACUUGACACCAUUCUUGGCAAGGAUUUCUGGGAAAACACAGCCCAAUGCGCCGAGCAUGGCCCAACGGCAGUGGAUAACCUCAAGCUCACGGUUCUUGGCAAAUGUCUCAGGGUCUGCUGAUAGUCCAGCUGUGUCCCAACCAUAAUCACCUGGGAAUUCACCAGUGAGGUAUGAUGGAGUUUGCUCAGAGAAUGGACCCAAGUACUUGGGGCGGUCAGGUCCGUACCUGUUUCAUCAGUUGAGAUUUGAUGAGAUAAAUCUAAAUUGCCUUCAAAUUUGAUUGUAACAAGAAAAUAAGACAGGAAUUUGAGGUUAGGAACCUGUGACCCAAAAUAUAUGUUGUUCAAAUGUGAGUUGGGUACAAUUUCCUCUUGGAAACCACAAUUAAGUGCUUGGUGAACGGAUCCUUUAUUAUCAUUAUAAUAUGUACUGUUGAUCAAUCUAAUAGGAGUAAAAUUUACUUUAACGAGAUCAAUUUCUAUUAAAACUGCUAGAAUCAUAUGCAUGAGUGUUUGUGUAGCAUGUUUUCUCUAAGAUCAAUUUCUUUAUGAAAUUAGGGAGCAUUCUGAAGUGUGGCCGUAGCUAACAGUUUAAGCUGUAGUUGUGCAUGUGUAUGCGCAGGUUGAGCUAGAAUUUACCAAAUGCUCUGGGGAGCACUUUUAACAGUACGUCUCAUGGUGAAGCGGCCACCUCCGAGGUUGCCAACCUUUCUGAUGAGCUGAUUCUGGGAUUUCAAGGCUGUCUGGCCUGCAAAUGCAGAUUGUUGGAUUGCUGAAGUUGCCAUGUUUUUGCUCGUGAGUUUCUUUCUUUGUUGCGGUGAUUUGCUUUCUGCUUUGUUGGGAUGGUUAAAGAGGAUGGGAGAAGAGUGUUUAUAUAUGGGAAUUAGAAGAUUAGUGGAUUGCAAUAUCUACAUCUCAGAACAAUCUGAUUGGUUCAUGUAUUGGAUUUAGAUUUCCCUUGAGAUUUUCUUGAGAGUGAAAUAGAGGUCUUUAUUCUGCCACGUGGCUAUGAAAAAUCUCAUUCGGCAUUUGAAUUGGACAUCCUCAGCUCUCUAAUGGCCACUGAUAUUGUGUGGACCACUGGCUUGCUUCUUGUCACUCCAUUGAGCCAAAGAAAUGUACACGUCUCGACUUGGAUUUAAAAUUUAAAUAAUAGAGAGAAAAUGAAAACUCAAAGAAAAACAUAAUGAACAAGUUAUGUCACACCUCUUAGAGGUUAAAAUUGUUGGUUCAGCCUGGAUGGAUCCAACUACAAUCAAAGGCUCACUUCAGGCCCUGCCAAAGCGCUGACUCAUUCAACUCCUAGCGAUCGCACCGAGCUUUUCCAUCCUCGGCAAGGCAAUACAUGUGUAUAAAAUUCUGGAUAUACUUUGUUGCCUCAUCAAAUUUUACAAUUUUUCUUACUACAUCAGAGUACUCAACACUGAGAAUUUAAAGGCUUCCCCGAGUUGCAAUUUACACUGAAACUGUUAGAAUCAGUUUUGUAAUUUUUUAGACCCAGUUGGGUUGAAACUGCCCCCCCCCCCCCCCCCCCACACACACAUUAAAUAAGUUGGAUUGAAGGGAAGGAACUAGGGAAUCUUUCUUUAGCUUUUCGCAAGUCAAAAUUUCAAGGCCUGCUUGCAGUCUCAUCUUCCUGCAAUCGAGUUCUCCAUCACAAUUUCGCAUGCUCGCGAUGUCCACCUGGUCUUCUUCUAGCACAUGUGCUACCUUAAAAUAUUGCAUCAUGACUCGAAGAAAAUUUUCCAACUCUUUGGCACAUUAGGUACGACCAUACUUUGAUUUUUGAGGUUACCCUGAGUCUCUAGGAGCAAGAGUUGCCCGUUUCAACAACAUAUCUUCGCCUUCCAGCAACCCAAGGCGAGAAGAAACAAUGUCCCUAGUGUGGACGUAAACUUUUUGUUCGACUUUUCGAAAACCUAGCUCAUAUUCUCUGAAUUUUACUUCAUUUCCUCCGCUGGUGCCACCUAACGACAACAAUAUUUAACAUCCGGGCAGCUAGGAAAUCCUCAAGCAUUCUAACUCGAUCUUUUAGAUUUUGACUUGUAGCCAUCUUACUAUUUUGCCAUCAACUUGCAAAAACAUGUCUAGUUCGUUUCCACCAUUUAAACCUGAUGCUCUAAUACCAAUUGUCAUAGGACUAACUCGUUCAACUUGCGAGGUUGCCAAGUUUCCUUGUUCUCAACCAACUAAUAUAUGUCGAUGCAAUUCUUGAUAUGAAAACUCAUUGAUUUUGACUAAGUAAAUGUAGAUUAUUGAAUUAAAGUAAACAAACACAGAUUUUACGGACAUCAAUCCAUCUUUAUUCUCACUAAAACAAAGAAACAUGUACAAAGUUAUGAAGGGCCAACACACUUUGUUGCCUCAUCAACUCUCACAAUCUGCCUAUCUAAACAAAGUACUCGACACUUAGAAUUUAAAUCCAUUCCCGAAUCGCAGUUUACACCGCAAAUUGCUAGAGCCAAUUUGCAGUUUUUUUAGCCCCAACAUUUAAACACAAUGAAUAAAUACUCGUAAUCGCUAUCUCUUGCAAUCCUUAUACUUGAAUGUUCGUUGAACUCGUGGACUAAAAUUAGUUGGAUAGUAAGGUCUCAAUGCUACCGAACACAUGCUCACAUCAAUUCAGUAAUCAAAGCCAAAUAUUACUUACAUCCCCAAAUUUCGUCCUGCGAUACUUCCAUUAAAUAAAUUAAGCAUCAUCAUGUCUCCAUUUUUUCCGCAUCACAAAACCAAAUCGUGUCUUACUUCAUCCUAUCCAAAUAUGCACAUUGUUUUGAUAUCUCGGACGCCUUUGACCAUAGCAUGGCAUUGAAUAAUGUAAUUUAAAUCAAGUCAUAAUUAAGAAAAAUGAAUAUUUUGUGAGACGAAAGACUGAAAAAUGUAGAUGAGAAACAAGUGUUUAUAACUAAAAAAAUGAUCUUUAAAAAAAAAAAUGUCGUAUAAAAAUUUAAAUAGAAAAAUUUGUUAAGACAGGAUCCAAUUAUUUAAUUACUUUUAGUUUUAAAUUUUUUUAGUAAGCGGGCCACUUGGGUUGGGCCACAUUUGUUAUUAGGCUAGACAAUUGAUUUUGGCCCAUGUGUCGGAUUAGGAUGGUUUCAAUUUUAACUCGUUCGGUCAGCCUGGCCCAUUUCUCUAUUUUACUAGGCCCAGUGUUGUUCAAAAUAUAAAUUAAAUUAUGAGAAAAUUAUCCAAAACCACAACAUAUAAAGUAUACUAUUCAAAAUUAAAAAUUAUUAGUUUUAAUUUCACAAAUCAAGUGACAAUGAAAUUUAAUGAAAUUAAUUAAUACGUAAUUAAAUCGCACCCAUACAUCCCGUCCCACACAACCCACUCCACCUAUUCUAUCACUUAAAUUGAAAUCUUUACUAAUCAAUCACUAUCGGAUACCCCACGCCUUAAAUUGAAAUCUUCCCAAAUCAAUUCACUGAACAAAACUCUCUCUCUCUCUCUCUCUACAUAUAUAGGAAGUUUACUAGAGGAAAAGAAAUACUUAGAUUUGCUCCCUCUACGGAUUGUUGAUAGUGAUGAAAAGUCUUCAAUGGGCUACUUAUAUGAAGUUUUUCAUUUGGCAAAAGGUAAGAUGGAAGCAGAUUUCAAACAAGGAAGAAUAGAAUUGCUCCUUAUUUGCAAAUUAUUCAGACCUGAUGGGAUAGUCAAUUCCGUAAGAAUUUCCAUGCUACUGGAUAUUGGUUAAAUCCUUCUUUUCAAUAUAAUAAUUAUGAUAUGGAAAAUCAUAUUGGUUAAAUCCUUCUUUUCAAUAUAAAUCCUUCUUUUCAAAAAAGGAAGAAUAGAAUUGCUCCUUAUUUGCAAAUUAUUCAGACCUGAUGAGAUAGUCAAUUUCGUAAGAAUUUCCAUGCUACUGGAUAUUGGUUAAAUCCUUCUUUUCAAUAUAAUAAUUAUGAUAUGGAAAAUCAUAUACAAAUUAUUCCGAGAAUUUUAGAUGUAAUAGAGAAAUAUACUUAUGAUCAACUCGAUUUAAGAAGUAUAUUGACGGGUGAAAUGAGACUAUUUAAGCAAGCACAAGGUGACUUUAGACAUUAAUCUACUGUAGCUGAUCGCCAUAGAAUGGCUCCUAGUGAAAUUUUAACCUCGUGUUAUGUACUUUGUUAUAUUAUAUAACUCAGAUUUUAGUUUAUAUAACACACAUCUAUUUUAUUUUCUCUUUGGCUGUUACAUAGAUGAAUGGUGGAUGUAUUAUGGUAAUUUUGCACCAAACCUACAAACAUUGCAAUUCGAGUAUUAAGUCAAACAUGUAGUUCUUUAGAUUGCGUGAGAAAUUCGACUAUGUUUGAACAUAUUUAUUCAAAAAAGAGAAAUAGACUCGAGCAUCAAAGGUUUGAUGAUCUUGUUUAUGUUCACUACAAUUUAAUAUUGCAACAAUGGUAGUAUUAAAUAAUAUUUUUCAUCCUAUUGUGAUUUAUUUAAUUUUAAGAUUUUAGUUUCUUUAAGUAGAAUUAUAUUUGAUUAUUUAUGAAUUGGAUUAUAAACUUUGUUUAGGAAUUAUUUCAAGAGUCGAAAUUAUAAUCCUAUCGACUUUGAAAGGUUUGGCAUCUAUGGCAAUUAGGUGUUAGAGUCAUCAAAUUUGGUAGAUGAUGAGUUAAGAGACAUUUUAUCAUGAUUUGGGCGCAUAUACUAUAGAAAAUGACAAAAAUGAAAGUAGUUGUUCAAUUAAUACUAUUGUUUCUUCUUUAUAUUAAAGUAUAUAUGAUGUGACAUUGAAUUUUAAAACUUUUCUCCAGAUAAAUCUACCAUGGCCCUCUUUUCUAUUUUUAUGGUGAAAAUAAUGGGAAUUCUUGCAAUAUUUAUAGCUGAUAUUCUCAAUUGGGUUUGUAUACAACUAUAAUUGAAAAACUAUGUAAUACAAGAAAUUUGAAUAAGAAUUAGUUUCAAAUAAUAGAAUUAGUAGUAUACUCUACUACCGAAUUUCCUAGUAAAAUCAUCACAUUAAAAAUAUGACACUUGGCCAACUUGUACUUGGUUUCAAAAAGAAAUUUGAAUUGUAUUAUAAUAUUGGUUUUAAAUAAAUAACGUGUGUAGAAAUUAAAAGAGAAAAAGAAUUGUACUUAAUUAAUAUUGCAAGUUUUCACCAACUCCAUUAACCUAUUAUUCUUUUAAUUGUACUCAACUCGAUGUAGUCUAAUCCCCAAUAACUUUUUCUCGUGUUAAAGUUUUCUAAAUAAUUACGAGUUACAAAAAGAGUUCAAUAUUGAUAUACUAAAACUCGAUUUAUCAAAAUAUAAUUAGUUGACCCCAAAAAUAUUAGAAUUUAAAACAUAAUUCACUUUAAUCCCCCACCUUAAUAUUUACGGGGCCUUAGCAGAUAGUCAGCCUAAUCAGCACUGCAAACGGCUUUGAUGGGUCCAACUGCAUUUCGAUAAUAUGAUCCAACUCAGCCGAUCCAUAACAACAGAUUUAAGUUUAGGCGACAUGAAUUUCUAGGGCCUCGUGCAUGCUCAGUGUAUGAACACAACACAUUACAAUGACAUCAAUUUACGAGACAAAAGGGUAAAUGAGUGCACUUACACAACGCAUUUGAAUCUUCAUCUGUCAUAUCCAAUGGAUGCGCUAUCACCCAACGAACCAUAUGGAGCAAUUCCCUACUCUCACAUGAUUUUUUUCCCCUUUAAAAAUGAAUCAUCCAACCCAUCUCCGUAUAUUGAAUCUGUGAACUAUCUAUCUAUACACGUAGCGUGGCUCAAACCUAUAUAUAUAUAUAUAUAUAUAUAUAUAUAUAUAGAGAGAGAGAGAGAGAGAGAGAGAGAGAGGCAACCUUCUCGUGCUAAUUUGAAUUCUUGAAUCCGUUCAUAUCCUAAAUAUUCACUCAGUCCCAUAAAUUAAUAAAAUUACAGUGAUAUUACUAUAGUUGAUUUAAAUAAGAGUAUUUAUAUUUGUUAAUAACAAAACACAUUAAAUAGAUAUAUAUUGAAAAACUGAUAAAUCAAUUAUACUUUCAAUAAGAAAAUUGACCUAUAAUUUGAGACAGAUGAAAAAGAUAAACAUAUCUAUCUUUAUGAGAGAGAUGGAGUAUCAAAUGUAAAAAAUGAAGAAUUUCCUCAAUUAACUAUUGAUAUGAGAAGCGCUCACUACUAAAAAGUUCCAAAAUUUUCCCAGAAACUCCAUAAAAUCUAAUAUCGGAUUGUUCUUAAUAGCUCUAAGGUAGAAUCGUCGUCAUCCCUAAUGUUUAGCAUUGUUUCUUUCCAUCCACAUAAACCCCACAGCCAUAAUAGGAAUCAACGAGAAAAAUGGACACACAAAAGAAGAAAGAAAUGGAUAUAAGCCCCUCAAAAAUCAACCCAUCGCACAAAUACUAAGAUACUUGAUCCCAUUUCAUAAAAAUUCAUACAGAAUUAACAAUAGAAGUCUAAAAAAGAACCUAUUACUUAAUUCUCAUGAGUCCAUAUGGGUAGGCCCUUCAUCAUCCGUUGUACUAGUCACCACUGAAACACUCCCUAACAUAAUUGCCGUGAGCAUCAACUUGCCUGCAUCUGGAAAAUCCUUGUGCUGCAUAAGGAUAGCUUCCACAGAGGAAUUCAUGUCCUUCAUAUUUGGAAUUUCUGAAUUUUCCUGACUGAGCAGCAGAACUUCAUCAAAUCUGCCUUCAAAAAUUUCUGAUUCGGGUCCGUAACACUUACUAGAAGCCUGGAAAAGAACGGUUUCCCUAAGAAUGCGCAUCGUCUCCUCAUCACUCCACCCUUCGGUUAUAGACAUUUGAUAGAGUUUUUCCCAAUCAUCUUGAUUCGCUGCAUUCCUCCAGCAUUCUUCCAAUAGGGUUGUAUUACUUCUAAGAAAUGAGGAGCUGGUCCAAGUAAAAAGAUCAAAAGCUCGCAAUGAUAGCUCUCGAUUUUGACUUUUAAUGCACAAUUCAAUAAGAUCUACUGGAGGAAGCAGCUUUUGUUCCAUUGAUUGCUUUUCUUCACCAUCAGGUACAAGUUUCAAAAUUUCUUCCUGCAAAUGAAGAAAAUAAUAUGGCAAGUUGAUAAUUGGGGCAGAGAUGUAAAGGGCGUUAACUAUAAAGUCAACAACAAAUAUAACUGUAAUAUAACUGUAUCGGUAUGAUUACAAAAGCCACUAUAUCAAAUAGCCUUUCUAAAAUGAAGCAAACUUGUGAAGUGUCAGAACAAUUUUAAAACUAGCAAUGAUAAAGGAUCUUUUUGUAACAUUUUUGAAGUGUCAGCAAAAUUGAAAAACUAAAAAUGAGCAGAUAAUGAUCUUUUCACAGCACAUAUCACAAAAUAAGCUUUAUUUCCUAUAGGUACGUAUACUUUUUUCGCCAUUCCAUUCGGCUCAGCUGUAUAUCGAUAUGAAAAUCCAUUGUAACCAGAUCCGCUGCAAUCAUGACAAGCUAUAUUAAAUUUGGCAUCGGUCCGCCUUUAUAAUCUGUUUUACUGAAAAUCUGAGAUCACAUCACUCUUGUAAAAGAAGCUUCUUUAGGUCUAUGCAAACCAUAUCCCAAGCACUUAAAACUUGUCCUUUAGUUUUUCCUCAAUUGGUGACACUAUUGGCACAUAUUCUAAUCUAUUGUCUUAUCCAUUCUAACAUUGUUCAUCAUAUUUCUUCACGUUAACUAUGUUCGUCUCAUGUACAAUUUUUUUUUUGCCCAUCCGACAUCAGUACCAUAAACAUGGUCUAAUAACUAUUAUGUAGAACUGAUAUUUUAGUUAUUUAGAGAUCUUCCGAUCACAUAUAAUUCCUGCAGCACUUUUCCAUUUCAUUUAAUCAACUCUAACCCUACGCUUUACAUCCGCUUCAAUUCGUCCAUCAAUAAUUAUUGAAAUUAAAUACAUAGAAUAAUCACUAUUUGGGGCAACAUGAUCCUCCAUAAUAGCUCUGUUAUAAUCCUUAAUCCUAUAGAAUAAAAAUUGUUCUAUUCUUCAAUACCACCAAGUCAUCCAAUAUAAUUUUUAUUGAAUAUAUAGAUAUUAUUAAAUAUAUGAACUAUGCAACAGUCACAAACCUAAGAUGUGCCUACACUAAUAAGGAAUUUCCCGACAAGCAGCAUCUCUUUGAAACUUUUUGAACUUGGAUGGAUGUAAAUCCUCGUACAAAUUCCAUUUACUGAUAACCAGAGGACUUGGCUAGAAGUGGCAAUUUGUGUUGAAGAUUUAACACAAGCCAUAAACAUCUAUAUAGAGAAUUAAAAAUAAAAAGAGGGAGAGAAUAUCAGAAUAGUGUACAAGCUUGACAAUGGUGGACAAAAACUGUGAAAAUGCUACCCUUCAAAGUGAAGUGAUGGUCCAAGCUACAGUUCAAAUUUAUCGUCUGAAACUAUUUGUUAUAAUUAGGUAGAAUAUUCAUCCAAUCUGUAAUGGAUGUUAAAUAGUACAGAUUAUCAACGAGAAAAAUGAACAACUCAUGAUCUCAAGAAUUUGGUCCCUUAAAUGCUCUUUAAGAAAGGGAUGAUGAAACUAGAAUAUCAUUAACUGCAGAGAAGGGAGCCUACCAAGGUACUUAAGUUGCUUAUACUGAUAUGGACCUUAAAAUGGCUUGUCCAAGAUCUAGUCCACAAACAUACCUGUAGUUUGAGAAUAUUCAGAUCUGCUUGGAUGCGCUUUACUUUUGCUUCAUAAUCAGCAUUCUUUCCUGAUCGACAAAAAUACAAUCAUCAAUACUUCAGGUGUGAACAUGAAAAGAAGAAUAAAUUUUGUACAGAAUGCUAAACAACAAAGAAAGCAAUACCACAGUCAUCGAUGCUACAGAUAUUGCAUAAGACAGAAAAUGACGAAAUUGAUGCAGCAAACCGAAAUUACAGGUAAGGAAGGAAAACCUCUGAUAACACUAAGAAAAUGUAUAACAAGAAUUUAUUAACAAUAAGACCUGUAGGCAAGACGAAAUCACAAUACUACAGAGUCGAUUUUUUAUUGUCCAUUACUUUCUGUACUUUUUAUAGACGAUCAGAGUGGGAAAAUGUUGUUCUGACGACUUUCGACAUGAAGAAGAAAUAUUUUCUUGACUGCAAAUAGUAAAGCAGAAAUUGCGAAUUGAACAUAGAUUUAAUUAUCUUACAUAAAUUUAUAUAUGUUUCCAUUACUUUUGAGGGAGGAUCUAAGGAUUUCACCCCUCUUGCCCUCCUAAAGGAGACUCAAACCCUGGUCGUUGGCCUGAGAGGGGUUCACUCUUUACCACUUGAGCUAGGCCUAGGCCUACUCUCACAUAAUUUGAAGUACACUGCACUCGUGAUUGUGUGCAUAUAUGCAGGGAUUUUCCAGGUGGAAACAGUACCCGCUAUUGCUGAUAUUUUUGCAAGAUUCAGAAAACGCCUUCUAUCAGCCAAGGUUAAUCUACUCUUUGAGCCACCAGCAUCAAUUUCAUGAGUAUCUGAAACUGAACUAUCUUCCUUAGAAAGAGAUAAUGCAUGUAGAGUUUCAGAAGCUGAGGAAAAUUGGCGAAGAAACAAUUCAUGGAGCCAGAGAAGAUUAGGAUGAUGCUUCAGAAAAGUAGCCAGAUCUUCCUGAAACUCUUCCCCCAACCUCAUAAGCUUUGAGAAAUGUUUUCUUUCAUAGAGUUGUUCGAACACAAAGUAACUAAACCCUCCUUUAGGUCCCACGCUCUCACGCUACAAAAAAAUAGUAUUAUAUUAUGGAGAAUAGGAUAAACGAAAUGAAAAUUGAUAAAUUUGCAUAAAAUAUUGAAGGCUUUGAAUAAAAUAAUUUGUCAAUAUACACUGGAUACUAAUAAUAACACUAUCAAUGGAACAACCACCACAACCACCAAGUAUUCACCUCUGAGGAGGUAGGAUGGGGGUCACAGGAUAUUGGAAUUGGAUGAUAAAAUUUAUACCAUAAGACUUUGAAGGAGUUCAGAAUCAUUGAGGUCACUGCAUAUGCUCCACAUAGUUUGAUAUCCUUCAUGUCGUUUGGCAAUAGACAAUACCCUUGCAGAAAGUUUUCUGAGACUGUUCUUAUUCUGCACUUCGUCAGAUUCAAUGGAAUCCUACAAUGCAGUUAGAAAAAUGAAUAUGUAUGUGAGAUAUGAAAUCCUCCAUUCUGAAUAAAAGGAUAAAAGAAUUAUCUUAUGUUCAAAAGGUAUCUAUACCAAUUUUUAUUAGAGAUGAUGUUGACAAAUCAACAACAUAUUAGGAUUCUAAAAAAAGCCUGAUAUGCUGCUGCUUUUACUGUAAUGCUUAUUCUAUAAUUCCUAAACAAGAUGUUAUUCUCAUUCUUUGCGAAAUAAGCACUGUUUAGAAAGGCCAAAUCAGGUAUUGAGGCAAUUUGUGCAAGAAGUGACAAGGCACUUUAGGGUAGCUUCUACAUAAACCAAUAACAUAAUUCACAAUAUUAUACUCAUUAAAAAACCAUAAACAUACAAAAACCCAAUAAAUGAAACCAGAAACAUUUCAAUAAAAUUAAAAGUAUAAUUAAGUACUAGAAAUAUAUAUGCAUUGAUAAAAUAACAAACAAUUAAUGAACACAGAAGAAAUAUACACGCAUUAAUAAAAUAUCUUAACAUCUAAAUGCAUUUUCGAAUCUGCCGAGAUUCAUAGAACUUGUCUAAUCAAUAAUUGUGUAUAUUUGAUAGGGAGUACGUUAUGGACUAUUUUUAGGGAUGUGCAGCUGUAUCCUUUUUGUCUUUCCUAUAAUAAUUUACAUUUCAUGUAUUUAUACAUGGUAAACAUACCAAAUUUUAUACUAUAUAUCCUCUCUUUCCUUCUUCUGUCUACAUGACAUUGACUAUCAAAAAACAUUUUUCCUUCUUCCGUCAACAUGAUAUUGACUAUCAAAAAACAUUUGCCCUUGUCUCAGAAAUGAACUCUUCCAAGGGUCCUAUUUCUGCUUGCACAGGCCAGGAUUAUUCUCUCUCCAGUCUAACGAGUACAUUGGACCCAGCACAUAAGUUCUCCUAUAAGAAGGGUCAAUCCAGUCAGGUUGUAAUCAUACCGUAGAGCAAUCACAACAGAAAUAACACCAAUUCACCCUGCUAAAAAAGAGAGAACCUUAAUAUUCCUGCUUUGAAAAAGAAUUUAUUUGAUGAAAUACAAGUAUUUGGGAAACAUCUUUGGUACGAAAAUGAGUUAUAGUUCCAACAAAGAAUUUAUAAUUAUGAUUAAUUAACAAAAAUCAAGUUCCUCUUACAGCUGAACGCAGUGUUGUAAAGCAGUCAUUAAAAUAGUAGUUAUAUCCCUCAAGAAGAACAAAAACAUAGAAUAUCCCAGUUUCAGAAAAUGGAAAGGAUUAGUACCCAACUACAAGUCAGAAGCGGAAAUAGAUUUCUAAACAAUAAGAUUGCCAAGUCCAUGAAGCAACAGCAUGAAUGAAAAUUUUAGUAUUUAUAGGCCAUAACAUUUUUCACACAUUUCUUACUCAUAUUAUGCCUCUAUCAAUAUCACAUAACAAAUUAAUCAGAAAAAUUAACCUGGAGUUUGGCUUCCAUAAACGUCUUCACUUUCUGAUAAAGGGCGUCAAGAAGUACAUCUCUCCGCUUCCAGUAUUCCACCAAUAGACUCCUGUGUUCUUCUUUCCGGUCAAUUUUGGCAGUGAUAGCAUUAGAAUAUGCCUCAAGCAAUACUUCUGAGAGUACUUCUAGAUGUGAACAGAAUUCCAACUUUGCAGAAUCUUCAAGAUGAUUCAUUUCAUUUAAUAGCUGAAGCAUGAAUGAUGCAACACUCCACAACCCACCCAAUACCACAGUUUUUGAAUACCAAGGUGUUAAGCCCUCCGCAGGAGGAUACCACAAGUGAUGUUCACUCCUGUAUCCCAUAGAAGCAUUGAAUAAAGUCACACAUGCAUUUGAGAUUUCACAGGCUCUUCGAAAUUGAAUUGCAAUUGGCAUCUCUCCAUUAAUGAGGUAUUCUCGCUGUCUCUCUAAGCAGUAAAAUAAUUCCUCAAUAUCUGAAACCUUACUAUAGAAUACUUCAGCAUUGUCCCUAUCCAUUAAAAGGACUGUGUUCCUGCGAGCUCUCUCACCAACUAACUGGAUUAGAUCCCAAAGGGCACCAGAAUACGCAUCAAUUCCAGUUACAUUGGAUUGGCUGAUUAUAUGUUGUAGUUCCCUCACUUGGAUCAUGCCAGCAAGCUUUUCCCCGUGUUCCAUGAUGAUUUGCAUGGAUUGUCCUGAUAGAAGAAAGCAUCACUUUAAAUUUGAAAGGUUUAUUUAUUAGGAAAUUCAAGUAUAAAAAGGAAAAAGGAAUGGCAGCUGUAUUUACUGAGAAUGGGAGCAUAGAGAAGCAUUCCCUAAAAAAUUUUACUACUGAAUUGAAAAGAGAUGAGCCAGUGUGUUGUUUAAAACUUGCCACUGGAUCAGGUAAAGCAUAUGGUCAUAUAACAAGGUUAAACAAUAAACUUGUUUUGUGAACUACAAAAAGCACCCAACAGCUACAGAAGGAAGAUCAUUAAGUGUCGAGAUUAAUUACAACCAAACAACUUAACGAUAAGUUUUCAGAUUAACAAGUAUAAAAUUUUCCAAAAACUGCACAUCACAAAAAUUUAACAAACAGUUUAUCAUAUGGUCAAAUUGAUCAUACUCUGUCUAGAACACAAUUCUUCAUGGCACUUGGAUAAAGCAAGAAACUGGAGAUACUUUUGAUGCCUCUGUUGUUUCUCUACAAGCUGUGUGGACACAACAGACGAAGAGAUUAUCUCAGGACCCCUGGUCGUUGUCCAAUGUUUAGCUAAGGUGUCAACAAUUGAUUUGCUUGUCCUGGUAAAGACGUUAAUUUCCCCUUCUCUUUCAAACGCCCUUGAGUUUCUUAAUUUCUCGAGGACACCAUCAACCUGCCCAGACAAGAGAAAAUCAUGGAAAAGCUGAGUUAAUAAUGCUUCUGAUUCCUCAUCUUGAGGGCUCCGACGUGCAAUUCCAGUCAAGCCUGUUCUUUGCCUAUCACCAACAUCCCAUGCUUCCGAACUAGCUCUUCUGGGAGCAAUGUUCCCAGCCAAUGACAAGUUUCUUCUCUCCUCUAGUACCGAUCGAUCAUUUGAACUGCCUUUACGUGAUAAGCUUCGCUCAGGUGGUUCAACCCCACCUAGUAAAAUAGCACUCUCAGGAAUAGCCCAAACUCCAGCUUUCUCUGUGAGGACAGCCCAAGCUCCAUCCUCACUGUCCUCCAAAGAUGCGAGCACUGAAGCAUCAAGUACUUUUCCAGCAUCAUAAGGAAGAUCAAACUGAUAGAGCCGAGUAGAGUUUCUCCAAUAAUGUGAGACAGUUGCAGUACCAUCACCAGAGAGUAUAAUGGCAGAACCAGCUGGCUUUCCGCCUACCUUUAAUCUCAUGGAGAACAAGAAUUCCUCGUCUUCUACUCUUGCUUUAGGUAUUAUCACUUGGUUAGGAGCCUUUUUCUCUAAUAUUCUUUCACCUAUUGGCUUAAUGAUAUCGAUUCCUGAUUUAUAUUGCAUAGUCAGAAGUGAAUACUCAGUGUAGCUUGAACUGGUGGCUCUGUCCUUGCAAAAUAUAGCAAUAAGAAUAGUUAUUACUCUGCCAUCACUAUCAACUUGCAACUCAAGAGGCCAAAUUCGCUUUUGGCCAGCCAGAUCUUUCUGGAUACCCAAAUCACCAUCAGUUCCAAUAAUCUGGUGAGACCAGAGCUUUGACACAUCAAAAUCAUGAGAGAGAGUUAUUUCAAAGCAUUGAAUCUCAUGAUCUGUUAGUAAAAGAAACUGUCUUUUGGGCUCGUCAAAAGAAUGACAGUAAGAAUGCCAAAUCAAUGACCUCGGAUACCCCUUGCUUGCAACAAAUGGGCUACUGUCACUGCUUUGAGAGGAUAUGUUCAACAUGCCAACACAAAUCUGGUUACAUUGAAUCCCAGAUGGGCUGCAGAAAAAAUGCCACAGUUCACCACUAGAACUACUUGCAAUAGCAAUGCAAUCAUAGCGGUGAGCAGGGAUUGAAGCAGCAAUCAUAGAGUUAAUAGAACUUGAUCUAGCCAAACUGCUACCAAGUUUUCCCUGUUGCAGCUGGUUGCAAAAGAUGGAUUUUCCAUCGCUAGGAAAGUAAGACUCCUCAACAGAAACAACACUAGUAAGGGGCUUGUUCCUGGUUUCACUAUAGAUAUCUGGCCAGUAUAUAAGAGCUCGAGUUUUUUUAUUACACAAUACAAUCCCAACAGAAUUGCCCUGUUGAACGAAUUUUCCUGCUCUACUCUUUGAGCUAUCCCAAUUGACAACACAGACUAACCAAUUAUUAGAACAAGAAAUUCUUUUGCCUAUAUCUGCAUUUUCUGAUGCAAUUGAAGGAAGUUCAAGGGCAACGCAAGCUCUUGAAGUGGCAGGUGAUAGGUAAUUCCAGAUAAAUAGUCUAUUUCCACAGAUAAUCCAUGCCAGAGAUGUUUCUUUGUCAAUCCCACCAGAGAUAGAUGCAUCACCUACCAGUGGAGCAAAAACAUUAAACCUUCAUACAAGAAGAAGAAAAAAGAUUCUUAAGACAAUGUAAAGUCUGGGAUGAAUUGACAGGACCAACCAGGAGCAUGAUUCUGUAAUAACAUAGCUUGUGCAUCACGUAAUACUUGAGGAAACUCCGCAAUAUAUUUAGGCUCUCCUUUCUCACUUUUAUUCACAGUGGGAACUCUGGAUACAUUAACAGCAGAAAGGUGCGAUAAUCAGUUAGCAUAUAAAAAAAUUAUUUCUCCAAUUCUUUCCCAGCUAACAUGGAACGAAUCACAAUUAAACACUCAUCAAAUUUCACACACUUCAUUCGAAAAAUAUUUCAACACCGAUAAGCAAACAAAUACAUACACAGAUACAAUUUUACUUGAUUUAUUUCAAGAUUCAUAUUUAGGCAUAGACCCCUUUGAACAACCCAGUAUAAUUUUGUAGAAGUAACUAUUGUACAUGUGGCUUAUAUAGAGUGGAACACAGGCCCUGGAUCAAAUGGGGCGAUGCCGGCGCGGAGUGGAGUGGAGUGAGAGGAGCGGAGUGCAUCGAACGGAAUAGAGCGGAGCGACGGCAUCGGCCUUGCGCGGGUUUAAUUCACUGUCUGGUUGUUAGGGACGCUGAAUGGGUUGGGGGUGCGGAGGCAACGCCCCCGCGGUACGGUACAGGGAUAUUUUCUGUACGGGCCUUAAAGUUUUAUAUGGGCCCAGAUUAGGGUUAGUAUAAAUAAUAUGUUGUAACCCUAUUUUUCACAACAGAAUAAAGAAAUCUCCGCUUCGCUCUCGUGGACGUAGGCACAUUGCCGAACCACGUAAAAUUCUUGUAUUGAUUUUCGUUUUUCAUCUCUUUAAUAUUGCACAUAAAAUCCAAUGGGUUGGGACACAUCUUCUCUAACAGUUAGAGAUGUUAAUCAAGUUCAAGCAAUGCUUGAACUUAUCCAUUGUGAUUGGCUUUGUCAUCAUGUCUGCUGCAUUUUCUGAGGUAUGCACCUUCUCUAACAACAGCUCUCCUGAAGUAACCAACUCUCUUAUCUUAUGAAAUCUCACGUCAAUGUGUUUGGUUCUUGCAUGAUAAAUCUGAUUCUUAGCUAGGAAGAUGGCACUCUGACUAUCACAGUACAGCUUCAUUCCAUCUUGCUUGAUUCCAAGUUCCCUGACAAGCCCUUUCAACCACAAUAAUUCCUUGGCUGCCUCAGUUGCCGCCAUGUAUUUUGCUUCAGUUGUAGAUAAUGCCAUAAGUGAUUGCACCAUUGACCUCCAACAUAUGGGCCCACCUGCGAGUGUGAAAACAUAACCUGUAUGGGACCUUCUGUCAUCCAAGUCCCCUGCAUAAUCUGCAUCUACAUAUCCUUGAACUGAAUUAUCACCAUGUUGUCUCUCAAACAUGAUCCCACACUCCAUUGUACCUUUCAAGUACCUGAAAAUCCACUUUACAGCUCUCCAAUGCUCUCUACCAGGAUUAGCCAUAUACUUACUAACCACACUGACUGCAUGUGCUAAACUGGUCUGGUACACACCAUUGCAUACAUCAAACAUCCAACUGCACUGGCAUAAGGUACCUUUGACAUCUCUGCAACAUCUUCUUCACUCUUUGGGCACUGAUUAUUAGACAAUCUGAAGUGAUUUGCAACUUUCUUCAAAUAGUUUUUCUGAGACACCCAUAAUUUUCUGGCUUUCCUAUCUCUGUUGAUCUCUAUGCCAAGAAUUUUCUUAGCCGGUCCCAAGUCUUUCAUAUCAAACUUCCUGCUCAACAAAGAUUUCAAUUUGUCUACCUCAUCCAUGUUCUUGGCAGCAAUUAACAUGUCGUCCACAUACAACAUCAAGAAAAUAUAUGAGUUAUCCUCAAGAACUCUGUAGUAUACGCAACAAUCAUACUCACAACGACUGUAGCCAAUCUGAAUCAUAUGAGAGUCAAACUUCUUGUACCAUUGCCGUGGAGACUGCUUAAGCACGUAUAAAGACUUCUUCAGUUGACACACAAGAUUCUCUGUUCCUGGUUCCAUAAACCCUUCUGGCUGCUCCAUGAAAAUCUGUUCCUCCAAAUCACCAUGAAGGAAAGCAGUCUUCACAUCUAGUUGCUCUAACUCCAAAUCAAAAUUAGCUACCAUUGCCAAAACAAUCCUGAUGGAAGUAUGUCUGACGACUGGAGAGAAAAUUUCAUCAUAAUCUACUCCCUUCCUCUGUGAGUAUCCCUUUGAUACUAAUCGAGCUUUGUAUCUUUCUCCUUCCUUUUCUGACAUUGCUUCUUUCUUUCUAUACACCCACUUACACCCUAUCUGUUUCUUCCCCUCUGGAAGCUCCACCAAAUUCCAAGUAUCAUUUUUAUGCAGUGACUCAAUUUCCUCCGUCAUAGCCUCUAUCCAAUUACCUUUCUCCUGACUACCAAUGGCAUCCUGAAAAGUUAUAGGAUCGCUAUUGCUGGUAAUGAGUGCAUAAGAAACCGAAUCCUCAAAUCCAUACUUUGCUGGUGGUUUGGUAGUGCGACGUGGUCUAUCUAAGGCAACACUAUGAUACUGCUCCACCUCUGACCCAGAACUAUCUGCUCCCUGAGCAUUAAUUUAUCUGUUUAUAUUGUCUAGCUCUACUUGCACCACUUGGCUCUUACCUCUGCCCUCGUCUAAAUUUAGCUUCUCUUUAUCUGUAGAAGCUUUAAGCAUGAAUGCUUCAUCAAAUACUGCAUCCCUACUUAUCACCAUCUUCCUUGCCUCUGGAUCCCAAAACUUGUAUCCCUUUACACCUUUAACAUAGCCCAAAAAAAUGCAUUUUCUUGAUUUCGGAUCAAGUUUGGAUCGCUGAUCACUAGAUACAUGCACAUACGCCGGACAACCAAAGACUCUCAAUUCAGAAUAAUCAACUUCAUUACCUAUCCAAACUUCCUCUGCAACUUUCCCAUCUAGUGCUGCUCGUGGUGAUAUGUUUAUGACAUAACAUGCCAUGUUCAUUGCCUCUGCCCAAAAACUCUUCGAGAGCCCUGCAUUCAGCCUCAAACAUCUUGCCCGUUCUGCAAUUGUUCUAUUCAUCCUUUCCGCAACACCAUUUUGUUGCGGUGUCUUGCGAACUGUAUAGUGCCGCUGAAUACCAUGCUCCUCACAAAAUCUCAGAAACUGUGAAUCUGUGUACUCUGUACCGUUAUCUGUCCUCAGAUACUUAAUUUUUCUGCCCAUCUGGUUCUCUACUUCUGCUUUCCAUAGUUUGAACUUGGCAAAGGCUUCAGACUUAUGCUUCAUGAAAUAUACCCAAACUUUUCUAGAGAAGUCAUCAAUGAAAGUAAUAAAGUACUGAGAUCCACCUUUGGACAACUCCCUCACAGGUCCCCAAACAUCUGAGUGCACAUAAUCAAGAAUUCCCUCUGUCUUGUGCUUUCCCAUCUUGAACUGUUCUCUGGACUGUUUUCCAAGUACACAGAACUUGCAGAAAUUCAACUUGCAUGAUUUUACCCCCUUUAACAAAUUUCUCUUGUGAAGCUCAACCAUGCCACGUUCUCCUAUAUGUCCCAGUCGCAUAUGCCAUAGAAGAGUGUCAUCUGACUCUGAUUCUGCUGUAGCAACUCCACCUACAACUGUAUCCCCGAGUAGUUUGUAGAUAUUCCCUACUAAUUUCUGACCCUUCAUCACAAUCAUAGCCCCUUUCUUCACUGUUAGAGCCCCACACUCUGACUUAUAAGAGUAACCGUUUGUGUCUAAAGUGCCUAAAGAAAUUAGAUUCUUUUUCAACUCAGGUACAUGCCUAACAUUUUCCAAGGUCCUUAUCACACCAUCGAACAUUUUAAAUUUUAUAGACCCCAUUCUAAUGACCUUACAUUAUGCAUCAUUACCCAUCAGAACAGAUCCAAAAUUUCCAAAACGAUAUGAAUGAAACCAAUCCCGGUGAGGACACAUGUGAUAUGAACAGGCUGAAUCAAGUACCCAACAGUCAUUUAAUUUUACAAAAUUACCUGCAGAGACUGAUAACAUAUCUCCAUCUCCAGAAUCCGAGUCUCCUUCUGCAACACUAGCUGAGUUUGAGGACCCAUCACCUGUCCUUUCAUCAUUCUGCUUCUUAUUAGGACAGUCUCUCUUAAAGUGACCCAUCUGAUGACAUUUGUAGCACUUCACGUUUUUCUUAUUUUGAUUUCUAGAUUUUGAUCUUGUGUUCCCUCUAAAAGAAACACCCCUGUCCUUCCUUCUCCCACGAUCCUGGUAGCCCUUUACGAUCAACCCUUCACCCUAUGAAGUUUCACCAGUACGCAAUUUCCGCUGAUUGUAGGCUAACAGGGCUGAUGUGACUUCCUCCAAUUCGAGAGUCUCUUUACCCCACGUCAACGUGGUCACCAGAUGGUCGUACGAAGGAGGCAGUGAGUACAACAAAAUCAUUGCCUUGUCUUCAUCAUCAAACUUGAUUUCAAGCCUCAAUAGAUCGCUGAUGAUCUAAUUGAACACAUUGGUGUGUUGAAUCAGAUCCGUACCCUCCAACAUCUUUAGCCCAUACAGCCGCUGCUUUAGAUGCAAUUUGUUCGUGAGAGACUUUGACAUAUAACGACUCUCCAAUUUCUCCCAAACCUCCGCCGGAGACUCAACGUCCAUGACAUGAUACAUGAUUUCGUCCGCCAAACAAAGCCGAAUUGUACCAACUGCUCGCGCCUCGAGCUCUUCCCAAUCGGCAUCUGACGUACCAUCUGGUUUCUUCCCAGAUAGUGCCUUCAUCAUCCCUUGCUGCGCCAACAAAUCCUUCACCCUUCGCUGCCAUAAUCCGAAGUUCCCAAAUCCGUCAAACUUCAUCACAUCAAAUUUUGCAAUCGAAGAACUCGCCAUCUGAACCUAGCUCUGAUACCAGUUGUUGGAUUUUAUGCGCAAUAUUAAAGAGAUGAAAAACGGAAAUCAACAGUAACUAUUACCACAUCACCAACCAAAAGAAUCUGUUUCCAAUUAUUGUCAAAACCUUCCCUUAAACAUAAAAAUGUGACGAAAAAUUGGGGUUUGAAAAAUAAAUGAAAAAUAAAUAAAUUUGAUAAGCACGUUCUUCUAUUUUUCAUAAGAACUUCUACUUUCCCAUCCCACAAGUUCUCUAUGUUAUUACACAAACCUACCCUCUAACUUCACACUCAACCAAGUCAAGAAAAUACACAAGAUCGUAUAUAAGCAGCAGCUACAAAACCACAUCAUCACAAGUUCCAUUAUUUUUGCCAGCAAAAUAAUUAUGCCAAAAAACGAGUAUUCAUACAAAAGUGUAAGUAAACCUAUAACGCAUAAUAUUCAAACCUGUGCAAUGCUAAUAACUUGAUCUGGUUUCCUAUGAAUUGCUAUUCGGUCACCAGUUGCUUAAUAUAUUCACUAUAAAUACAUACAGGCAUAUUGAGAUGUAUGUGAAUAAGAACAUUCAACAUUCACAUACACAAGCAGAGGUAUCUCUGGUUGAUUUUAUCCACUUCUUACUUAACAAAGAUAACAAAAAAUUCAAAAACCAGUCAAGCAGAUAAUACUCUUUACCUCGGAGGUCAUUUAUAUACAUAUAAAUGGAUGUCCCUCCCAACUGUCAGGAAUUUUUGUACCAUGUGUCUUAGAAGUUGUACCUCUCUCUACCAUCUUAGAAGACACUACGCCAUUACGAGUUCAAAUAUAUAACUAUAAAAUGAAACAACUAAUAAUACGAUAAUACGUGCAUAUUGUCGGCAUUCGAACACAGUUUCCAAUUGUUGUUCCCUAUUUACAAUUCACAAUAUAUAAUUUUUUUUCCUUUUUUUUUAGUAAAUUAUAUGCGUAAAACCUGGCAAGGACAGAGAGGCGAGAGGCCCAAGGGGCAGGGGUGCCAGUUGCCGGCCGAUUUGUGAUCGGACUGUCAUGGAGUGGCCUUCGAUUCUCUGUCACUGCCACCGGUGAAUCAUAAUUUGUUACAGGGACAUUUUUCCGAGAACUGAAUCCAGAUUUCCUUGAAGCAGGAGAGAACAUUGCUCUUGCACUAGCUCUACGUGUGCGUACUGUGAGAGAGGGUUCAAGGGCUUUGGUAAAUUCGAAAAUGGAAAAAAUGCGUGGUACGGGUAUUAAAGAUUAAAGGAAAUUGGACUUUUAGUGCUCAAACUAUAGGAUUUGUUUCAUUUUUGUCCUGUUACAUUUUUUGUUCUUAUCCUAUCAAUUGUUUAACAAUAUUGGUCCAUCUAUUAUAGAUCCUGUUUAUUUCAAGAUUUAAAAGUCAAAAUCCAUUUUCUGAAAGACAACUUCAACCUUAAUAGUAAAAUGAGGGAAAAAAGGAAAAUGAAACAAACCCAUAAUUUCUAUCUUUCCCACCCAACCUCGACCAUCUUGCCAACCACACCCACCCACAAUCACAUUGUUGGCCACCGCCACCGCCCUCUUCUUAAAAAAAAAAAAAAAAAAAAAAAAAAAAUUGCAGUCCUGUUUUCGAAAAAGUUAAUGAGUUGUGAUUCAAUCAUUAUCCAGAUGUGUUUCACAAUCGAGGUUUUCAACAAAGAAGAGGAUUCUUAAUUUAGAUCCGAAUCGAUUAAUUUUUUCAAUGUCAACAUUAAAAAUACUUUUUAGAAAAUCUUUUAAGAAGUACCAAACCAAAGUUUUCAGGUUGGGCUUAGUUCAACAAAAAAUGGACUCAUUAAGUCAAUUAAUCGACCUGUCUUGGUUCCAAUCAAAUCGAUUUUCAUGGUUUGGCAAGUAAAAUGUCCAACCCCAUCUACGUUUCUCCUUUGUUUCUUUUUUUGCAUUGUUUAUGAUGUUUUAUGUAUUUUAACUUUUAAUAUGGGUAUAAGAUUAUUUUUGAUACAAACAACUUAACCAUUUUAUAGUAAAAUGGAUGAAAUCUGUCAUCGAGGACCAAUGCUUCUAUGGAAUCAAUAGGUUUGGGACCUCAUGGUCAAGAAAUGUGAGUUUGAGGAUAGAAAUGUGAAUAUGCCAUAACUUUGGAGCCAACAAUGAUUUCUCAAUUGAUUAUAGUCUAUAGAUUAAGGAGUUAUAUGUCAAGAAAAAAUAGAUUGAUAUCUGUUUGCCACUAGUGAAUAGAUUAGGUACUAAUGUUUCAAUUUUUUUGUUCAAAAAUAGUCGAUAAGUUGCACAUUUUGAAAAGAGUGAUACUACAAGCACUAGGAUCAUUCAUAGAUUUUUUUUUACAGGUAAUACACAACUGUAAGAAGCCUGUCUAUUUUUUCCUGCACCCUGAAAAAAAUCCUUUUGGAACCCUCCCCUUGGGGCUUAAAGUAUUAAUAUAUUGCAAACCUCUUUCUUUACAUUUAUUCACCAAACUUUCAUAAAUUAGUAGAGUUCAUCCCUAAAGGCAAAUUCUGUUGGAUUGUGUGUCCAUAUAUAAUAUAUUUUGCUAUUAUAAAAUAAUGAUUUAUAAUAAAUAAAUUAUGAAUUUAUUUAUUUAUUACAAUUAUUUAUUAUUAAGUAUGUUAAUUAAAGUACCUUUAAUCAAUUGUGAUAAUAUAAGUUGGGCACUUGUUUUAAGAAGUACAAUGUGACACAAUUUAUAUUUUAAUCAUAAAAUAUUUGUUGACAACCAAUAUAUAAGUUUAUGCGACAUCAAUAGAUCUGUCCAAGAGUGAAAAUGGCAAAAAAUUCAUGCAAAAUUUCUAGAUUUUCGACCAAACUUCAAGAGGUCAUUACUUCUUCAUUACAAGGCCAAUCUUUAUACCGUUGAAAAUGUCUCAAAAAGUCCUAUCCAAUCAUACUAAAUGAGAAGCAUGAAAUACAGUGCAGAAGAAGUUAUCAAGUGAUGAAGUUUCAAAUUUUAAUAAUUUUCAUACAAAAAUAGAAUUUCAUCCAAAUUUCGGAAAGCCAUAACUUCUUCAUUUCAAGAUUAAAAUUAAUGAUCUUUUUACCAUUGAAAAAUUUCAAGAAGAUAUAUCUAACUAUAUCAAACGGACAGCAUGAAGCUCAACGUACAAGAAGUCAUCAUGUAAUAAAGUUCCCAAUUUUAUGAUAGGGUUCAAUUUUUUCUUCAAAUCGAACCCAAAUGAUGUCAAAUUUUGUAGACAUGUUCUACAAGAUAACACGAAUAUAUAGUAUAAAUUUCAUGAAUUUAUGUAAAGUAUUUCAUAACUUGCCAUUAAAAGGUGCUCAAGCUUUGGAGAAAAAUGGCAUACUUGCAUUUCAUCAUAUCAAACCAUUUUUAACAUGUUACAUGCAAGGAAAACCUUUAAGGCUAUGAUACCAACGUAAUAAUUCAAUGCGUACUUGAACAUAAAUUUUAGUUCAAGAUACUUACUCCAGUUCCUUGAAAUGAUGAAUUUCAAUAUCUUUUAAAUGAUUAAAUCACCUUACUUUCAAAAACUACAAAACUACAAUUUUUUGCACUUUAGUGGUCUCAAAUUCUGAUCGUAAUAGAAGUGGAUUGUUAGUCACAACCAAAGUACUAAUUUUUGUGACCUUUUUUUUUUUUUUUUUUGGUUAAAAUAGUGGUUCUAUGUGCCUUUCAAUUUUGGUGAUAUUUUCCAUACGAAUUUCACCAUAUUGUAAUAUGUUUUUCUCCCCAUUUUUCCUAAAACAAUGAAUAGGAGGUUAUAUAGGGAGUUAAGGGAGAUUAUAGGGAGUUGAAGGUUUGAAUUCCAAGAAUUCCAAGUUCAAACCAUUCCCUCUAACUCACUUUAUUAUCUUGUAGGUUGGGUCACCCCACAUGAAUGAUACACGAUCCAUAUUUUCCAAUAUAAAGUAUAUUUCGAUAAAAUUGGGCCUUCUAUUUUUCACCACAAAUGUUACUAUGCCCCUGUUUGACAAUCAUUAUUUUCAAACCUUUAUUUUAUAUAUAUUCAUUUUCGACUACCUAUUCACACAAUAAAAUAUCAACAUGUAAAUCAAAAAAAAAAAAAAUUUCUACUUUUUAACCACACGUUCUCCUAAAAUCAUUAUUCAAAAUUCCAAUUUCUAUAAUAAUUGUCAAACAAAGGCUGAGGAACAUCAAACUCUUGAUCACGGUUGGUGAUUUCGAUUAUGAAAUUUGUUCGGGUUAUCAGUGAAAAAUAUCCGUAGCCAUGCACUGAUGUUUCCUCAAAAAAUUAUGGAUGUAUUUGCUAUUUCUUGUGUCCCUUUAUUUUUACAUUUACUAUAAUAAGUGCUCCAAUAACAUGGAUAUUGGUUGUAUUCUUUUCAUCAUAUAAUAGAGACAUCAGAAAGGGCUUUUUUUUUUAUUUUUUAUUUUCAACCUUUGAUGUUGAAAAAAAAAAAAAAAAAAAAAAAAAAAAGCCACAGAUGCACAAAUCUCAUUUGAAGUAUACAAUCAGCUAUGACUAGUAAAUAGCAAUUCAACUGCUAAGAGCAUUUUCAAAAAAUUCUUUAUUUUUAAAAAACAUAUCCUAUAAUUUGGAGAGUAAAAUUUUUUUAAUUACUCGACAAACUCUUUAUAUUUAACACUUAAUUUUACUACUUCAAAAAAAUAUUUAUUUUUUUUUCUUAUCUUUUAUUUUUAUUAACUUCCUUUUAAUCAUAGCGAAUAGAUUUAGCUCUUCAAAUUUAGAAAACCAAACUCACUCCUCAAAUAAAAUUGCUGAUUUAAACAACCUCUUGGAACAUAAUUUUAAGAAUUGACUCUAUAAAAUAGAGAGCAUCUAACGUUUAACGAGUCUAUUGGAGAUGUUCUAAUACUUAUAAAUAACUAAUAACCUCCUACUUGAUGCCAAGCCUCCAAUGUCUCUCAAUGAAAUUUCUUCCCCCAAAUUAGCUACAUAUCAAGUUCAAAGCAAAUAUCUCAUAUAAAGCAUGGAAAACAACAAUCAUGAUGCAUAAAUAUCAUCAUGAUUAGUGAGUACAACAUUCCUGUUGAUUAUGUAUCUUGGAAAAUAGAAAAAAUUAGUUCCAUAACAUAUUCCAGGCUCAGUGAAGAACAUAUUGAGCACAAGUAUCAACUCCUUUUCCGUUCUAGCUUUUACGUAAAUAUGAAAAUUACAGAAAAAAAUUAGCCCCUCAAGUCCACGUGACCUCUGAUGAAGAAACCACGACGACAAAGUGAGGAGGAAUUACGGAAUCCUCCAAGCCAUGUUAGUUUUGUAUAACUGCUUAGACAUCUUUGGAACCAACACUGAACUUGGCUAUAAAAAAGCCUAUUGUAUCAAGUGGAGACGAAGGAUCAAAUCUCUGAACAAGAUCUUCCUCACCAUGUCUUAACCAUUCCCUGAAAAUUAAGCAUGAAAAUACUAGCAGCAUUAUUAAGCAAAAUGUUAGAAGAGAACAAAAUGCUAAAAAUACAGCAGCGCAAAAUUAUAGUGUUGAACCUUUCAAAAAGAAAAGAGAGAAUGGAAAUGCAUAAAAGGCGAUGCUUGAAAAUGAAAAUGUACAUCAACAUAUAAAGGCUCGGACUAGUCCUCUUCACAAGGUUAACCCUUUAAGGUGGAUCCCUAAGUCAUAAUAUGGUAGGUUCAAGUCUUACCGCCAUCCAUUUGAACUGCUCAAAUAUCAGGCUUUUGAAAAAAAUGAAUCCUUACAAUUUAAAUGAUAAACAUUUGACCCUCUCUAACAACUUAGCUUCUAGAUCAAGUGGUUGAACAUAAAAAAUAUUGCAGCACUAAGCUACUUAUUAUAAAUUUGUGUUAGCAUUGCAUGUUUUAUGGUUUUUGAUUACAUGUUAGAGAUUGCGACUCUUUCAUAUGAGUUAGACUUCAAGUAGAUUAGAAGCUCCAUGUUCAUCCAAAUGAAACUUUCUUUUCUUUUAAGACAUUCUACUUUGACCAACCACCCAAAAAAUAACACAUCGACACUAGAAAAUUAAAAGAAAUGGGUUGUCCUGGAAUAGCAACAAUCUUGAUUAUCUAUUCCCUUGAUCGGAUUGACUUUUUCGUGAGCAUCAUUUGGCAUAUAAGAGAAUUCAUCUUAAUUCUAGAGAUUUGAUUUGAUUUCUAGUUCCAUGAAAGAAGAACUUACUCUUUAUAUUCAUCAGAAAAUUGAUAACCACCAACAAGGCCAGGUCCCCCUACUCUUGGAAACUGCAGUGAAUUACGGAACAAACAUCAGGAAAAUGAAGAAUUAUAGAAGUUGAAUCCUCCAAGCAAGCAUCUCCUGCUGGGCAGGCGUGGGCCAAUGGUUCGUGGACAACGGGUAAAAGCCCUUAAAAAUAAUAUUACUUUAUUUUUAUUAGAAGAUCUAUGAUUUGCAGAAUGGAAUACAAAACACAGAAUUAUGGAAAAUCAAUCUGCUGACUUCCAAAAUUAGGGCAGAACCAUACAUUAAGCUUUCAGAAAGUAAGUUGACUUCAGGAUCAUUUCAUGUAUUUUCUCUCCGUUUCCUUAUAUUUGUUGAAAAGUGAGGUCCAGUAAUAGUUAGUGGUGUCAAACAGGCCGGGUCCGGCCAUUCAACUAUAGUUCCAGCUGUGUUGGAGGUCAGGGUUGGCACAUGUACUGUGCCAGGCUGGUCCAGUUCAUCGGCUCACUUUCCUACCAUAUCCAAUCAUAAAUAUUAUUCAGGGACCAAUUGGUUGAUAUAACCUCAAACACACAAGUUAAACUCAUUCGCUCACUGAGGAUGGAGUCACAGAAAGAAUGAAUGCAGCCAACUUGGCGAUCUACGCGUUGCCAGCAAUUUUGUUCCUUGUCAAACAAAGCACAACAGCUGGUAUGGUCCAACAAAUGCUUGCAAAGAAUUAAUCCAAAAACUAAAUCAGUUAGUCAUGAUCUAUGUAGGGCUUUAAACUUCAGUCUAACCUGUGAUGCCAGAGAGAGGAACUUAUAUGUGUCCAAUGCAUAUCGAACCAAUGCCUCAUUUUCACCAGGGUUUAUUGUGCAUCUGCAGUAAUGAAAAUGUUGAUUGUCAUGUCCUUUUGAACAUGUGGGGUAGUAUAGGAAUACACAACAGAUGAUGUUCUAGGCAUUGUUCAAGAAACGAUUAUAUCAACAACAUUACACGAGAGCAUUCAGAUUGUAGAAAUUGAAGAAUAAAACAUACGAAGAUACUAUCAAUUUGUAUCCUAUAAAACCACAAACCUUUCAGAAACUCAACUGGCUUCUGUAGUGCAUGUUGACCAGCCAUCACAUAUCCAAGAGACACAUAGAGCUUGAGGGGUUAGGUUUAUGAAUUUGUACCACAGACUACAUCGGUGCACAAGGCUAUGAUAUAAAUCCUGGUCCCAAUCCACUUUAGAAUGAAGCCUUUUUCACGAGUUUAUUAAUCAGUUAAUUGUGUCAUCAGACAAGGAUGAGUUUUUAAAUCCCAACAUUAGUCCGGUUAUUCAAAUGAAUGAUAUUAACAUAGAGCGGAUUCUUAAUCUAGAUAUCAUCUAUCCUUGUAUUCAACGUGAUUUUCCACCCAAUAUUUCAUUUGCAAACAAAGAUUUGGAUUUGGAUUUGGAAAAUGAUUAAAUUAAGAAUAAUGCAAUCUAGCAUCAAUUUAGGUGACUACACUUUAUAGGUUCAAUUAAAUGAGUCAUGUGAUUUUACAUUUAAAUGAAUAUAUCAUUUAAUGUUAUGUAGUUGUCACUAACACAAUCAAUGAUGAAUAAUUACUCUUAAAUUAAUGUAUCUGAAAUUCAUGGAUCUAAAAAUUUUAUCAGUUGACAAAAGAUUGAGGACAAAAUCAUUAAAAGAAGAUAUAUUUAAGGCUUUUAGAAUAACAGAUACAAAAUUCCUACCAUGUGUAAUGGGCGACUAACUUGGAUUUCAUGCAAGUAAAAAACUGAGUAUCAACAGAACGACCAUAUUAAAGGCCAGACAAAGUAAUUAACUCCUGGUUGUACUUAUGCUGGUAUAACAAAGUACCAAUCAAGGUAGAGAGUGCCAAUUUUGCUAGAUAAUUUUCCAGUAUUUACAGAAAUGUACAAGGAAACAAUUAGCUGUACAAUAGGGAAAUCAAUCCCUGAUUUUAUGUGAUGUGUCUAGGCUAAAUAAGAGAACAAAUUAGAAUAAGCCUGUAGAUUAGCCUGCAAAUUGAUACUGCCUCUAAUAAUACCCCCUCAAAUUGAUGAUGAUGAGUCCACAAAUAUCAAUUUUCUAACAAGAAAAUAAUGACGAAGACGAGUCAAAGAUUUAGUGAAGAUAUCCAAUAUCUUUUGACUAUUGGAACAUGUGGAAGAUCGAUGACUUUGGCAUCAUAGGCGUCCCGGAUGUAAUGACAGUCUACUUCAAUAUGUUUGAUGUGUUUAUGAUACAUCGGAUUAGCCGCAAUUUGAAUAUCACAAGCGUUGCCAUAGAAAGGUGUAGGUUGUGAGAAGUACCAAGUUCUGCAGAAAGAUCAUGCAGCCACACAACCUAAAACACUCGAUGGACAUAGCACGGUAUUUAGCCUUAGUAGAGGAUAAACACAGUUCUGUUUCUCACAUUUCCAAAAAAUGAGAGCAUCAUUCAGAAAGAUACACUACCUAGUAGUGUAUCGACGAAAAUCAAAACAACCAGCUCAAUCAGCAUCACUAUAAGCUACGAACUCAAGAGGCGUCCCACGAGGGUAGAACAAAACACGAUGAGAAGUCCCAAUAAGACUGCGAAUGCAGCGGAAAGCUACCAAAUGAAGAUGACGAAGAACAUCCAUAAAUUUGCUAACAGUAUGCACUAUAAUGGAAAUAUUCGGAUGUGUGAUAGUGAGAUAGAUGAGAUUACCCUUCAACUUUCAAUAAAAAGUACGAUAUAGAAGAAUAUAGCUCUCGUCUUUUUGAUAUUUAACAUUAAGCUUUAAUGGAGUAUCAACCAAGUAAGCAUCAGAUAAAUCAGCCAACAUAAUCAAGUCUUAAAUAUACUCAUUGAUAAGAGUGUAAAAUAUGAUAUUUUCCCCUCUUAAUUGUUGCAUUCGUAUGAUUAUUUGAUUUCAAAAUACACUCAUUACUCUUAUGUUUUGAUCUAGGUCGUAAUUUGAUGAAAAAUGUGAAAUUUGAAAGAAAUGAGUAAAAAGGACCAAAGUGGAAGAAAGUGAAAGUUUAGAGACCAAGUUGCAAAUAAUCCAUAAUGAGACGGGUGAUGGAAUGAUGAUUCAAGAAAACUAGGAGUCAAUUGGGUGUAAAUUGAAGUCAAAAGAAGUGAAAUAUGACCAUAACAUCUUCACAAAUCAAUUCCCAAUUGAAAAAGUUACGCACCGGUUUUCAGCCUCAUGUUAAGACCCUUUUUGACAUGGAAAAUGAUCGAAUUGGAAGAUCAUUUCUAAAGAAAAGUUGUAGCCAUUCGUGUUAGCUUUCCAACGCAACUUGAAUCACCUCAAUCGGACAUCGGGAGGAAAAGUUAUGACCAAAAUACUAAAAGCUGUCCGGCGGAAAAAAUUUUGAACUAUGUGAGACCACAUAGAAGGGUCCAGGGAACUUUUGGAUGUCACACAUUUGUUCUAUAUGACCGCAUGGCUUAUAACCAUGCGGUCGCAUAGUUAUCCUCCGAGCCUAAAUUUGCUAAAUUCUUAAAUUGACGUCAUCGCUUAUGGAAACACAUUUUGACAUUUCUUAAGCCCAAAAACACUCCAGAACGUGGGGGAUUGAAUCUGGACUCCAUUUUUUUCUCAUCUUUGGCCAAAAAACUCCAUGGAAGGCUAGAAAUCUUUGGUGAAGCAAGGAGGAACUCGUUUGGCAUCGGUUAUUUCAACGUUUCUCAUGCAUGUAAUAUGGUUUCCACUGCUAAACAAUUCUAGGUUUGGAUUUCUUGUUCAUAUAAAUAUGUUUUGAGAUUUGUUUAAUAUGUAUUAGACUUUAAUGGACUUAAUCAUAUUCUUUCCAUCGAAUAAUUCAAGUAUGCAUUGAAUUUCAAUUUCAAGCAUUGUUGUAAAUGGUUUAACAUUUAUUAUAUUUCGUAUAGAUUCAAUCACGUUUUAUCUAUUGUGAAAUUAAACUAGUUGUUGAAUUUCAAUUUCAAUUAUCUUAUUGGUGUGAUUUCCUACGAUUUUAUGCUUAAUGUAUAAGGUGGAUUUAGAAUCUGAUUUCAAUAUAUUAAAGUGGGUAUAUGUUAUAGGAAAUCCAUAUUUUAGAAUUAUUAUAGAAUUAAAUUGAGCUUUAAUGUUAUAUUUUUCAAUUAAAGUUUAAUGACAAGAAUCUUUAAUUGAGUAUAUGAAUGUGUAAUUAACGUUGAUUGAUCCGAACCAAUCGAGAAAAUUCUGACGCUUCACUACUUCACUCAUCAAUAUUUAAAUUUCAUUCUAAUUGAUAAACUAUUUUCAUACACUUCACGAAACACUAGCUUUUGAUCCUUUGAAUAAUUUCCCAUCUCUAUGUGGAUACGACACCCCAAAUCUAUACUACAACCACCGUAUUAUAUAUUAAGCGUAUCACUCAUGUUGAUUCGAGAAGAUACCAUGCAAUAUAGUAUGAACCUCUAGUCCAAGAAGUAAGAUGACCAAGGUUUUUCAUAUGAAAAAUCGAGUAAAAAUACAGCUGAAGCUUUUGAACAAGAAUGUGAUUAGAUCCAGAAAUAAGAUCUACAUAUACCAACAAAUAAAAUAUGCCAGUAGUACUCUUGUAAAGAAACAGAGAUGUAUCAAAUUGACUCUCAGUAAAGGAGAAAUCCAAGAAAGUGGGACCGAUCUAGUCAAACCAUGCUCGAGGAGCCCACUGAAGAUCAUACGAAGUUCUUUAGCUUACUAAGAGAGUCAACGGAUGGAAGAGGCAUACCAGAUGGAAGCUUCAUAUCCUUGAGGUCUCCCUGUAAGAGUGCAUUCUUUACAUCCAUUUAAUGUAGAGAUCAAGACUAGGAAGUGACAGGUGAUAACAAGAGGCGAACUGUGGUCAUCUUUGCUACAGGAAGCAAAUGUUUCAUCAGAAUUGAUUCUAUACUCUUUACGAUUACUCAAGGCAACCAACCAUGCCUUAUAGCACUCGAGAACUAUCAUAACAAAGUUUGACCGAAUAGACCCAUUUACUCCCAAUGGGUCUCACAUUCGAGGGACAUGGCACAUCAUCCUAGGUUUGGUUUGCCAGAAUAGCCUCAAGUGCUGCAUUAAUCACUUGUUGCCAACACUCUCAUUCCAUAGCCAGUCUAUAUGCGGAGAAAAACAGUACCUAUAUAGAGGUCGAGAAACACGAGAAGAGCAAUGAAGAAUGACAGAGGGUAAAACAUCAUUUGGUGAAAGAUCUGAUGUAUAAUUGGAGGAUCAGGAGGGUUUAAAGGGGACAGUCAUCUAAGAAUGAGGUUCGAGAGCAGUGGCCGGUGUAACAUGCCUGAGAGUGUAAACUAAACCCAGCUUGUACCAAGAGGAGUCUAUAGGGAAAAUUAAGCAAAAUAGAGAACACCGGAAGGGAAAUAACCUCUCAGGUGAAAGAAAUAUUGUUUUCCAAAGAACACAACAAUACAAGAAAUCCUAUUGCGUUGUCAAAGGAUCAUAAUAGACAUACCCUUUUUGAAUCCCAUCACAUCCUAAAAAAGCACAUUUGACAGAUUGAUGUGUGAGUUGUUCUUUCAUGUGGUGGUAAAUGAACAAAACAAAUAAAGCCAAAGGGACGAAAAUGAGAAUAAGUGGUAUGAUGACUAAAGAGCUUAUAAUAUGGAGAAACAUUAUCAAAGGUGGGAGAAGGCAACCGAUUGAUGAGAUAAACCGCGGUUGACAAUGAUUUAUACCAAAAGUAAGAGGGAAUAGAAGAUUCAAUUAAAAGAGCUCUAACAUUGUCAAGAAGAUGACGAUUCUUGCGUUGUGCCACCCUAUUUUGUUGAGGGGUAAAAGGACAAGAUCGCUGAAAAAUAAUACAUUUGGUUUGUAAGAAAGAUUGAAAUGAUUAUAUGUAUAUUCGCCUCCCAAAUCAGAUCUCAGGAUCUUGAUUUAAGGAAAAUUGGUCAUCAAUGAAGGCAAGGAAAGCCUGAAAUAUUGAGAACCUCUCUUUUCUCAGAGAAAAUAAAUCCAUAUAAAACGAUUAUAUUCGUUAAUAAAAGUAACAAAGUAUUUAAAAUGAGCAAUAGAUACUACAGGUGUAAUAUCCCAUACAUCAUUAUGCACAAUAUCAAAAAUUUGUGGAACGUGAGAACCAUGAAAAGGGAACGGUAAAACUUUACUUUUAGCAAGUUAACAUGAAGCACAAUCAAGUGAGAGACGAAACCCUUAGCAGAAGUUUUAUUACCAAUCAAAUCAGUGUUGUGAUACAUUAGAAUUGGGUUCCCAAUUUCUUAUGCCAAUUUCAUAAUAGAUUUUUAAUUUAUACAAACCAGCAUUAACUUUAAUAUAGAUACAUGAAGCAUUUUGUGUUACAUUUAGACGCGUAAAGAUACAGCCAAUAUGUAUAUUGUACAGUGAAAAUGAUCUAAAAGCCUAUGGGGGUGACAUACAAGUAAAGAACCUAUUACUAAAUUAUCCAAAAAGAUCCUUGUUGUUUCACAAUCACCAGGCAAUAUUCACAUAAGAGGUAAUCCUCAGGAGUUUAAACAUUAAAAAAGCUUCAAAUAUCAAGGUAAAUUGAAGCACUGAAAUUUAUUCAUACAAUUUGAUAUCCAGGUAAGGUAACAUGACCUGAAAAGAAGAGAGAGAAUAGUGCACAUUUCAUGAGAACAACAUAUAACUGAUACUCACGUUGAAUACACAAUAACUCCACCGGGACGCACAAGCUGCACAGCCUGAUCAAACAUUCGUCUUUGAUACUUCGCAUGGGUCCGCAAUGAUUCCAUAGUCUCCUAAAAUUGUUAAUCAAUAUAAUUAAGCAAAACUAGUUUCAAUUGCAAAAGGUAAAAUAAGGAAAAAGGGAGCAUGCUUGAAGAAUUCAAAAUGUAUAAACGAACGAAAAAAAUUCUGCCCCCACCCAAAAAAAAAUAAAUUAAAUUAAAUUAAAAAUAAAAAUAAGAAAACACAAAACGAAGGAGGUUGGAAGAAGUUAAAGUUUAGGUAUAAAGAAAUUAAAUUUACAAAAUCAUCCUACUAUUAGGUGAACUCAGUAUUAAGAAUUAACAAAAUAUCAUGUCAAACUUCCAAGGCAACUAAUCAGAAACCCAUCCUCACUCUUAAUUUAUUAAUAGAGAUUCAUAGCUUUCGAUAUCAUAUCAAAACUUCCAAUGGAAAUUAUAUUAGUUUCUGAGCAUACUCGUAAGAUUUCCAUAAGAAAGUUCAACUGAAUAGACACAAUAUACUAUUCUUUUUCCUGAUUUACUCAUCAUUGGUACAGGUACGAAGCAUGGUCACAUUUAUCAAAAUUUUAAUCAAAGUACAACCUGCACAAAUAAAACACACUUUCCAAAUACUAAUUUCAGUGGGGAAUAUUUAUAAUUACAAAUGAUACCAUUGUAAUCAUCUUAACGAAUUUGCAUAGUAAUAAACUGGGUUAGAAUAAUAAUUUACUAAGACUGGAAACAUUUUUAAUUACAAGUUAUAACAGUCCCUGUGGGCUUGACCUCUAAAUUUUAAAGUUUUUAAUGUUGUCAACCAAGCUUACUCAAGCUGGAAAAGAGUUCAGAUUGGAUUGUGUUCUGAAAAGGGAAAAUUGUAACCACCAUUUCCAACUGAUAGACCCCCAAGUUAUUCAUUCAAGUUUGUUAUGCCAUAUUCUAGAGUGUUCCAAUACGAGUUAGUGAUCAAGGGUAGUUUGGGGAAUAAGGGGGAAAUAGUAGUGUAAGUGUAUUAGGCGAAGUAGUAGAAUGGGGGGAUCCAUACACAUUGUUCAAGGAAAUAGGAGAGACCCGGCCUCUCUAAUAGCCGUGAAUUAGUAUCCAUUCUGUUUCAUUCAACCUUUCUAUAACAGAUUACUAUUCAGAAAUUGAGCAUCAGUUAUAGGGGAACUUGUUCAUCAUUAGCAGGAAUUCAGAUCUUCUUAUGGAGAUUGCAACAGCUGUUCAUGGGGGGUAAUAGGGGAACUUAUCAAAUGGUAUCAGAGCAACCAUUCUGGCCCUGGGGUAUUACAUCUGAUGAAGAAAAGCAAUUAAAAUAUCGGGUUAAUAAUUUGGAAAUAAGGAUGGAUCUGCAAUUAGAGUUUUGGGCAAUGAAAUUUGAGAUUCAAAAGGGUAUGUUAUAAUUGACGGAGAAACUUGAUUUCAUGAUGAAGAAAGGGAGAGAAAUUCACGGCAGAUCAGCAUCUAAGCAGUACGCAGCAAAAGGAGCAUCAUCUCCAGCAGCUAAUCGACCUCCUGUAAAAUCAGCUGCAGGUAAUCAGUUCUCAAAUCGGGAGAAUUGCUUGUCACGGCAGCAGGAUGGACCAGUACGAGACUAUUGGCACAAGUUUGAAGUGGUGGCGACACUCGGACUAGAAUAUCGGCAAAGAGGAGACGAGGUGAGAAUAUUGGAAAGGCUUAACGGCAGCCAUAUCUGCAGAAAGGGAAGAGGCACGGCGCAACUGUCUUUUGGCCCCAAAAUGAUAAGAAACUUCUGGCCGUGGUGGUGUUGGCAGCUCCCUUACCAGUAACCUUCACGAUUUCGAAAGAGGCAGUGGACGGUUAUUUUUUCAAUCAACUAAGGACAGAGAAUUGGGCAGAAGGGAAGAUUCUAAAGCCUCCAUGUCUUGGCCAGAUUCUGGAUCUAGCCCAUAGGAUUGAGGACCCUAAUGAGCAUUUUAAAAAGUUCCAAGCUAUUUUAGGCCCAUAUAAAUUCAACUACAGCCCAAGCAUAAGUCCCCAUAAUUUCAGUCUAAAUAGCUAUACUAACCCACCCAACUUAUCUUCCCAGAUAGCAUAUUCAAUUCACCAUGGCUCAUCGUGUUAAAAAAUUAGACAUUGGUAGGGGCAAUGGACUAUGGAAUUGCCUUGGAUACUAAUGAUAAUCACUCGAUUGAGUAAGUCCGUCCAUUUCAAAGGGAGAAAACACCUUGUUUCUGCGGUGAUCGUGAUUGGAGUUUUUGCAAAGGAAAUUAUGUGGUUGUAUGAUGAAUUCAUAAGCUGAACCUUGAGGACAAGGUGGAUUUCAGGGGGCAAUUAAUGAUAGACCCCCAAGUUAUUCAUUCAAGUUUGUUAUGCCAUAUUCUAGAGUGUUCCAAUUCGAGUUAGUGAUCAAUGGUAGUUUGGGGAAUAAGGGGGGAAAUAGUAGUAUAAAUGUAUUAGGCGAAGGAGUAGAAUGGGGGGAUCCAUACACAUUGUUCAAGGAAAUAGGAGAGACCUGGCCUCUCUAAUAGCCGGGAAUUAGUAUCCAUUCUGUUCAUUCAACCUUUCUAUAACAGAUUACUAUUCAGAAAUUGAGCAUCAGUUACAUUACAGAACAUAUAAAUCCAACUGGUGCAAUUGCUAACAUAUACGGAGGCUUAACUUGUUCAUCAUUAGAAGGAACUCAGAUCUUUAUCUGGAGAUUGCAGCAGCUAUUCAGGUGGGUUAACAGGGGAACUUAUCACCAACCUUUACCUCCUUUUGCACUACCGUCCCCAGCCAUUCUUGUCAGCACUAUCCCUAAACUUACUUUCCUAGUGUCCUCUUUGAUGAUGGAAACUGUCGAAAAAUCUAUUAGCCAGUUGUGUGCCUCACAUCCUUAAUAAGGCGAGGGUAUAAACAUGAAUAAGCAAUUAAAGAUUUAGACAGACCAAAAAUUUAAAUAAAUCUAAUUUCUCUUUGUAAAUUAAGCAGUGUUUUUUGGAAUGAAUUAAUCAUCAAAGUGCAACCAUAAAUUAAACCAAAAAAAAAAAAAAGAAAAAAAAAAAAACCACAAAAUAUCUGAUACAGGUGGCAAAUAAUAUUCUGUUUCAUUCUCUUGGUUUGAGGGAAAACAGUUAGAAAUUCAACGUGUGAAAAUUUACUACACAAAAAAGGAGUAUGUGUAUAGAAGAGUAUGCUGUGUUGAGGGUCGAUACAUCUUUGAAUUUACCACAUUUCCAACUAGAUGUGAAGAAUGCACCAUGUGUUCUGAAUUUGAAACAUCCUUCUCUUAGUUGCAAAAACCAAAGCUCAACAACCAAAAUACUGACAGGACUUGACAUUGAUACAACUUUGAAAGAUUUAACAAAAAAUGAUCUAUUAAGGAAAAUGGAUAAAAAAAAAAUAAAAGUGAAAAAAAAAAAAAAAAAAAAAAAAAAAAAAAAAAAAAAAAAAAACCACAAAAUAUCUGAUACAGGUGGCAAAUAAUAUUCUGUUUCAUUCUCUUGGUUUGAGGGAAAACAGUUAGAAAUUCAACGUGUGAAAAUUUACUACACAAAAAAGGAGUAUGUGUAUAGAAGAGUAUGCUGUGUUGAGGGUCGAUACAUCUUUGAAUUUACCACAUUUCCAACUAGAUGUGAAGAAUGCACCAUGUGUUCUGAAUUUGAAACAUCCUUCUCUUAGUUGCAAAAACCAAAGCUCAACAACCAAAAUACUGACAGGACUUGACAUUGAUACAACUUUGAAAGAUUUAACAAAAAAUGAUCUAUUAAGGAAAAUGGCAAUGGAGGCCAGGCACUGCAGUGAUGGGGCAAUGGAGAAGAUUUUCUUUCUUUUUUAUAGUUCUUUUAUAGGUUGCUUAUAUUAUUUUAUUACCUUCGCCUUAUCAAGCAUGUGAUGUGAACUUAACUAGUUAACACAAAUUUUGGAUGGUUCCCCAGUAUUAAUGACAACGGUCGCUAAAAAAUGAAUGUUUGGGGAUAACACUACCAGGAAAUAAAGGUUGAGUACAAAAGUGCAAAGUGGGGGAAAGCUCGGGAAUGGCAACUGCAAUUUGCCCUACGAAUGUUUGGAGAUAACACUACCAGGAACGGCAAUUCGGUUAGAUAGGAAUAUAAGGAGAUAGAUUGUAAACACAGCAGGUGCAAACACCUAAAAUGAUUAAGAUUCAUUGCGCCCCAGAAUCAGCAGUCUACAUUGUGUAAACAACAAAGCAAGACCAUUAAUGUAUGAAUGUAAUUCAAGCAAUGAGCCAAUGCCAAGCAAAAGAUAUAUGAGAAAAACUUGAGCAAAGUUCCAUACCUCUCCAGCAAAUAGUCGAGGUCUCAAACCAAGAGCGGAACAAGGAGCAUCUAGGAGAACCCGGUCAAAGCUAUUUGGUGGAAAUCCUUUCGACUUUUCAACUCUACCACCUAAGCAGUUAUUUCUUCCAGGUCCAUUCCUCAAUUUCCGAUUAUUCUUCCUGAGCUCAGCUUUACUAAUGUGACUUUCAUUCCCCAUUUGCUCAAGGCCACCUAUAUCCAGUCCAUCGCAAAUUGAAUCAUUAGGUUCAACAAGCAUAGUGAAAACAAAUCAAGCAAUAUCCAUCAUCCGACAUAAUAGAUCACUUUUUUUACCUUAGUUGUUCAUACCACAAAAUAAUAAAUAUCCAACAAGAGACUUCACAAUCAUUAUAGAGAUUUAUAUAAUGUAGUAGUACAUAUUCCACAUACUAGUGGACAUUGCACAACACUCAGACAAAAACACAUCAACACUUUUUUAUCUUUCAACGCAUUCUCAAAGAACAGUGGACUCAUAAUGAAGGAGCAACAAUUCACAUUAAUAUUGGAACUGGAUUAAGGAUUCAUCUUUUUAGACAUACAUGAUGGUCAUAUAGCACUGAUAGAUAUCCAAAAGCACGAACAAUCCAUGUGACCCAGGAAAUAAUCUCCACUUCUCUACAAGAGAUUGACAUGAAUAAUUGGGUGUGCAUAUAAGUUACGAACAUUUAAGACAUCUAAGCAUCAGUGUUCAGCUAGAUGUAUUUCUACUUUUUGGUGCUUACUCCUAUCAUACACUUCCACAGUGCGAGUUGACACAUUUUCCUUUCAAUUGAAUGUUACACAUUUGUUACACUAUCGCUUAAGAGAACCAGUUCCCAGCUUCUGUGGAUCAUUACGGUUUGGGUUUCUUUCUUUUAGGAAGAGCACAGGUGUCUGCCAAAAGCCAGGGAGACCAAACUGGAUAUAAAGAAUUGGAAAUUUCUGUAUUGAUUAUCUUAGAGCUACAAACAUCUCACCCACCAUAUAGUAAAUGAACUCUCUCACAAUGCCAGCUAUCUUUCUCCAAUUGCAGCAUUAAUAGUUUUCUGCUCCUUGUCUUUUGUUUUAGAUGCUCGGACUCGGGUACGGGUAUCGGGUACAGGUACGUAUCAAAGCGUCGGAUCUUUUAUUUUCUAAAAUGUGGGAUACGGGAACAUGGCUAAAAAGAGUCCAAAUUUAGGACACGGGUACGUGGGUACUUUUUCAAACUUCAAUUUUGUUUUUUAGAUUUUUUUUUUUUUUUUAUAUUGUCGUAUUUUUUGAAUUAAAAAUGAUGAAUUGAAUUUUUUUUUUAAAAAAUGAUUAAUUUUAUUGUUUGAAUAUUUUAUUAAACUAGAAUAUGUUUGGUGUAAAAAUAAUUACAUUAUUAGCCCACUCAUCUAUUUCCCAAACUCCAAUUAAAUCCAUCCAUAUCCAAUAUCAAUAUUAUUAGCCCAAUAAAAAUGGUCCAAACCUCAAUUAAAUCCAUCCACAUCCAUAUUAGUAACCCAACCCACCUCCAUAUUAUUAGGCCCAAUAAAAAUGGCCCAACUCCAAUUAAACCUAAGUCUCUUCUUUCAUUCCCGUCUCCCCAUCUUCCAUCUUCCUUCUUCUCUUUCACGAUUUUAGGGUUCCACCGGAAGACAUCCAGUAGAUUUUGGAUCAAAGAUCGCCGGCGCUAGCCUACUAUUUCUUUACACAUCUUCCAUCUCCAGCCAAUAAGGUAAAUUUUCAUUUUUUCUUAAGAUUUCUACCGAGUCCGAUUGAAAUUGGAAGAAUUGGACCCGUAUUCUGUACCGGUACCCGUGUCGUGUGUCGACACGGGUACUCCGGCCAAAAUGAAGAGUCCGAGCAUCACAGUAUAAAACAAAAAAAUGGACAUGAUGGCUGACCGAAAACCAAGGCCUAGAAUAGUACAUUUAGACCGUGGAUUCUGGAUUGCAUCAAUUAGCAUAUAAAAUUAUUAAUCAAAAGUUGCAAUUUCGGAACUCAGGGUACAAGUUCAGACUGUCAAAUAUACUGAAUAAUACUCAAUAAAUCUUGAUACCUCUCAAUGUGAGAGGUUAUCUCAUUAUACAGGACCAAAAUCACCACUAAAUAUGGUGGCAAUCUAUUCCAAUAUUAAUUAAAAGCAACCUAAAAUUUAAAUAUGGUAAAACCAAUCUAUCUAUAUAUAAUACAAUUAUAAUGAUAAAAUAGACGUCAAACCAUAUUUUUCGGCGAUCUCCGUAAUUUUAUUCAAUCUCAUUGACAUACCCCUCAAAUUGAUGUGGUUAUAAACUGGCGAUGAUGACAAUACUUGUGCCCACGAAGAAGAAACCCAAAUCAGAGCAACCAUUUAAGAAAAUUAGUGAUGCUGAGAGACCAAGAACAAUUAAUAUGCAAAAAUAACUAAAAACUACUCUAAAGCCACUCCAGAGAGCUCAUAUCCAAGAAGAAUUUCCAAAAGAAAUUCACGAAGUGUGUCGACACACACAAUGAGCUAUUUGUCGGGAGAACUCAAUCGAACACAUAAUUCGUGUUUCGACAAAAGUUUUAACGCUAAUGCACCGGCCAAAAUUUCAAGAAUAUAUCGCUGACCAAAAUGCCGUAGUUGGAAGAAAUUCAACGAAAUAGCCAACACUAAAAACCUCAAAGAUAAUCCUCCACUGAAAAUCCAAAAUUCUAGCUCAUCAUCAGAGCAACCAAAAAACUCAACAACUUGCAUACCCCCAGUCCCAUGUCUCUCUUUCCACAACCAAAAAGCCUUUUUGUUAGCAGCGCCUUUGCAAAAAUCACGUGCUUCAUAUUAGUGAAUUUUCCAAGCAAUUCAAAACUAGAUAUUAGCUCCUUAUGUUCACAUGUUUCCAUAGUUUACAACCAAAUCACUUAAACCCAAUAACCCCAAAUGAUAGUAGGACCUAUAAAACUAUUAAGCCCAACAAUGUAUAAUUUAUAUAUAAACCCACUAGGCUUAAAACCAAUAGACACAAUCCAUGUAUGAAGUCCCAAUAGAAUCAGAUCCAAGCAAAACAAAUUGCCACCUAAAUUCAAGCCACUCCGAAAUCUGCCCACACAAAAAAAAAAAAAAAAAAGGCCCACUUCAAAAAAAGUCUUCAAAUAACAGACAGGCCAAACGAUUUAAUUGCAAAGCUAACCCGAGAAACUAGAAGCCCACUAGAAUCAGCCCAAGUCCUUAAACAAAUCUACAUCGAUGCCUCUGUUCUCCACCGAAACCUCUCUUCUCCACCACAAUCCUGUUGUUUAGCAAAUUAUUCAACUCCACAGGAUGCAAGAUAAGAAUGGGGAGACUUUUCCAUGACGAGGCGGGCAACGCAGAUAGGGUUCUUCACGAUGGUGAUACCAGAUUCGAUGUCGCAUCUCUUGCCAGGACCAUCCAUUAUGCUGGCCCUAUCUCCACCAUUCCUUUUUCAGUCAGUGUAGAUCCACAACAAGUUCAACACCAUCUGAAGGAGUACGUGAAGCUUCCCAAAUCUACUGUGAAUUAAUCCACCUCGGUGUUUGUAUGAAAGUCAUUGACAUUGGCGGUGGUCUUGGAUUGAUUAUGAUGGCUCAAAAUCCCAGGACACUGAAAUUUCUGUUGGUUACAACGUUGAAGAUUAUGGUUAAGCUGUUGUUCGGGCUAUAAAAUCCAUAUGACUUUAAUGGCGUGAAGCAUCCCGUGAUUUGCAGUGAAAGCGGCCGUGCCGUUGUGUCUCACAACUCUGUUUUGGUGUUCCAAGCUAUUUCCAGAAAAGGUGCAGAUUCAACCACAAGUUCGCGUCAACGAUGCCAACGCCCAAAUCUGUAACCUGAACCUUCAACAGCCAAAACCGACACCACCAUUAAUUACAUCACCAACAAAUUGGGUUAUUGCUCCAAUUGGUCAAUGAAAAGAAGACAAAAUCUUCUCCAAAAUAACUCCAACCAAAACCUAACCAAACAAUUGAGCUCCAUAUUGGGUUGAAAAAAUAAAACUAUGAUCCUAAGCACAAGCAUUUCAAUGGGCCUGUGAAGUUGCCUCAUAUCCCUCGGCCAAGCUGAAGAUUUGCAUGCUUGGUGAUGCUCAACAUGUCAAAGAGGCAAGAAGGAAAAAAAAGAAAAAAGAAAAAAAGAAAUGCCUCUGGAAUACAUGAACUAAGUAAUACAAAAACAAGAAAAUUUGACUUCAGAGAACGGAAGCUUGCAAGUUCAACCCAAAUAAAAUUAAACCUGCUCUGAUACCAUGUCAAAUAUACUGAAUAAUAUUCAAUGAAACUCGAUGUCUCUCAAUGUGAGAGGUUCUCUUAUUAUAUAGGACCAAAAUCACCACUAAAUAUGGUAGCAAUUUAUUGCAAUAUUAAUUAAGUGAACCUAUAAUUUAAAAAUGGUAAAACCAAUCUAUUUAUAUAUAAUACAAUUAUAAUGAUAAAAUAAAUGUCAAGCCGUAUUCUUUAACGAUCUCAGUAAUCUUAUUCAAUCUCAUUGACACAGACUUUAGUCUCAAACCUCCAACAUUUAGACCCUGCAAAGACCUACAUGAUAGCCAACUUCAAAACUUAGAAAUAGAGAGGAGACAUGUUUACUUAUAUUUCCACUUCAGUGAACUUGUCAUAUAAAUUAAUCAAUUUGCAUUCUUACAAUGCCCUACUAACGUUUAGCUUCAGACGCAAAAACUAGAUCAACUUUUUAAUCCGGUAGCAUAUAUUAGGUGGAAGAAUAAUGACGUAAAAAGGAGUCACUCGAGUGCCUAAAUCUAUUCCAUAUAAAUCUACCCAAAUGUAGUAAAGUAGCACAUGGUUUCCAGGAACAUGUAUUGUUAAAGCAACAGGGUGCACUAGGGUUAAACCAUCCAAGACAUAAUGAAUCAGCCGGAAACAGAGAUAGUUGUGUUAUUCAAGAUAUAACUCACCCUGUGUGCCACAUAUAGCUGUGCAUGUUAUUUUCUCUAUUCCUGCUGUCAGAGAAUCUGAAAUUCCAAUGCUCUCAAUUUUCUCACCACAUUGUAGAGUAUCCUUCCUAUCAGAUUCACUCAUCUGCUGGACGGAUUUCAGCGCGUCAAGCUUGUAUGUGGUUAUACAUUUCAAGCCCAAUUCAGCCGCUAAUUUUUGGAUCUCAAACACCUGUAAUUAUUUGGUAUAAAGGAACAGAUAUACAUUCCAAUAUACACGUUGCACACCAACAUGUAAGAGUAAUGCUAUUCAGAAUAAGUGGUGCUAUUAAACCAGUUUAGAUGGCCUUGUUUGAUAGGUCAGUUCCAAAUUCCUAAAUUUAACUAGAGUGAGUUAGCAUUAUUCCACAUAAACAGACACACACACACCCCGGGGGGAGGGGGGGGGGAUUACAUUGUAAUUCUAUUCUGAAGGAAUUACAUUGUAAUUCUAUUCUGAAAUUUCCGAUUCAAAUGCACUAAUUCUGCCAAAAGUAGCUAAAUUUUUGAGAAAGCAGAUUGGAAGCGACAUAACAACUCAUCCUUAUCAUUUCUAUUAUAAUGCAGUUAUUCAGGAUUUAGUAGCUAAUACUUAAAAGAAAUAUAUUCUGAAAUUUCCGAUUCAAAUGCACUAAUUCUGCCAAAAGUAGCUAAAUUUUUGAGAAAGCAGAUUGGAAGCAACAUAACAACUCAUUCUUAUCAUUUCUAUUAUAAAUGCAGUUAUUCGGGAUUUAGUAGCUAAUACUUAAAAGAAAUCUAUUCUGGAUUUAGUAUUGCAAUUAUUAUCGAUAAGGUUGCACACUUUUGAUUCGGAUUAAUCAAGGAUACCCUAAACUCUAUUUAGGUCCUUAACAUAUUUGGGACAUAAGGAAUGAAGUGACCUGAUCACGAUGUAAUAAUAUAAGGUUUAUGUGAAGUUAUAUAUAUCAAAGUGCAAAUCGUUGAAAUCGGUCGAGAAUCAAUUGGGUAAGUAAUCAAAUAAACGAUUAAAUAAUUAGCUGAAUAAAAUAUUUUGGGAUCUUAUGGCAAGUAAAAUAGGUUGUAAACACAUUAAAAUAGAUAAAGAACACUUGAUUUGUGCCUGCAAAGAUAAGUACAAAAUCAGAUUUCAAACCAAGGAGUCACCUCAUGCUUGGACUACUUGCCUUUUUAAUAGCACUCCUAAGCAUUCCUCAUGUCCCCAACUCCUUUAAGGCUUAUAACUCCUCCAAAAAUAAGUGCAAAAUCAGAUUUUGACUACAAGGAGCCACCUCAUGCUUGUAAACUUGCCUCUAAACAACAAUUUUCUUAGUCCUUAAGCAAGUAUCACAACCCCAAUCCUUUAAAACUUUAUAUGUACCUCUUAAAUAAGAUAUUCACUCCAACUUAAUCCUAAAUUAGUCCAAGUGAGAGAGUAAGUAAAGGAACCAAAGAGUAGUAGAAAACAAGAAGCUGCAAACUGAACUUCUAAGUAGGUGAGUAUAGUUUACGGUUUUGAGGUAUCUCUUUAUUAUUUUUGAGGGUUUUAUAACCUCUUGAAUCUAUGAACUUGCUUGAGAUUUAUGUUGGGGUGGUGUUGAUGAUUUUAUUAUGAUAACAAAAGAUGGGUAAUUGGUUAGCAAGAACUUGAUUAAAUCACCAUGGACAGAAAUUGAUUGUUGCUGGAUUUUAAUUAUUCAACCUUUGCGUUUGUUUAAGACUUUGAAGGCAACAUAUAUGGCACAGGAUACGUAUGAAUUGACAAUAAAAUAUUAGGAACCAGAAGAGAAAGGUGCGAAGAAGAGAAGAAUUGAGCUGAUUGACGUAUAAGGGGUUACAGUAAAGAAGAUAAUUGACAAAUGUUGGAAACCAAGGACUCAAUGACAUAAAAAAAGAACGUGCCACCUCCAAACAGGCCCAAUUUUUUGGAGGGACAACACCUCAAUAUCAUAAUUAUAUGCACUUCAAGAUAGCAGGCCACCUGCAAUAUAUAUCAACUUCCAUGCCAUCUAGUCAAUCUUGAAAUAACUGAAUGAGUUUUGAUAAUGUAGUGAAGAUAUUAUAAAAAAG